rnacentral:lncRNA from 1 species
UACUGCUUGACUGAUGGAACAUGAUGCACGAGAUAGCAUAAGUAGUAGUAGGAAGCAGCUCUUAUUUGUGGCGUCGGUAUACAUCAUACUAGGUAGAUGGUUCAAUUGGCAUGGAUGGGUGGUGGAGCCUUGAAGUGCUUGUGAUGGGGAGCCCACGGCUUCUUCUCAGGAGUUGGUGGCUUCUUGUAUGGAGUUGAUGGAGGUGUUUCUACUGGAGGGUGGCCAGGGUAGUGACCCUGGGGUGGUGAAGGUUCUUUUGUCGGUGGUGGCCUCACUAUUAUUGGCGGUAGAGUUGGUGGCUUGGGCGUUGGCGGUGGUCUCACUACUCUUGGGGGUAGAGUUGGUGUCUUGUGUUUUGGUGGUGGAGGUGGCUUAACAGGAGUUGGUGGCUUGUAUUCUGGGGGUGGUUUCUCCACCGGAGGUGGCUUAUAAACUGGAGUUGGUGGCUUGUAUUCUGGGGGUGGCUUCUCCACUGGUGGUGGCCUGUAAACAGGGGUUGGUGGCUUAUAUUCUGGGGGAGGCUUCUCCACUGGAGGCGACUUAUAAACAGGGGUUGGUGGCUUGUAUUCCGGGGGUGGCUUCUCUACGGGAGGUGGCCUGUAAACAGGGGUUGGUGGCUUCUCCACCGGAGGUGGCUUAUAAACGGGGGUUGGUGGCUUGUAUUCUGGGGGUGGUUUCCCCAGUGGUGGAGACUUGUAAACAGGAAGAGGUGGUUUGUGCUCAUAUGGGGGUGGCUUGUGGUCAUUAGCAAGUGAGGGAGUGGUGAGGACCACCAAUCCAAGGAACAACACGAGUGAGCAAGCAGAAGACAUGUUUGGGCUCUGGUGAUGCACAAGUAGAAGAAAUGGGAACCAUUUAUAAUGCUUCGAGACCUUGGUUAGCACCAAAAUAUGUCAAAAUCUUGAUUACUUCAUUUCAUACAUAGAUUUAAAAUUAUUUCAAUCAACCAUGAUCCUUAAUUUUCUGGGUGGUCCAUAAAUGUAAUGGGGUCAAUUUGGGACCUAACAAGCUGAGAAGUUUGACAAUGCUGCAAGGCUUCAUCCGAAAGUCCGGGGAAGAAUAUUAGGAGUUACACUCCGUUUCCUUUUUUGGGUGCAUUUUUCUCCUUUAACAUUCUAUUCCCUUUUACAUUAGCAUUUGAUCUUAGCUCAUUUCAAGUACAAGUUUCUUGAACCCUAUACCAUUGUCAAAGUUGAGUAACCAUCUCUACUUUGCUCAAGAAACAUAAAAGACAAUGACAAUAAAGAAAAAGGAGAGAGACCAUACGUGACUUGGUUUAUAGGUGGCUUUGUGUUGACAUUUGAGUAUGGAAGCCGACAUGCAUCUUAGCUUCGAUUUUAAUUAAAUUUGUACAUUAGUGUCUGUGUCAUUCAUUUUGGUAUAAAAGGUCUCUUGAUUUCGUAAGUUUGGUAAGAACCGUUGAAAAUAGCAGUAGCAGCACAUGGUCCACUUUCUUUCACAAAAUAAUUUUAAAAGUUUAGAAGCAUAGGAGGUAACAUUAGUGGCCUUGUGGCUCAGCCACGAGUACUAUGUGGUGCUCGAGAAAUUGAGUUUAAUUUCCUUCCGAUAGUUCAUGAUAAGGUCCGUCACUGUCCUGAGACAGAUUGCGUUUUUUCUUUUUUCCUUUUUUAGUGUUUUAUUGACUAGCUAGGUGUGACUUUUCCUACUUUAAGGCACGAGGCAGAAAAGAAACUGGGAUUUAGUGCUUAAGAAGGCAAAUUUAAUUCGAUUUGGAUCUAAAAUUUGCCAGCAACAUGAGAUUUUCCAGCCUAUCGUUGCUCCACAUAUAGACAAGGCACUUGUAGAAGUGGCUUGUUUGUAGCCAUUCCCGAUAUUUGGACUCACUUGAUUCACCGGACACUUUGAUAAAAUUUAAUAUUUAUUAUUUAAUAAUUUAAAUUGAUUUAAAAUUAAAUUAUACCGAAGUUGUGAUUUAAAAAUUAUUAUUUAAUUCUUACUUUUAAAUAUGAAGAUUAUUUGAUAAAAAUAAUUUAAAAUUUAUUAUAAAUUAUCAAAUUAACAUAUUUAUCCUUAUAAAUUAUAAUUAAAACAGAAAAGGUCAAAUGAUUUGAGUAUCCAUAGAUGUGGUAAAAUAAUAAAAAAGAUUAUAAAAACAAUUAUGAUAAAUAAAGAUAAAAAGUAAAAUGAAUAUGUGAAUUUAAAGAAUAAAUUAAUUAUUUUUAUUUAUUACUUAAAAUUAUUUUUGACUUUAAAUUAUAUUAUUAAAUUAUUUUACCAAACAUACUUAAUUUAGUUAAUAAUUUAAAUUUAAUUUAAGUUAUUAAAUUGAUUCACCAAAUACCCACUUAAUCAAAGACUGAAGUAUACAUUAUUUGGCCAAAUGCAGCUAUUGAAAUUUAACUUUUUCCAAACUUAUUCAUUUUGUGGAAAUAUUUUUAGAAAUGAUUUUAAAAAUGCACUAUUCUGUGUGUUGAUUUUAUAUUUUGGCAUUAAUCCAACAUAGAAAACGGUUCUUAUUUUCGCUGUUAAAUAGGUACCAGAUCCUUAAUUAGUGCCGUGAAUCCGGCAGCUUCCAAUGAGUAAUUUGGACUUGGGUAUUGACAAUGUGUGGCCAUGCUUCUACUAUUUUAUUAUUCUUGAAACAUAUAUGAUAUAUUGGACUUUAUACAGGGAAAAAAAAAAAAAAAAGUCUUCACCAAAAAUGAUUCCUCCUAAAAAAUAGACUCCACAAACUAGGUUUAACAGGAAAAUGAUUCUAAUCUAGUAGUUUCCAGCCACAUGAGCAUUUACGUAACAAUAGUAUAGUUGAUAACGACUUUUAUUUUAUUUAUUUUUAAAUAGUUAAAGGGAUAAUUUUUGAGCUUAAAUUUUAUUUUUUUAUUUAGAAACAUUUUACUUUAUUUUUUAAUCAUAAUUCUAUUAUAUUAAUGUUUUAUUUUCUAUUUUUUAAUAUAUAAGGAGAUACUAAAUUUAUGUGAUUAUUUUUUAAAAAUUUAGUAUAUGAAAUUAAAUAAUUGGAUAUAUAUACAUAUAUCAUAUAAUGUUUUUUAAGUGUGAUUUUUGAACUUUUUAGUCAUUUUAUAAGUUUAAGCUUUUGAUUUUUUUUUUUAAACUUUGGUAUUUUUUAUUUUAUAUAAAACUAUUUUGAUUUAAUUUUAUUAAAAAAUAUUGGUAUUAUAAAUUAUUGUAUUAAUUAUUUUUUUAUAUUAUAAUGUAACUGGUAUAUACUAAAAAAUGUAUGCAAGUUCAAUUUAAGUUUCAAAUUAAAAAAUUUCAUUUAAAUAUUUAAUAACUUGUUCAUAAUAAAAAAUUAAACAACAUAAUACAAAUGAAAAGAAACAUAAAAGAAAAAGGAAAAAAUGGUCCUCUCUGUGUGUCACAUUACUAGGUCAUCCUCUUUUUCUAUGACCCUUACAAUAGAAUGGCAUAUUUGUCAAAUCUACUUAUGAAAGUUGGAAUGUUUCUACAUGUGUAGGGUCCAUUGGAACUAAUGGAGGAAAGGCUUAACGUCUAUGUAAAUCACAACGUUGCCUAGGUGGGCAUAGAUCUAGUUGUGUAACAUGAGAUGGUGUGAGAGUACAAUAUAUGCAUUGUAGUCUCUAUGGGAAGAGAGAUAGGUAAUGGUAGGGUGGUAGACGGUAGGGUGAUCUCUAAUAUAAUGACAUUUGAUGUGGUGGCUUCUAAGAGAGGAGAUAUAAGAGAUGGUAGAAUGACAUUUGGUGUAAUGGUCUCUAGUGCAAUGACAUGUGAUAUGGUGACCUAUAAAGAAGAGAUAUAGGUGAUGGUGAAGUGGUAUGUGGUGUAGUGACCUUUGAGAUAGAAAAUAGAGGUAAUGGUAGGUUGGCAGGUGGAGUGGUCUUUGGUGUAGUGACAUCAAUUAUAAAUGUCUCCAAGGGAGGAAAUAAAGGUGAUGGUAGGUAGUAAAUGUUGAGGUGGUCUUUGAUAUGUUAUGCUCUAAGAGAGAAGGUAUAGGUAAUGAUAAUAGGGAAUUUGACAUAGUGGUGUUGGAAAUAAAAAGUGAAAGUGACCGUAGAGGUGAAAGGGCAAGUGUAAAAGCCUCAAGUACGAAUGGAGUAAUUAAUGUGGAUGGUGCUAACAUAGUCUUAGGUGGAUACACAAAUAGUCAUAGUCAUCAACUAGCUUGCCCACCAUCUGUCUUUCUGCUAGUGAUAGGUUACAUCUUAAUAGUAAUGGCCAACAUAAGUGGUGUGGAUCCGAUUUUUUUACGUGUGUCCCCACUCAAUCGACAAGACUUAUUUUUUAUUAGUGAAAAAUUAAUUUUGGAAAAGUUGGAGUCACCACUUAUUUUAUUUUAUUUUAAAAAGGAAAGUAAAACAAGAAAGAGAACUCUAAAGAAGUGACUUCAUAGUUUUGGAAAAGUUAGUCUUAAAAAAUCCAAGUCUUGGUCCGGAGAUCAGGUUACUUAUUGGGAAGAUACCUCUAAGAGGUAAUACCCCUCUAAACCCUAAAGAAGUCUCUAAUGACUAAGUUGAGGAGAAUGUGGUAAUUAAUUAAUUGAUUGAGGGUACCUAGGUAGACUAAGGUGAUUUCAGAAUUAACAUACCAAGCUAGAAAGUCCAAUCAUGAUCAUAAAAGAGAGUCAAAGUAUGUACCUGAACUGCUUCUCAAACGCUAUCAUAAAACAUCAAAGUUAGUAUAGAAAUAUAACACAUAAUAUUUGUUUUAUCCAAGCAAAUAAAGCAUACAUCUAAGCACCCAAGAAUCACAUCAAGUAUGGAUAUAGUCAUCAAUAGCAUACGUGUCCAUAGAACUAUCGAAAGUAAAUGUGGAGGAGCGUAUCUGGACAACAUAGAUAACUUAUAAUGUGCUUCCACAAGACAUGGGGGUUAGAUAAAAGUUAUAAUAAUAAUUAGUAAAUGAAAGAAUUCUAGCAUGUUUGGUAUCUAAAUAACAUAGCAAAAAUGAACAAGAGUACACGAAAACAUCAAUUAUCACACGAGUCAUAUUGGCUAGUAUUUAAUCAAUAAACCAACAAUAAAUGACUAUAAACAUAUAAAAUGACAUAUUCAAAGAGACCCAAACAUAAAGAGCCUAGAACACAAGCUUACACUAAAUUUAGAAAACUAAAACAUGGAAUUUUAAAAGCAUAAAUUAGCAAACAAAUUGAUGGAAACUAAAUUUAGAUAACUUAAGAAUAUUUUUCUUAUCCUUCAAUUUAAAUCAGUAAGCCAACAAUAAAAAAUUAUAGAAACAUGGAAUAUCAAGAUCAAUGGGAUACCUAAACUAUAAUUUUUAAAAGAAAAUAAACUAAGCAUAAUAUCUACAAAGCAACUAAACUAACAUUUUUUUAAAAAUAAAUUAAACAUGACAUUAAUGGAGUAACCAAACUAAAUUAAAGUAAACUAAAAACAUUUAUGAAUUUUCAAACAUGGAAUCAGCUUUCUUAGUAAAUUAAAAUUAUUAAAAUAAAAUCUAAGCUUAAAAAUGAAUUAAAUACUAACUAAAGCAAAUCUAAAACCAAAUAUUUAACACAUAGGAUCAAUUAUAUUAACAAACUAAAAUUUUAUAAGAACACUUAAACCUAAAGUUGAAUUAAAAACUAACCAAUUUUUAAAACUAGAUCUUUAACCCAUAGGAUCAAUUAUAUUAACAAAUAAAUAAUAAAUAAUAAAUAAAUAAAACUCAAACCUAAAGAUGAACUAGAAAUGUACCAAAGUAAAUUCAAAACAAGAUCUUUAACACAUUAGAUCAAUUAUAUUGACUAACUAAAAAAAAAAAAAAAAAACACUCAAACCUGAAACGAUGUAUUAGAAACUAACCAAAGCAAAUUUAAAAUAGAGUCUUUAACACAUAGGAUCAAUUAUAAUCACUAACUUAAAUUACAAUUUUUGAAACAUGAACUAAUUAGUGUUGGAUUAAUUAAACUAAUUAACUAAAAAAAACUAUAAACUAGAAUACGGUGAAUCAAGAAUUCAAAUCAACAAACAUAAAAUAUGGGUACAAUGAAAUGAAAAUCUAUUAAACUAAUAAGACGGAAAUAUGACAAACUCAUGAACCCACAUUUUGAUCAACUAGGAAAUAGAAAUUAAUAGACCUGUAGCAUGGAUACAAUGAAAUGAGAUCAGUUAAAUUUAUUUGCCGAAAUUCUAAAAAACACAUACACUCAAAUAAGAUCUAAAUCUAAGACCAAGCAAAACUCAAACUUUCUCAAUCUAAUGCAAUGAAUCAAAACUAAAAUUAAAUAGAAAUCAAACCAUUUUUUUUUUAUCUAAUAUAAUAAAUCAAAGCUAAAACUAAACAAAAUCGAAUUUUCUUAAUUUAAUAUGAUGAGUCAAAGCUAAAAUUGAACAAAGUUCAAACCUUUAUAUAAUGGAUCAAAGUUAAAUCUAAAUGAAAUCCAUACUUCCACAAUUUGAUAUAACAAAUCAAAAAUAAAACUAGAUAAAAAAAAAGUCAAAGCCUUUCAACUUGACAUAGUGAAUCCAAACUGAAACGAAACAAAAUUUUAACUUUUCCAAUGAAACCCAAUAUAGAAAAAAUUAGCUUACCUUCUUUAGAAUAUAUGUAUGGGCCAUAAAGAAGUCACCUUGGUGCAUGUGUUCCUCACUUUGACGCCAAUGGACGACUUUCUAUGGUAGCAAAUGGAGAUCCUUUUUGGUGGUAACUUGCGUGUGGAAACCUAUGGUACAACCAAUGUCAUCUUUUAUUGUGCGUGUGGACCAAUUUCUUCUCGAGAACUCAUGUGUGUUGUGCUCAAAAUAUGUUGCCUGUGAGAAUCUAUUGGUAUACCCCACAUAUGGUUUCCUUGAGAGAAUCUGUGGUUGUGUGUGGGCGUUUUCUUCAUGACAGCAUGUGGAUGUUCCCAUCUAUGGUAGAUUGGUUGUGAUGCUUUAGUGCAUGGUCUCCAUAGGAAUAGUGUGUUAUGGAAAUUUGGUUUUUUUAUUGGUGCAUGUUGUCUAGACUUUCCCAUAUGCGUGGACUGUGUGUUCAUGCUUUUCUUUUCGGAUGGUCGCCUGUGUUAAUGUGUGGCGGUGUCUACAAUGAAAGAUACAACCCUUUCUCUCCUUCUGCGUGAUAGAAAAGUCAAUCCCCCAUGGUGCGACUAUGUUCCCUCGUCCUUUUUGAAAAAUUUUGGUGUUUUCCCCCCAAAAAAUCCCCUCCAAAAAUCUAAUUAUAAAUGUCUGCUUUGGCCUAAUGUGUGUGCUACUUUUUUUUUCCUUCUUUUUAUGGUUGUGCGUGCUUUUCUUGAUACGUGGCUUAUUUCUUAAGGAUAUGAUUCGCUCCCAAUUGGUGUCUCAGCUGAUUCAUGUCCUUUCAAUGGUCCCUGACAGUGGUGCCAUUUGAUUCGUGUCCAGCUGGUGUCCCUUGAUUGUGGUCCUCAGAAGGGAGUAAUCAAUAAAAUUUAUAACCUAUUACACCAUGUAUUAGGAUAGCCUUAGCUAGCAUAGCAUAGUGGCUCUAGGGUCGUUUAUUGGGAUGAGUUUUCACUUCACAAUUGAUAUUAAUUCAAGAGCUGAAUUGGUGCCUUUUCAUUUCAAGGUUAGCUUUAAAAGAAAACAUAAUCUUUGGUGGAAAAAGGUUUGGUUUUAAACUAACCAAAAAUAGUAACUGAUUUUACUUACAAAGAAAAGUGUUCUUUGGAGUUUAGAUCACUAGGCUCAGGUUCCUCAUACAAAAAGGAGAGUUCCGAUCAUUUGUUUCUUUUCCUCGCAUUAGAGAAUUAACAUAUAGUUAAUUCUCUAACCGGUGCGGUACAUAUGCUUCCCAUUAAUGGGUUCAAACACUAAAUACCUCUCACUGAUGCACCUUGCAAUGGCUCGUGCCUCUCACCUAGCAUUUAUCAUUCAAGGUGAUCUUUAACCUUGGAUUACCCAUCAAAAGCUCGCAAGAGAUAACUAAAGGAUGUCUCCUUAGAGUCCAAAAGCUUACCAAGUGUUGGUUAUUCUAGAAAAUCCUACCUUCAAACCACCUCCCAAAGGCUCGCAAGAGAUAAACAAGUGCAUCUCAAUGGAUGAAGAUCACUUGCCUUACCAAGUUUUGGCCCAGAUGAUUUAAUGACAUUUUAAGUUAACUAAAAAGAUAAAAACCAUUAACGGGUCACACUUUCUCUUCAUUAAAAACUAAAACAACAAAACUUCCAAUUUAUGCAUGAGGAAACUUACCUGGCUUUCUUCACUUCAAGAGAUGAAGAGCCUAGCCACUCAUCAUUUGAGGAAAAAUCCUCAGAGUUUGAUUUGCUAGAAAUAAAAAUAAUGAGAAAACAAAAAUAUAUAUAUGAAAAACAGAGCAAGUUCUCUGUAAUAUAUUUUUCUUCCUUAUACAAAAGGUUGUCUCUAAGAACAAGUUCCCGAGAUCUAUCUGAUUGUAAAUAAAAUUACAACUAUAUAUAAGAGGUUAUUCACCCCUUUGUUCUUUCUUAAAGACUAAGGAAUCCUAUGAUAGGUGGGUUACAAGGAGAGUUUGGGGAUUUAGACAUCAAAUAUCUAAAGCAAAAUAUCUCAAGAUGUUAGUCGGAAAUAUCAGGAAGCUUCAGGAGAACACCGCGACACUGUAUACUGAGAGAAAAACUCUCCGGGUAAGCUCUAUCAAAGGAUCCAGACAUGUCUGACUGGGAAAGUUGAAACGUCCUUCUCUCCCAUCCGGAUGUGAGAUAUCCGGAGAAAGUGAAAUGUCGGUCGGACAGAAUUCUUUCCCCGGGUGGAAUGAGUUGUGUUGCGCGUCGCAAGGGGGACCGUCUGCGUGUACAAGUUGUAGGGACCCCUCUCCCGGAUGACACCGAGCGCGUAAGGCUAUCCGGAUCAACUCCAUUCGGAUUCCCCAAGAGGACAUGUGGCGUGCUCCCCUAUCAGGACUCCCUUAGGGAGAAGCACACGACACUCGUGAACAUCAUACCCGGACGAUAGCAUGUCCUAUCCGGAUGUGUUGUCCGGAUCAUUGACUAAAGUGAGCAAGCCUUGCUACGUCAUUCGGACAGCUUGCCACAUACCAUGUUCCGUCGCCAUCUGAUGGUGUGUCCGAACGCCUUGUCCGGACAUCUUUUGCUCCUUGCAUUCCGGAUUUGCUUAUGACAAAGGACUUCAAAGCUUCGGUUCUUCAUGUUUCUGAGCUUUCCAUUGCUUUGCCAUGGAUUCCAAAGAACUCUCCUUAAUCACGGAUUGCUUUGGUGAUCAAAAAGUUAUCAAAACACAAAAACUUAACAUAGUUUGAUUAGAAUUGAUUGCAAGGGUUCUUAAUAUGUUAAUUGGGUUAAAAGGUGAUAACUACUACUCAAAAGUGUUUAUAAGAAUUAAUUACAAGCUAUGAAAUAACACUUUUUGAGUAGUAAUCAGGAUACAUCCUAGUUUUUCAUGGAAUUGAUAGUGGGUUGUUGUGCAUGAAUGCCACCAUUUCAACUAUGCUGUUGUUAUUUUUAAAAAAAAUAUGGAUUAUGCGCGAGUGGCAAUUCUCCACUAUGGAAAGUGGAUUGCUCCUUCAACCCAUGCAUGGCUACGUAUUCCUAUGUCUUUCUACUUGUGUUUGAUCCUCCAAAAAAAAUUUCGGUUUAGUGCUAGUAGAUUUUAAGUGGUGGAUCCCCAUUUUUUGAAAAUGAAGUGGCAGCCUCCCAUUUCAAGACAAAAUGGUAGCCUGCCUUUAAUCUUUGGAGAAAAAUCUGUGCAUGACCUUUUUUUUUCCCAAAAAAUCCGUGCAUGGUGUCCUUUAAUAUUUGGAGAAAAAUCUAUGUUGGAUCUUUUCUUUUCUAGAAACAUUUGUGUGGUCUUUUUUGUUAGCCCAAGGGUUCUUCUAAUCAAGUUUUGAUGAUAACAAACCAUGGUUAAGUGACUAAUUGGUUUAAUGAUUAAGAAUCUCAAACAUAAAAUCGAAAAUUCAUCAAAGGACCAAAUGGAUACAAGAUCGAGACGCUUGGAAGACUUGUAAUCAUAGGAAACUAAUGUAAGAUGAAUGCAUGAGUGCACUUAGGAUUUUCACACGUUUCAUGCAACUUAGAAAACCCAGUUUAUUCUUUAAAACUUCAUCCCAGUUUAUUCUUUUUAUGGUUGUGUGUGCUUUCCUUGAUACGUGGCUUAUUUAUUAAGGAUACAUCCCAGUUUUUCAUGGAAUUGACAGUGGGUUGUUGUGUGUGAAUGCCACCAUUUCAACUGUGCUGUUGUUAUUUAAAAAAAAAAAAAAUGGAUUGUGCGCGAGUGGCAAUUCUCCACUAUGGAAAGUGGAUUGCUCCUUCAACCCAUGCAUGGCUACGUAUUCCUAUGUCUUUCUGCUUGUGUGUGAUCCUCCAAAAAAAAUUUUGGUUUAGUGCUAGUAGAUUUUAAGUGGUGGAUCCCCUUUUUUUGAAAACUAAGUGGCAGCCUCCCAUUUCAAAACGAAGUGGUAGCCUGCCUUUAGUCUUUGGAGAAAAAUCUGUGCAUGACUUUUUUUUUCCCAAAAAAUCCAUGCAUGGUGUCCUUUAAUAUUUGGAGAAAAAUCUAUGUGGGAUCUUUUAUUUUCUAGAAAAAUUUGUGUGGUCUUUUUUGUUAGCCCAAGGGUUCUCCUAAUCAGGUUUUGAUGAUAACAAAUCAUGGUUAAGUGACUAAUUGGUUUAAUGAUUAAGAAUCUCAAACAUAAACUCGAAAAUUCAUCAAAUGACCAAAUGGAUACAAGAUCGAGACGCUUGGAAGACUUGUGAUCAUAGGAAACUAAUGUAAGAUGAAUGCAUGAGUGCACUUAGGAUUUUCACACGUUUCAUGCAAUUUAGAAAACCCAGUUUAUUCUUUAAAACUUCAAUUUCAUUAAAACCCGAGUUUUUAACUAAUGUACCUUAGGCAAAAUGUUUUAUAAUUGGCUUAAUAAUUCACCUAAAUACAUUUUCUAAGUGUUAGAAAAGAAAGGAAUUAAAAAAAGGUUUUCGGGGCAAAAAAGGCUCAACCGGUCGAGGCUAUGGUCAACCGGCUCAACCGGUUGAGGAACCAAUCGAUCGGUUGUGCUUGUCCGAUCGAAGACCAAUCGAGGGAUGCCAAAAAAUUUCUCUCUCUCCUAGUGGCCUUCUCUUCCCGGUCGAGGUUCGGUCUAGGCAACGGUAACAUGUCAAGCAUUAAAUGCUCCGACGACUAGUGAAUCGGUCGACCCCUAGCCCGAUCGGACGAGGUUGCCUUUUGCUGUUUUUGACUCCCGAGCUUAGAAACCUAUAAAUUGAGAGCUCCACUUCAUUUAUUGAUAAAAGAGAACACUUGCAUUCAAUAGUCUACCUACCUUUUCUUGAUCAAAAAGCUCUCAUUUCCUUCAUAGUGCAUUAAAUCAUCACUUGCAUAUCCUUUAGUGCACUAUUGUGUGUCAUCCUAGCUUUGUUUUGUAUUUGAGCUAUCCUUAAGCUAGGUUGAGGGAUUAUUUCUUAUAAAAAUCUGAGUGUUAAAGCCUUCAAGAGAUUUGAAUCUUGAAGAGAUUGUGUAAGAGCCCAUUGGAGCCGGAGUCCAAGUGUAAGAAGAUUGGAAGCUUGGUUGAAGCUUCAAGUUAGUGGAACCCUCACUCGGUUAGGAGGUUGAGGAGAGUGGACGUAGGUAAGGAAGUGUCGAACCAUUAUAAACCCGAGUUUGAAUUCUCUAACUCUAUCUCUUUAUUUUGCUUAUAUUGUGUUUGAAUUUGUUGUGAUUGAAAAGAUUUUAAAAACCUAAUUCACCCUCCCCCCUUUUGGGUUUUUUUUUCUUAAUUAAGCAUAACCUUUGUUUUCUAAUUUUCUUUUUAGGAAAAUCCAUGCGUGGUAUGUCCAAACUCUCCAAGUGGCAGUCUGCCUUCUUCUAAAAAAUUUGUUUCUAUUUCUUUAUUCGACUACCUUCCAUGUCUUCCUAAUGAGUGCUUGUGCUCAAUGGUCAAUCCCUGGUGGUUGCCUCCUUUUCCCAUAUAUACGUGUUGCAAAAUCAACAUCCCACUAUAUGUGGGUUGCCUCUAUGGCAAGUUCACAUUUCCCACAUGAAACCUAUGAGUUUCCACCAAAAAUUGCCAUGAAAAAGUCUUUAUAUGCAUCUCAUGCAAUAAAAAGUCAAGCCAAUACUCAUCUUAUCUCGAAAAAUAAGUAACCAAAAUCAAGAUCAUGCCUAAGUGAACUAUGCCAAAAGAAGUGUCCAAGUGACCUAUUAUGAAAAAAGUGCCUAAGUGACCUAAGGUGAAUGUGUGUAAGCUGGAAGGUGUCUAGGAUGUUUAGGACAAUGCCUAAGCCUAAAAUAGGGUUGCCAAGGGUCACAAUGGGGUUAGAUAAAUCUCUCAAUCAGAGUCUCCAAGGUGGCUCAUAAAAGAUAAGCUACACGAGUAAUGAUGGGCCACCAGGGAAUUAUUGUAAAGCACCAAACGAACACAUAAUAGGACAUGUGUUAGAAUGAAAAAAUGGAGGGUUUACAAGUGGUCUCAUGGAUGAGCUUGAUAAUUUAAAUGACUCACAUAAUGAACGUAUGUGAUGUUUCUCUCCAAUAACAAGCAAAACAUCACUAGCAAUAUGAUGAAUGUCUCCUAAAUCACUUGAAGUAGUCCUAGCAAAUCAAUUAGAAAAAUCACACAUAUUGCUCUAAUGUAAUAUUAUAUACAUCUGUCAAUGAAUGGGAGAACUAAUGACACAACCAUCAUGUUGAUAUCUCGAACCCUCUAAUCUCAUAUGUAGGUGGGAUCACACUUAGAAACUCAUAACACAGUAAUGACCAAUCUAAGUCAAAAUGUGUUGGUGAUCGGAGGCCCAUGAAUAUGAAGUUCUAGGAUGAUAAUGACAUCUUAUAAAGUAAUGAUCAUCUCCUUAAUAGAUAGGUGAAAUGUGUGUGUCUUAGGACACCAUCUCUCAACAAGACUUGUGAUCAAUCCCCAGUCUAGUGUAACAUGCCUAUUAUGACAUCCAUCGUAAAAUCUAGACUAGAUAAUAUAAGGACAAAUGUGAGGGUUCAUCUCCCUUUCCCACAUAAAUUUAAAAAAUUAUUAUUGACAAGUUAAGACCAAACUAAGUUGCAAAAUAUAAAUAAGUCCAUUAGAUAACAAAUUUAUGUUUUCUCAUUUUCUCAUUUUUAAAGAGAUAUUAUGUGCUUCCAUGUACAUACAUGCUAAAGUCAAUUAUACGAGACUUAUAUCCAUCUUGUAGAACCAAAUCGAACCUAUCUAAUAGAUCCAGAUUAGAAGUAUGUCCUCUAUACUCCAUAUUUAUAACACAUUUAUAAAGAUAAAUGCUAAAAAAAUGUUAAAGAUAUAAAUUUAAUGAACCAUACUUUAUGAUUUUAAUUCUCAAUUAUUGUUCAUAUUUAUAAGAGAAAAGUUAAAAAAAUUGAUAGAGUUUUCCCUCUAUCAUGGACAUUAUCCCAAAUAAAAAUAAAUUGAUUAUGCAAAUUACAUUAAUAUUUGUAACCAAAUGAUCAAUAACUAUCUUGUAUCAAUUUAGUAAAUAAAUUUAAGUAUAUCUUUUCAUUUAUGACUAACAAAUAACUCAUACUUGUCCAAUAAAAGCCACACCUAAUUUCUAAAAUUUUGUCUUCACCUCAAGUGAGUGUUACAUUGAGAAAGAAAAAAUAUGAAAGAAAAAAUGAACACCUUUUUCUUUUAAUAAAAAAAGGCCAUAACGAAACAUUAAAUCUCACUGUUACACCUAUCUUCAAUGGAAACAUGAGGAUGUGAAUGGUGGCGGUGAUAUUCUUUGCUUGAAGCUCAUAAACAAAUAUUCCUUACUAAGCCUAUGCCAUUUAGUAUUUCAAUAGUGGACCCCCCCCCCCCCCCCCCCCCCCUCCUUGCAUUUCAGAUUUAGCAAACUUAGAACCAAAUAACAAAGUGCAUUUGAACCCAUAAAGAAGUAAUGAGACUCUCCUAUAUUGGCAAUAGAAGAAAUUUUUGGAGGUAUAGGAGAUUCACGGAUGAAGAAGUUGGGCCCCAAUUGAGAUAAGACCCAAGAAAAGAUGGGGUAGAGAGGGAUGGUUGGAAAUUGUAAAGUAAGAUUUUCAAAAUGUAGUUGAUGACUAAGAUUUUGACAAUUUAAAAAAGGUUUAAAAAUGUAGUUAGCAAUCGGGGUUUUGUAACAUUUAAAAAAUAAAAUAAAAUCUCAGGCCACAUGGUAGCCCAUGUGAUUCAGAAGCUUGAGAAUUAUUUUAUAAGAAGACUUAAUUUGUGAUUUUUUUAUAACUAUAUUAUUUUUUUUCUUAACACACGAAAAAAAUUAUGAAAUAAGACAAUUUUCCUAAGAAAGCAUGUAAGUGACUCUUGGUUAUUUUAUUUAACUUCUUCUAGUUUGGAGAGGAUUAAUACCUUUGCUUUUACUCACUUGCUUGGAUAUGUACACGUUGUUCAUGUCACUUUUCAUUUAAUUUUCUGAUUAAGGGAAUUGGAACCGUACGUAACUGUCUUUAUUCCCUCUGAAACUUGGACUUGGAGUUGGACUUUCAAUCUCAUCAGUCGUGUUUCCAUAAAAAAGAAGAUGGAUUAACCAAUUUUCCUAUGCCUACUAAUCAUACACAAAACUCCACUUCCAAAUAAAAAGGAAUGGGAUAUCACUUGUUAAUAGUGGCUAAAGACUAUUAAUAACCAUGCAAAGAAAUGUCACAUUUUUUGUUCUACGCAAAUUUUAUUCAUCAACUACUAGAACCAUUUCAUACAAUAGUAGCUUUUCGAUCCUUUGAUAAAUGGACACUUGAUGUGAUAACACCAACUACACCUAUAUAUUCAAGCAAUCAUGCGUAUAUAAUAGUGGAUAUGGAUUACUUCUCUAAAUGGGCAAAAGUUUUGUCAUUCAAGGAAAGUGAACGAGGAAACACAAGUUUACUUUCAUCGGAACUAAUAUUAUAUAUUGAUAUGACUUCCCAUUAUUACUUACGAUGGAAUAUGCUUCCAUAAAAUGGCCUAGAUGAACAAACUAUCCAAGAAGUUUGGGAUCAAAUAAUAUAUAUAUAGUUCAUGUGUGAUUCUUUGGUUGACAACCUUGUUAAGGGGUGAGUGAAGCACUUUGGGCAUACCACAUACUACAUGCUAGACUUCCACCCAAGCUACCCUAUAUUCCUUAUGAACAAAGUAGAAGUUGUCAUCUCUCUUGAAUACCAAAUCCUUUCACCUAAUAAUGCUAUCUAAAAAGGUCUUAAAAAGGAUAAAAAUGCGCAUAUUUGAAUUUUUGAAUUAGGAGUGCUACUUAAAAAGAAGCUAGAUAUACAAUAAUAGAAUGUUAUCAAGCAUAUCUCUUCAAAGUUUUUGACCAAAAAAUAUAUGAUUUCUCAUUUUAGGUAGGAGACUUAGUACUCACUAUUCAAAAACCAAUUAUCAUUACUCAUAAAAACUAAUAGAAAGUUUGGGCCAAAGUAGGAUGGACCUUAUAUUAUGCAACAAUUAUGCCUAUAAAAUUGUUGCAAAAGAGGUUUUAGAAUCAAAUCAAUGAAUGAAAAAUUAUUAAAGCAUUACUAUGCUUGAAGGCUAGUCAUUUUCCCUUAAAGUGCAAUAUUAAGUUGCAUAGUACUAUGUGGAUCCGCAUUUUUCACAUGCGUUCCCACUCAUUGUCGAGACUCACUUUUUAGAAGUGAAAAAUUAGUUUUAUUAAAGUCGAAGUUGCCACUGGGGAUUUGAACCCUAACAAAAGGUUCAAUUUAAGGAUAAAAAUAUCGAUAAUCACAUAUAUAUAUAUUGGUACUUUGAUUUUAUGAAUAUAUUGAAGAAAUAUGGACAAAUAUUUUGACACAAAAUAUGUACAAAAUAAAAAUUAUAUAAAAAGUAAAAAUAAAUAUUUUAAAAUUAUUUUUUUAAAUAUAUAUAUAUAUAAUUUGACAUAUUUGAUAAUAAUAUAUAAGGGUCUCCAAAAAGCCCGUGGCCCGCUUUAGGCCCGGUCCGACCCGACAGGCUAAAGCCCGGCCCAAGCCCGCCGGGCCCAAGCUCGGCCCGAGCCCGUUUAUGGGUGGGCCGGGCCGCGAGCCCGUAGGCCUGCUCCUUUAAAAAAAAACUACAAAAAUAAAAAGUAUUAAAAAAAAUAUUCAUUUCAAAAUUUUAUUCAUUGAAUGUAUAAUUACAUUUGAAAAUGUGGGAAAAGUUUACAUCACUACAAAAUAAAUACAUCCCAACUAGGUUGGCACCUAUUUAUUUGUCAAUCAUCUGUAUUUUUCAACCACAAAAAAUAAAAAUAAAAAUAUAAUAUACAUUUAGUCAUUAUUUUCUGGCGGUGAUGGCGAACUAUCAUGCAUCCAUGAAGAUCUUGAUAAUUUUAAAGAUUCCAUAUCGGUAAGCAUCUUUGUUUCUCGAAUGGAAUCAUACAUCCUUUUAUCUGCUAUUUCCCAAUCUUUCACACAUAUCCCUGCUUUAAUAACAUCUGACGCUAAGUUGCAUCGUUUUUUACUAACUACUCUUCCACCUGCACUAAAAGCAGCUUCUGAUGCAACUGUACUCACAGGAACUGUUAGUACAUCACGAGCAAUUAUAGAAAGCACAGGAUAUUUGUGUUGAUGUGAUUUCCACCAUAUUAAAAUAUUAAAAUCUUCUUGAUCUUCAAAUGAAAUUAUAUCAGUAUUAAGAUAUUUAUCUAAAUCAGAUGUAUUAUUUGGAGAAUUAUUUGUUGUCUUUUUUCGACUUUUCAACAUUUCUAGAGCUCCUUUAUAAAAAGAUGAGGAGUUUGUAGAUGUAGGUGGUAAUUUAAUAGUAUUAAUAUCAUUACCAUAUUUUUCUUUAUAAUAGUUAUAUAAAUUAUAUAAUAAUGAAUUUAUUUCAUUUUUAAUUUCUUCAAUUUUUAUUUGGUCAUUAAAAUAAAUAAUUGUUAACCAUUCAUCCAAAGCUUCAAAUUUCAAUCUAGGGUCCACAAUUAAAGCAAUAUAAAAAAUUAAAGGUAUUUCUCCCCAAUAUUUUCUAAAUUUUUAUAUCAUUACAAAUAUUGUAUCAUUAAAUAUUUCAAAACUUAAAUAUUUUUGAAGUACAAUAAAAAUAUUAGUUAUUUGCGUAAUAACUCGAUUUGAAGUUGGAUAAUAUACACCACAAAAAAUGUUUGUUGAAGUAUCAAAAAUUUCAAAAAGAUCUCUUAAAACAUCCGCAAUAUGCCAAUCAUAAUCAUUUAAUGCAUAAAUAUCUGCUUCAUAAUCAUUGUUAAUUAAUUGUAUUUCAUAUAAUUCGACUACUUUUCUAUAUUUUGUAAUAUUUUCUAAAAGUUUAUAUGUGGAAUUCCAUCUAAUAGCCAUAUCCAAAUUUAUAUUUUUUCUUUUCAUAUUUAACAUUUUGCAACAAUCAAAAAAUAAUUCAUGUUUUGCUUGAAAACUAUUAAUACUAUAUGCAAUGCCUCUAAUUUUUUUCCAAUGUACUAUCAACAUUUUUUAAUCCAUCCUUUACAAUUAAAUUUAAAAUAUGUGCACAACAACGCACAUGAAAUAUUUUAGCAUGAUCUUCUUUUACUUGCCAAUAUCGUUUUAGUCUAUGUAUUGCUGCAUCAUUAUUAGCAGCAUUAUCUAAUGUUAUUGUCAAUAUUUUAUCACGAAUGCCUAAAUCUAUAAUUUCAUCAUUUAUUAAAGAUGCUAUAUUUUUACCACUAUGUGGAGUAUUUAUUAAUUUAAAUAAAAUUAUUCUUUUAUUUAAUUUCCAUUCAUUAUCAAUGUAGUGAACAAUUAUAUAUAAAAAACCAGUAUGAGUUAAAGAUGUCCAAAUGUCAGAUGUUAAACGAAUAUUUCCUUCAAAAUUUGCAAAAUUUUUUUUUAAAAUUUCUUUUUGUGUAUAAAUUUUUUUCAUAAUAUCUCUUUUAACUGUAUUUCCAGAUCAACCUUUAAAUUGAGGAUUAAUACCUCGUUGAAUUGUUCUUGCAAAAUCAUGAGUUUCCAUCAUGUUGAAAGGUUGUUCUGCUCUUAUUAUAUAAUCAAUCAUUUCUUCACAACAGUUAGAUUCAUCAUAAGAAAAUGUUUUUAAAUUUCCACUUUCAUUUUUACUUAAUUGCAUAUAAUUUCUAAUAUCUACAUUAUUUUUAGUUUUACAAUUUUCAUGAUGUCUUUUUAAAUGACUUGUAUCUGCAUUUGAGCCACCAGUAAGAAAUUUAUUACAAAUUUUACAUUUUGCUUUUAUUUUUUUUUUAUUAUUUUCUAAAAUUAUUUCUAUUCUAUCAAAAAAAUUCCAUAUAUUUAAAGUAAAUUUUUUGUUUGAUGAUAUUUCAUCACAUGGACUAGACGAAGAAGCACUUGUCAUAUUAUAAUUAUUGAUAAAAUAUUAUGCCAAAAAUAAUAAAGUAAUAAAUAUAAAAAAAAAUGUAACAAAAAAAAUAAAGUAGUAGGGGUGAAGUAUGUUACUCAAUUAGAGAACCUAUGCAGAAAUUCCUAGCAAAUUUGAACUCUUGGAGCCACCAAUGCUUGUUUUGCACCAUCAACAAUAUUGUAUAAUUUGAGGGAAAAAUAAAAGAAUUUAAAAUAUUGUAGAAUGUGAGAGAAAUAGAGAGAAUUUGAUGAAAAAAUGAAAAGGAAGAAAAUGUAUUUAUAGGAAGGUUAAAAAUAAUAAUAAUAAUAAUAAUAAUAAUAAUAAUAAUAAUAAUAAUAAUAAUAAUAAUAAUAAUUGGCCAUGUGACCGUUGGAGGCUUAGCUCCAACGGUCACAUGGGCUGGAGCUAGGCUCCAACAGUCACAUGACCGUUGGAGCCUUUAAUUUUUUUUUUUAAAAUAAUAUACUUUAUUUUUAUAUAUAUAUAACUAACUCAAUUAAUAAACAUAAAAAGAAUAUAGUUCAGUUGGUUAGAACCUUGAAGUUUAAACAUGAGGGGAGGGGUUUGAAUCCCUCCCUCUCCCUUAGGGGCUUUUUUAAAAGCCAUUUUGGCUUAUUUCAAAAAGCCUGUCGGCCCGACCCGCCCUGCAGCCCGCGGGCCUAGCAUUUUAGCAUGGCCUGGUCUGUUGACUAGUCAAAUGGCUCAUAGGCUCGGCCCGAACUGGGCCGCGGGCCUCUUAUUUACGGACCGGCCCGACCCGGCCCGCCCGUUGGAGACCCUUGAUAAUAUCUUCUAUAUUAAGUUACAUUAUAGUUUAUUUUACAAUAUUAUUAUGAUAAUAUGUCUAAUUUUAAAAUAUAUUUAAUAUUAAAAUUAUGAUCUAUUUUAAUUUAAAUGUAUUCAAUGAUAUCAAAUAAAUAAUAAUAUAUGUAUAAUUCUUUUAUUAUUUAUAUUUAUUAUUUUUAAUAAAUAUAUAGAUUAUAUAAAAAAGACCGGAUAUAUCUUUUCAAAUUUUGUAUCGCUCUCCAAGGAUAUUAGAUGUAUGGGAAUUUGUAUUGCUAUCUACGGAUACGUUGAUAUAUGGGUGAUUUAUCAGGAUAAUUAGAAAUUCUAAUUAUGUAAGCAGGUACGGAGUUCUGUGUCGGUGCGAUCUUGUCGACAACAGCUCCAAAUUGUGCAUCUUGCUCAUAGAGAGUAGCGGAAUGCACCAAUCGUAGGCUCAGAGUACCACUGAGUCGUCUGGCAGAGACCCAACUGAAGGUGCCUGUGUUGUUCCUGAUCUGAUCAGGCUUCAAACUACAAGGUGGAAUACUGGUUCCCCUAUAUCAGAAGCUGGAGAUACCCACCCCAUAUGCUCGUCUGGAUGUGCUCCUACCCUUUGAAGCCUUCUUCCGAGUCAAGUCCGAAUUGAUAAGGCUAGUGAGUUCCCAACCAACUGUACUCAGCAUGCUGCCAGGUGGAGACCCUCCAUAUUUGAUGGCUUCCUAAUAUUAAAAUGCUGACCACUGGUCUUCAUGUUCCACAGGCUUAAUUGUGUCCUUUGCUGAAAGAAUGGAUAGUGAUCCAUUUUAACACAUGAUUCACGCCGUCUUUGCCAUUCUUCAUGGUCUAGCCCUUUUAUAUAUAUGCUUCCUGAACUGUUGCUAUUAAUAAAAUGUGGUAUCUAUCCCGUACACCUUCCUGAUGGCCAGCGAAUGCAGAAGCUACAGAAACGGUUCCAUCUUUUGCUUCCGCCACUUUGGCAUCCUCCAUGAUGAGAUCGAAGGUGAAUAAUCAUAUUCUGGGGAUUUAUGUCCUGGAUAUUCUCAGUAAUGCCCAAUUUCCUGGUGCCGGCCUCAUUUCCAUGGGAACUGAUGGAUAACUUAAGGCUUCUACCAUCUGCGUGGUUCGCUUCUAACACAGGAAACUUCACGGCUAAAAGCAAGAUACCAAGAACAUCAAGGCUGUGACAAAAAUUAGUAUUUUUAACUUGUAGGAAUUUGAAAGGCAACCAACCAUCUAGCUCUGUUCUUAAAGCUCCCAUAGGAGGAUCAGAGGCUGGAUUGCUCAAGAUGAACUCAUCCAUUGUUGCACUUAAAAAGAAUUGGCAUGAAUUGUGGCCGCUCUAAUAGGUUCCCUAAACCAUCAUCCAAGUGGGCUUGCGGAAGGUAGCGAGUUUAAAACACCUAGGGCGAUGAACAGUGGACUGUGAUGCUCACAAAAGAGAAAAGGAAGAAUUCAAUAAUUCCUAAGAAUCCAUUUGCCUGUCAUCCAAAUUUUUAUAUUCUCUUCAGUCUGACGCGUUAUGCCAUAUAUUAAAAAUAGCGGCUUCUUCCAAGCCGAGACAGACUGUGCAAAGUUCGCAAGGCCAAUCAUCACCAUAAUCUGAAGUUGGCCUCCUCAAUCGCAGCUUGUAUCCGAAUGCUCACUUCACGGGAUGGAUUGUAAUGAAAACUAAUCUCAGUCCCAGCUAUGGCAGCAUCCUCACUUGACAGCAUUUUCUGCAUAUUCUAGAACAAAGCAAUAAACCCUCAAAGGCUCCUUCGGAUCAGAGUUAGAAGACUGUCCCUCAGGAACGUGAACACUAUGGUGGUUCUGAUAAGCAGUGAUAUUGCAUUAGAGCCUUUUGGAACAAGAGGAUCUUUUCAGGUGGAAACUGUAAACUGCUUCAUGUUGGGCUGCAACCUUUUCUUCAAGCAAUACUUUCUUUCUGUAUCACGACUUAUGUUGCUUCCGGAGCCAUCCCGUGUGGACUGCCCUUCAGUGAAAGAAUAUGUGUGUUGACAUGUUGGAUUGUAAUCUUUGUUCCACUCUAAUGGCUUUUGGUCCUCCUCUUUCUCUUUAUGACAGAGAACCAUUUAGUGAUCCAUCUCUAUAUUGUAGCAUUGCUGGUGCUUUGCAAUACUACACUCUCACCAAGCAUAACAUCUAUUUUUCCGUGACCAAAGUAUGUCGGUUUAUGCAUGCGCAAACUCUUAUUCAUUGGCAAGUUGUCAAGCGUAUCUCAUGAUUUCCCAAAGCCACAAGUUCUUAUGGUCUUUCUGUUCAAGCUUACAAUGAUCUAUCUUUUCUUGGUUAUACUGAUGUCGAUUGGGCUAGUUGCCCUGAUAACAAGCACAAUACUAGUGGGUACAACACUUUUCCUGGUCCUAAUCUCAUUUCAUGGGCAUUUUCAAAGCAGAAGGUUGUGUCUCACUCCAAUAACGAAUCUGAAUAUAGGGGACUCACUAAUUAAUGUUGUUGCCAAGGUCACUUGGAUUGAAUCUGUCUUACGUGAGUUGCGUGUUUCUCUACCCCAACCACCAAUUUUGUUGUGUGACAACAUUAGUGCUACACACUUGGACAAACCAUGUUGAAAUACACUAUCAUUUUAUCCAUGAAAGGCUUAUGCAUCACACACUCAAAAUUCAAUACACCUCUUCUAUAGACCAACUAGUCAAUGCUAUGACCAAAGCUCUUCCUUCAUCUCACUUGUACAAUCUUCAGUGCAAGCUGAUUGUUCUUCCCAAACCACUCAACUUGAGGGGAGAUGUUAAGCCAAUUUAAUAAAUUGAUUUCUUUUGGUUAAUUUGUUAGAAUCAUUUUUAUUAGAGGUUUGUUUGUACAAUUACAUCCAUUUAUCAGGAGAGUACACGUGUACAACUCCUCUUUUAAUCUCACCAUUGUAUAUAUAUGAUACACGACCUUACUCAGAAUUGCAUAACAUUUCCUCUGCUCAUUCCUUUUCUUCUUUGAAUUUUCCCUUACCUCACUGAUUUUGAUUUAUACCUGGUGUUUUCACCUUUGGUCUCUACCUUUCUAGCCAGUUUUCUAAUUAAUCCGUAUAUGGUAUACCUGUCAACUAAUGAGGAGAAAGAGAAAAGGGGAUUGCUGUUCCACCAGCUACAUAUAAUAAUUAAUUACAAUCAUGGUAAUGGAUCCUGAAAUCCAUCCUUUGUGGAUUUUGUACGGAAUAUUGUUGUUAUGUAUGUGGGCUCACUUAGAUGUAUAUUGCUAGCCUGUCUGGGAAAUGUGAUUGCAGGUCCAGAUUAUGAUGUUGAUAUUAGUGGGAUAAGCAAGAGAUGCAGUUAACACGUAUGUGAUGGACUUGAGUAACUUUUCCAUUUCAGUCCAUUUUUUAAGAUUAUGCUUAGUCUUAUUACAAGGAAAGACCAUAAGAAUCAUGAGUCAUUGGCAAGGUAAUAUCAUUCCCUCUUUACAGGCUUCUUCACCUUUUGGUUUUUUUAAUAUCCAUCAAGAUCUUUUAAUUGGAGGACAAUUACAAGUAUAUAUAUAUGUAUUAAAAGGGGAAAAUAUUAAAACAGGAAAUUUUAGGGAAAAUAUAAUAAUUAUUUCUUCCUUCUUUCCCAUAUAGAACUACACAAAAUAAAACUUUAAUAAUUUUUUCUUAUCUUUUUUAUUAUUAUUUUUUCUUAGAAACAUCCGUGGUCUCACAAGCUUGUAAUCCUAGAUUGUUAGGCUCCUUUAACAGUGCCCCAACAUCGUGGUCCAAUGACAAGCUUCCACGCCUUAAAAUCAGAAAAUGCCAUUAAACUUUAUCAGACAUUACAGUUCAAGACAAAGCUUUCAUUUGCUUAAUGUGAUAAUGAAAUUGUUAAUUUCAUUUCGUGGGCAUCUAAAUUUGGACGAGCAAGACCUCUGAAUUCCCUGUUUUUAUCACCAGCAGAGGAGAUAAAAUCUUAAUGGUGAGAAUCUCCACGUGAAAUUUAUGUGUACUGUCAACAUAUUUUUGUUUAUAUAGUCCAGUAGCUGCAGGAAGUCUAGAUUAUAUAGGUAGCAGUAGCACUAUUUAUAGCACUCGAUAUUCGCUGUAUGAAUACAUUAAACCUUGUUUUCAAUACGCAUCACAAGCAAGUACUAGAUACUACAAGGAGUGACAGUCGCAUCAACAUUUCUUGAUAAUAGCAGUGACUGAUUUAUACACAGAACAGUACUGUACACGUACCAGUCACCAGAGAUAGGAUCUUAUUCCUACAUACGACUCUUAUUGAUCGAAGUCACUCAGUUGGGGUAGCCUGGAGUUGGAGGUUUGUGUGGUGGCUUCUUCUUUGGAGGAGGCUUUAUCUUUGGAGGCAUCAUCUUUGGAGGCAUCUUGUGUGAGUCUUCUUCAGCAUUCUCUACAGGAGGAUGGCCAGGCUUAUGACCCUUAGGUGGUUUGCCAACUGGGAUUGGUGGCUUGUGUCCUGAGAGUGGCUCCUCUUCUUCGGGAGGUUUGCCAACUGACGUUGGUGGCCCGUGUCCUGGGGGUGGCUUGUGUUUUGGGGGUGGUUUCACUCCACCGGGAGGUUUACCAAUUGGUGUUGGUGGUUUGUGCUCAAUCGGUGGCCUCUCAACUGGGGGGCGCUUGGGGUAAUCAGCGAGUGAAGAAGUGGUGAGAACCACCACUCCAAGCAACAACACUAGCAAGUAUGUGGAAGACAUCUUUGAGUUUGGCUCAGAUGGUGUAGAACUAGAAUCCUGGGUGGCCUUUUAUAUUAGUUGGGCCCUAUGCCCGAACGACAAGUGUCAUGGUGACACAUAAAGUGAUGGGGUCGAUUUGGGCCUACCGGAUUUGAAAACUUGGACAAUUCGAGAAGCGUCUCCUGACUCCGGGUUGUAAAGUGAAAGAUUAGGUAUCGACCAUUGAAGUAUGAUCACAACUUUUGGCCUUUGGCUCUCUCUACUGCCGUAUAGCUUUUUUCCUUUGGAUAUUUUUCUUAGCUAGACACAAUUAUUGAGCAGUCUAAUCUCGAAAUGGGAUUAGUAUAGCUUUAAGCAAAUUUAUUAUAGUUAGUGGAGGACUUUUAAGAGUGCAGACGACAUUUAACACAUGCAUGCAGUAGUAUAGGGGACAUAACACUAUUCUUUUUCCAAAGAUUCACAUGAUUUUUAUAUUAUAGUAUUGGCACAUUGUAUGUAGCUGGUUUUGUGGUUAAAAUUCCAUAUGUAGACACUGGCGUUUCUCCAUUUCUCACAAUUGAUGUUUACCUCCACGAUUACUAGAUUAGAUAUACCAAACAAUAACACAUUGUAUAAUCUAUCCGCCCUUCAAAAUCUACUGUAUGAUGAAAUGUUUCAUGUGUGUGUGAAGUGUUAGAAAUGCACUAUAGGCAACAUCAUCUUCUUUUGUCUAGGCUUGGGCCUCAAAUUAUACUCCCAUGCCAUGAUAAAUUUUCAUGUGCAUUCUCUAAAGAAGAGUGUCUUGAAUGUGCCAAAUCAUUUUGAUUGAUUUUAUGAUGUUAAUUGCUCCGCAUAUGGAUGGGUAUGUGCUUUAUUUGCUUAUUCAAUCCACAAUUACCUUGAACUGAAGUCCUAUUGGAGCUCUAUUAUUUUAGCAACGUCCUGUCAAAUAGGCUGCUAACUUGGGGUGGUAUGGACCCAAUGAUCCAUCUUAAUCUUGGGUUGAUUUUGUCUGACUCUAUCUAUCUCAGAGAGAACCAGGAUCACCAGUGCUGGUCUGCUUAAAGAAGACUCAGUACUGGAUUAAUAUUGGUUUGGGUCAAUAGCUUAUAAUGCAUUGAAUGCAGAAUAAACAAGAUCAAUGAAACCCAAAACACACUGCCCACACAACUUCACUCUGGUGUCUGUUAUUCAUCAAUUCUAUUCCCACAUGAACUGGUUCAAGUUUAAGAAAAUGACAACGGAUCCACUGUAUUAACUUGGUUUUGCUUGGUUUUGAGCUAGUUGCCAAACCAGCCAUGAGUUUUACCUCUAAUGUCAAUGAACAAACCCCAAAUGAACAACUGCAACAGCUUAAAGAGAAGGAAUGGAGAUGAAAAUCCCUGUUUCUUCUCAUUCUGGGGACAAAUUAGAACAUAACUACAAAGGUUCUAUUAAUUGACUUACUCUACCAUGAAUUAUGGUUCUUUGGUUUUCCAAAUUUAAAUUGUACAUGAGAUUAUUUUUUUCCUUUAUAUAUAAACAUAUUAAGGUUUUCUUAUUUCGUGGGCAAAUGCGCUAAGGAUGAAAGUCAUUUCAUUUGGCUGCAACAGCAUCUUAUAAUCAACAUGCAUAAGCAGCAGUUUUAAUUGAUCGAUUGAACACCGACUCACAAGAAUAGAUAGAAUGGUACAAGACAGCUCUUAUUAAUUUAUACUCGUUACUCAUUUUAUGUAGCCCCAUUAAGAUGGCUGGCUGGACCACCGAGGUCUGGGGGUGGUGUUGCUUGUGUGAUGCAGCGGGCCGGGCAGACACUUCUCUAGUUGCUUCUAUUUGGAGUUAGAGGAUCAGUCUCUGCCAACCUUGAGGACUCUCUACCUCAGAGGGUCCAGGUGGUGGACUCUGGUGUCGGUAGCUUUGAACUCUCAGUAGACUAGUGUGUCUUAAUCAGUCACUGCCAGAGGCUGGCGUAGGCAGUGACGAUAAGGUGAGACAAAUUACCGAAUAGUCAAUAUCGACUGCACUUGACCAUUAUAGAUUUGUUCUGACAAAAGUGAGAAAAGGGAGAAAAUCGGAUGUUGACCUUUAUAGAAAAAGAUAAGAUUUACUGCAACACAGAGCACUGAUUUGUUACUUGGAAACCAAGUUAUGCUAUUAGCUAGCCUCCAUUAGCAGCAGGGUACCUUGCUGCCUGAUCCUAAUCUGAGUUCCCAAGGUUUCAAUCUUCGUUUGUUAACGCUUCAGGAUUUGGAUAUUUCAGCUUCGUUUCUCCAUUUAGCCAACGCUGCCUGGUUUGGAUUUCAAUCCUCAUCUGGAACAUUCUUUUUUCGGUCUGAUUCAGGAAGUGUUUGGUGAUAGUUGAUUAAAAUUAAACAGUACUAUCAUACAAAUAAAGCUGAUCUAAUUUUGGUGGGCAAUAUACCAACUCAUUUAUUCUUGAAAACACCAUGGGGAAUUGGAGGUCCAUCCGAAGUACUAUUUGAUGGGACUCACAAAAAGAACAGGUGCACAUUUAUGAGAUCCGUGGAAGAGAUAACUAUGACAGCUAUGCAUGUACAACAGAUUUAUGUCGAGUUCACCUCGUAGAUAUUUUGUUUUCAGUGUCGGUGGACCCCAAAAUGGAAAUCGGAAAUUAAGGUUAUAUUUAUUUUUUUAUUUAAUUUUAAAUAGAAUUUUAAUUUUUAAUAAUAUUAAGUAUUAAAUUAUUUUUUUAAGGGUAUUUUAUUUUUAUUAAGUAUUAAAAAGUAAAAAAAAUUAAUAUGUUGCUUUUUUAUUUUAAAAAAAUUAUAUAUUUUAAUUUUUUCUAUUUACUAAAAAGUUUAUAAUAAAUUAUAAAAAAAUAAAAAAAUAAAAAACUUAAAUUCUGAAAAUAAAUUAUUUUUAAUAAAAAAAUCCAAAAAAGCAAACACCACCUAAAUUUGAGAUGACUCAAAAUUUUAUAUUUUUUUUCACCUAAAUUAUAUUCAUAAAUUUAAAAUUAAAAAAUUAGGAAGUUGAAUUUUAUUUUGGAUAAUUGGAAACUACAAGAAAUCAAUAAAAAUAUUUGGAAAAAAAAGAAAAAGAAAAACUAUCUAUAUAUUCACCCCCUUCUAAGAAACAUAACUUUAGUUUUUAACUAUUUUUUAAAAUAAUUUUUGAAAAAUGUUAUAUAAUAUUUUAUAAAACAAAAAAUCUGUUUGACAAUUUGAUAUGUCUUUAACUUAUUUUUAAUAUUUAUAUAUAUAUAUUUUAAAAAUAAUUUUAUAUUUAGAACUUUAUCUUUAAUUAUUAUAUAUAUUUAUAUAAUUAUUUUUUUUAAAACAACUCUUAAAAAAUAAGUGAAAGUAAUUGAAAACAACUCAAAGAUAUUUGAUGAAAACACUCUAAUUUGUAUUUUUGAGAAUAAAAAAAUAAAUAAAUAAAUUUCUAGUUAUCAAAUGUAUUUUUUAAUUCUUUUAUUCUAAAAAAUAGAAAAUCGUUUUUGAAAAUAAUUAUUAAACAACAUUCUUAAAAAUUCACUCGUUACAAUCUAGAUUUAAUGCAAGAAUGAUUGAAGGAGUCCUCCAAUAGAACCCAAAGUUAUAAACAUGAACAAGAAGCCCUAGAAACACCAAAGAUCUCAUAUGGUAUAUAUAUGAGCUUGAUUGAGAACUGUUUUAAAUUCAGUUUUUUUUUUUUUUUUUUUUUUUUGUUUUCAAAGUCAAAACAAGUUUACUUUUAAUUUUUACUUCUUUUUUUUAAUUUUAUAAAUAACAGUUUUUUAAUAAUUUAUUUUGAAAACAUGAUUAUUUUUAAAACUUAUAAUGAAAAUAGGAAUUUUUUUUUUAAUAUCAUGGUUAUUUUCCCUUCUUUUAAGGAGGGCUAUUUUAAAAAUAAAUUUACAAAUAUGAAAAAUGAUUCAAACUAAAGCAGUACAAAUAAAAAACAUUUUUAAGAAAUAUUUAAAAAUAGAGAAAAUUAUUUGAGAACAUUUGAAGUCCUUAAAUAGACUUUUGUUUUAGAAAAGGCAAGAUAAUUAUUUUUGAAAAUUGUUUUCAUAAUGAUAUGCAAAAACCUACGUAAAAACCAUAAUUAUAAUCGGCCACAUAUCAAAUCUACUAAAUAUGAAAAGUAAGUACAUAAUUAUAUUUGACUUAGAUGCAAGGAGGAAAAUGUCGCGAUAUUAUCGCCGAAAUAUCGUGUGUCGAAGGGUAUCGACACGAUUUUUCUUGCAGAAAUAUCGGCCAGUCGAUUUUUCGGGAUAAAUCUCGAGAAAUCGGCAAUUUAUCGCGAUAUAUCGGCGAUUUUUCCUCGAUAUAUCUUCUGGUCAACGCGGGUCAACGGAGUCAACACGCUACAGUGAAAGUCAAAUGUGCUACAAUGUCCCCGCUACAAUCACCUCCCCAAACAAAUUGCCAAAUUGCUUCCGAGGGGAUUUGAACCAGCCUUCUUGCCAUUUGGGCUAACUCGCCCUUAUGAUAUAUAUUGCAUUAAACAUAUAUAUACUUAAAGUCCUUAUAUAAAGAAAAUGUUAAAAAAAUAUUUUAAAGAGCAAAUUAAUUAUAAUUAUUUUAUAAUUAAAAGCAAAAUUUUCUUUUAAUUAAUUACCAAAAAUAUAAAAAUUAUAUAAUUUUCUUCAUAAUGUUUUUAAUAUCAUUAAUAAUUAAUUAAAUAUUAAAAAAUUAUAUAUAUAUAUAUAUAUAUAUAUAUAUAUAUUAUAAUUUAUUUUAUAUUGUUUAAUACAAUUGAAUUAAAUGGAUCAUAUUUUAAUAUUAAUAUAUAUUUUAAAAUUAGACAUAUUGUAAUCAAAUAUCAUAAUAUUAUAUGUAAUUUAAUAAUAAAUGUACACUUAUAAAAUUCAUAUUUUUAUCGAUGCAUACAAUAUUAUUAUCAAAUAUGAUAAAUCAUGUUAUACAUAUAUCAAAAUUUUCAAUAAAAUAACUUUAAAAUGUCUAUUAUACUUCUAAUUAUAUUAUUAUGAGGUUUUCUUUACAUUUUCAUGAGUUUUAAACAAUUUUAAGCACCAAUAUUUUUUUCCAAAAUAUCCACCGAUAUAUCUCCGAUAUAUCCAAUAUAUCUCCGAUAUCUCCGAUAUAUCCGUAAAAUCGAAGUACCGAUAUAUCCGUGAUUACCGAUAUUUUCAUCAUUGCUUAGAUGCAACCUUCUUCCAAAUGACAUACUUUAGUCAAUACUUAUAUUUUUUCGUUUCACUUCUUUGAUACAACACCUCAUGGAUUUAUUGUUUAAUUUAUUUGUAAUUAUAAAACUAUUUUUCAUUUUUAAUAAGACUUGAAUUAAUUUAAUAAAUAUUAUAUAAUUUGAAUUUAUAAUUCUUUUUAUAAAAUCAAAGUAUAUUAAAAAAAAAACAAUUUAUCCGAAGAAAGUUUUUUAUUUUUUAUUUUUUAAAACCGAUUUUAAAAAUAACUAGCUAGACACCCUUAUUUUGAUAAAAUACGAAAUAAAAGUGUAAAAACAACAUGGCCAAAUAGGGGCUUAAAUUUUAUUUUUAAAACAUUUUUUUACACUAAAGUGCAUUUUAAAAACACCAUCAAAACCAACUACAAGUUAUGCUUCUUCCCGUAAUAGAAAUAUUUUAGGCCAAAAUAGAACCUCCCCAAAUAAAGACCCUAUACUAAACUCCUUUUCAUUUUAUUAAUACAAAAGUGGGGAAAAAAGGUCUAUGCUCACCUAAAAAACAUGAAUAUUGUGAAUUCACCAUUUCUAUAAGGAAGUUGAAAACUUCAAAAUUUUAUCAACAAAUUCUCUAAAAUCCUCAAAAUAUAUAGGGCCUGUUUCACAAAGUUUUUUAAAAUUUGUUUUUAUAAAUUGCUUUUAAAAUAUAGAAUAAAUAACAGUUUUUUAGAUUUUUUGAAAAAUAAGAGUGUUUGGUAAGAUGUUUUUUUUUUUUUUUUUUUUUUUAAGAAUUAAAUAAAAAAUAAAAAAAUUGUUUAGAUAAAAGAAUUUGUAUUGUUUUUAAAAACAAUGUCUUACUUUUAUGUUAUAAAAAUUUUAUUAAUUUAAUUUAUAAUAAUAUGAAAUGAAAUUCAAGUUAAGUCUUAUUAAAAAAUACAAAUUAAAUCUAUAAUUAUGCAUGAGUUAAAGAUAAAUAUAUAUUUUUUAAAACUAUAAAAUAAAUUUUCUAUUAUAGUGAAACAAAAAUUACUAUAAAAUAAAAAUAAUUUUAAUAUUCAUUUUUAAUACAAGUCAAAUAAGUACUUUAAUUAAUUUUUUUUAUCAUGAUUUCUUAUGUUUUUUUUUUUUUCUAGAAAUUAUUUUAAGUAAUAUAACUAAUUUUUUUUUUAAUGUUUUAUAAAAAUAAGGAUAUUUGGCAAGUUGUUUUUAUAAAAGGAUUUUAAAAAUAAAUGGAUUUUUUUUUUUUUUAAAAAAAGAACAAAAUGAUUUGUUUGAAUAAAUUGUUUUGAUUUUGUAAAAACAUUUUAAAUUCAAUUUAUAUAAUAUUAAUUAAUUAAAUUAAAUUGAAGUUUUAUUGAAAAUAAAAAUAAUUUUGUAAUUAAAAUUAGAUUAAAAAAUAUAUAGGUUUUAAUAAAUCGUAAAUAGUAAUAUUAUAAUAAAAUUAUAAAUUAUAUUUUUAACAUAAAAUAUACUAUUUAUUACAUAUUAAAAAAAAUAUUUUAUUAUAUUAAUAAUUUUAUGGUAUUAAUGAGUUUAUUAUUUAAGUUUUAAAUUAUUUUUAAAAAUUAAUAAAUUUGUUAACAAAUGCAAUGUACUAAAUGUGGUUUAAUUUGGAGUUAAUUUGUUUAGGGAAAAAAAUAAAAAAUAAAAAUCUUAUGUAAAAGAGAAAUAAUAGAGUGUGUGUGUUUUUUUUUAUUAUUUUUAAAAAUCAGUAAAAAGAACUUUUACUUAUUGCCUAAAAAUUAUUCUCUAUUUUAUUUUAUUUUUUAAAUCUAGAAAUAGAUAACAAUAAUAAAAAAAAUUAAAAAAGAAAAAUGUUUUUUAAAACUCAGACUUAUAAUUGCUUUUGUUUCUCAUUCGCACCCCUGGAUUCCUGGAUUCUAAACACAAAAUUAAGUUGAAUCGUCCAUCUAUCUUGUAAGCCAAGAAUUCACAUAGAAGAAAUAAUCGGAAUUUGAUUUGAUAUCAGAUUUAGAGUGGCUCACUACUCAUGCAUUGUCCCACAAUAGUAAUGCUUUGGGCCGAGAUAAACCCAUUUGUGGGCCCAAAUAAAACCCCUGGUUUGAAAACAUCGAUUUUACAGUGGCCCAAAAGAUUAUCUAUGAGGGGAAGAUAACUUGGAAGUCAAGCAAACACAUUUAUCGCUAACUUUUCUCUAAUUAUAAAAUUAUAACUUGGUCUUCUACACGUCUCACUUAAGAGGCGGAGCCACUUGGCACUACCUUUCCAUAUUGUAAAAGGAGAAGAAGCAGAAGGAGAAGAUUCUUAUGCCAUUCCACACACCAUGGCUAGUACUGCUAUGCUGCUUGGCCCGCCGGCUCUCCGCCAUCCUAAUUCUCCCGCCGGCACUGUCUUUGAAGAUGGGGUCAUUCUAACGGAUUCCCUGAUCGUCCGCACCAGUAAUCUGGAGCUUUCUGAAAAACCGCCACUGGAAUCCCUGGCGUAGUGCUCUGUCAGUGGGGAUAUUGCUAUGGAUUGUUUGGAUUCCCAAGCCCACAAUCUUCAUCUUCCCGGGAAACCGCCGAUGGGCUUAACGGAAAACAAGUCUCCGACCUUUUUGUCUUCCGGGAACCCGUGCUUGGACUUCUUCUUCCAUGUGGUUCCCGAUACGUCGUCUGAUGAUCUGAUCCGACGGUUUGAGUUGGCUUGGGAAUUCAAUCCGCUGACGACGUUAAAACUGAUAUGCAACUUGAGAGAGGUGAGAGGCACCGGAAAAUCUGACAAAGAGGGUUUCUACACGGCGGUUCUCUGGCUCCACGACCACCAUCCCAAAACCCUAGCCUGCAAUGCUAGGGUGUUGGCCAGCUUCGGUUAUUUCAAGGAUUUUCUCGAGAUUCUCUACCGGCUUCUGGAGGGCCCUAAAAUUCGAAGAAUCGAAAAGAAAGACUGGCUGGAUCGAAAAGGAAGGAAGAAAAAUUCCCGGAAAAGGAACUCAAUAUUCAAGCGAGAAAAUAGGCCUGGAGUUGAAUUUCCUGUAGAAGAGAAGGAUGUGGAGUAUAUGGUGGAAGAAUUUGUGGAUAAAGAAAAGGCUAGGGUACUGAGAAAGGAGAGAGAACUUGCUCUUGCCAAAAGAGCCCUGCACAAGUAUUCUACUGAUUCUAAUUAUCAGUUCUUACAUGAUCAGAUUUCAGAUUUAUUUGCUGAACUUCUGAAAUCUGAUAUUCAGUAUUUAAACUCCGGUGAGCUUUACAAGAUUAGUCUCGCAUCCAAAUGGUGUCCCACAAUUGAUUCUUCUUAUGAUAAAUCCACCUUGAUAUGUGAAAAUAUUGCUCGAAAGGUUUAUUCUCGCGAGGAAUAUAUAUCCAGAAUACCAAGGAAUUGAGGAGGCUCACUAUGUUAAUAGAGUCAGGGAUAGGUUGAGAAAACAAGUACUUGUUCCAUUACGUAAGGCCCUGGAGUUGCCAGAGGUUUUCAUGUGUUCGAACCAGUGGGGAUCACUUCCCUACAACCGUGUGGCUUCAGUGGCCAUGAAAUCAUACAAGAGCCUCUUCUCAAAACAUGAUACAGAGCGGUUUGGUGUGUAUCUUGAGAAAGUGCAAACUGGGAAGGCUAAGAUUGCAGCUGGUGCAUUACUUCCCCAUGAGAUUAUAGCUUCAUUGAAUGAGGAGGAUGGCGAGAAAGUUGCAGAGCUUCAGUGGGCGAGAAUGGUGGAAGAUUUAUCAAAGAAUGGGAGGCUCACAAAUUGCAGUGCGGUAUGUGACGUAUCAGGAAGUAUGAGUGGAACUCCAAUGAAGGUGUGUGUGGCUCUGGGGCUGUUAGUUUCAGAGCUCAGUGAAGAUCCAUGGAAAGGUAAUGUAAUUACUUUCAGUGCAAGUCCUGAGCUUCACAAGAUCCAAGGAGACAGCCUUGUAUCCAAGACUGAAUUUGUGAGGAUGAUGGAAUGGGGUGCGAACACUGAUUUUCAGAAAGUUUUUGACAGAAUCUUACAAGUAGCAGUGGAGGGAAAUCUGAGUGAAGAUCAAAUGAUAAAGAGGGUUUUCGUUUUCACUGAUAUGGAGUUUGAUGAAGCUUGUGGGAGGUAUAACUAUUGUGAAUAUGACUAUGAUAUGGAGGAAAUUGAUGAGAGUCAGAAGGCAUCUCAGAAGUGGGAGACAGAUUAUGAAGUGAUACAGCGGAAAUUCCAGGACAAAGGAUAUGGAAAAGUUCCGGAGAUAGUGUUUUGGAACCUUAGAAACUCAUCAGAGACUCCAGUGAUGGCCACAGAGAACGGGGUGGCCUUAGUAAGCGGGUUUUCGAAGAAUCUGUUAGACCUUGUUUUUGGAAGGAGGUGGAAUUCUGACCCCUCAGGAUGUGAUGGAAUUAGCCAUCUCUGGUGAAGAUUACAAGAAACUUGUUCUAUUUGAUUAAGAUAUCAAGAGAUUUAUCAAUAAUAAUAUGUUUUUUUUUUUCUAUGUGAAAUACAUGUAAUAUUAACUAUGGAGUUAUCAAAGUUCUGGAAAUUUAAUUAUUUCUUCUUUUCAAGUUUUGUUUGUCUUUGUUAGGAAUUCCCCUUGGGCGGACCCAGCUGGGGACUUGGAUUGAGGAAGUAAGGAGGCGAAAUUGUGUUCUUCUAUGGACAGAGAAAAAAGAUAAAAAUAAAAAAUAAAAAAGGAGGUUAUUUGCAUUUGGAUGUCAUGUGGUUUCAGGGUACAACUACAAGUUCGAAAUUGUACAUAAUGUGAAAAUUCCUGUGUGGAGAACAGCAUAAAUAUGUAUCUCAGUGUGUUUUGUUUGAGCUAAUUGGCAAAUUCGCUUUAAACAUGGUCACAUGGAUGCAUAUUUAUUUGUGAAAUGAUAGUAGUCGAUUACUUGGUCAGUAAGGUUUGUAUCUCUAACUCCAACAUCUUAUUGUAGUCUUUUAAAAUGUCAAAAGUUUAAUGCUAGCUUGAGAAAUUUUGGAAUGGAGACAUUCUAAACAAAGUUAAUAAUCCAUGAGACUUGGUAAAACCGAUCAGAUGAUGCUUACGUACAUGAAUGCCUUCUUUAAGCCGUAUCCUAUUUUCAUUGAAUGAGACGUGCCAUCUAGUUUUGUUCUUGUCUUGAUUGGAUCAUGAUCCCGGGAAUUGAUUACUGUUCUGAAUUUGCGAAUGUUCAAGGUAUUAGAGAAAGUUAAUAUUAUCGUUAAUUUACAUAUUAGUAUUUAUCUAGUUAUUAUAUAUUAGUUUGAAUUAUAAUAUAAUAUAGAAUUUGAAUCAAGUUUACUAUUAGUUUGAAUUACAAUAGGAAAUAAAGUUUGAAUUAUAGUAUAACUCAAAUAUAUUUGUAUAUAAAUAUCCAUCUUUAUCAAUGAGAAUAGUAAACCAUAUUUUUCUCUAUCUUCUUCUUUCUCUAUAUAUAUGGUAUCAAAGCCUCCAAAUCCUAAACCUAGUCUCAACUUAGAGCAAAUUUAGGGUGCAGGGUUUAGGCCCCGCCUCCCCCAACCCUUACCACAAAUGGUAGUGACCUUGUUAUGCCUAUGUAUUGUCAAUGCCUCAUUUUCUAUGGUCUUCAAUACAAUAUCUAGUUUCAAUGUCUCUUUCCUUACUAUCUCCAAUGCAAUAUAUUGAUUUCAAUAUCUCUUUACAACCAAGAGCUCCAAAUUUUCCUGGUUCAAAUCUACCAUAAUUUUUAUUCUCCUUUGCUUUUUACCAAUAUUAGUUCCCCUAAUUUAAUAUAUAUCUCUUUAUUACCUUCAACUCUACCUCUCUCUUUCUUUAAAAGCUUCCUCAAAGAUUUGAUUGCUUUCUUGCAUGUUUUGGGAAAACAAACAUGCUCAUAUUCUAUUACCUCUACUUGAGAUCUGCCUUAUACUCUACCUUCUUCUUUACCUCCUAUAUCAUCUACUACAUUAGCUUCAAAAACAUUAUUUAGUUUGAUGCUAAAUAAGGCUCCUAAUCCUACCCUUCCUUCAACUAACUUUCUUUUACAAGUCCCUCAAAGUUUUUUUUUUUUUUUUUUUGGAAAUUUGGCUUAGAAAGAUUUCAUUACUCUUACCUAAUCUUUCAACCAUCAAGUCGAAUCCACUUAUCUCUUGAAUCCAAGGAGACUACCCUCCACAAAAACAAGGAGAUUGACCCCCACAAUAACAAAGAGAUUGUCCUCCAUAGAAACAAAGAGAGCUUCCUUCAUGGAAGCCGAAUACAUCGCAAUCUAUUUUCUUUCUCUCAAGAUCAAAUCUCCAAUCGGAGCUCCAUCUUGUGGGGAUAUAUUAGAAAAAGUUAAUAUUAUCCUUAAUUUACAUAUUAGUAUUUAUCUAUAUUAUAUAUUGAAUUAGAAUAGAAUAUAGAAUUUGAAUUAAGUUUACUAUUAGUUUAAAUUACAAUAGGAAAUAGAGUUUGAAUUAUAGUAGAACUCAAAUAUAUUUAUAUAUAAAUAUCCAUCAUUAUCAAUGAGAAUAGUAUUCCAUAUUUUUCUCUUUCCCUGAGGCUUCAGAAUGUGAUCUUGAACAUUUGAUCUUUUGGAUUCUUCUUGUUUCGGUGGUUUAAUAUAAUGGAAUGUUUAAUUAUAGCCUACUUUAUCACCAUGGAUGUGCUCCUGCAGAUUUCUUGAGGGUGAUGGUUAUUUUGUCAUGUUUCUUGAAUGGUUUGCAUCAGCUGCCUGAGCUGUUGUUGCUGGUCACUUUUGCAACCAGGGAAAGAAUCAUGGCUUUGGAGAAGCCAGCUUCUGUUUUUGUUGCCCAGCUGUUAGUUCACUAAGAUUGGGGGUCCUAACAUGUAUGUAUAAUCAUAAGCAAGGAAAUUUUAUGUCUUACGCUAGAUAGGUACCAUGAUAUGAUGUUUGAUUGAUUUAUUAACUCUACCUGUUUCAAAAGGCAUCAACAUUAAUUUUACCCUUUUAACACAUUGGAUUGUUUGACCUUACGAGAUUUUCUAUUUCUGUACUAUUUGAACUGCAAUCGUUAUGGUCCUUAGGUCUCUAAACCUUCGUUUAAAAUAAAAGUAAGGAGCACACAUAGUAAAAGUUAAUUUUGGGUAACUUUUAAAACAAAGAGAAAAGUAAAAGUUGUUUUUGAGAAAAACAUAUAGAAAUUGAAAGAUUUUUUAUUUUGAGAAAAAAAAGUCAUAGAAAAGAAAUAAUAUCCCCAUAUAAGUAGAUAUGAUCUAUCCGAAGUGUAGCUACUCUCCUGGAUUUAUUCUAACAUUUUAAAAUUUUUCUCAAUGGGCAAAGGAAUAUCAAAUCAAGCUUGAGUAGGAUUAAUUUCUUAAUUUUUAAAAUAACUUAUAAUUAAAAUUUUUUGGUGUUUUCUUUUUUGGACAAUUUUUUAUGAAGACUCUGAAUCAUGCAAGAGAUAUGGUUAUUUUAAAAAAAAAAAUAAUUUAAAACUCAAAUACAUAAUCAAUGUCACAAAUUUAUAAACAAAAGGUUUUUAAAAAAUACUAUUAUUUCCCCUCUACACAUAAUUUUACUUUUCCGAUUUAUUUAUUUUUGUUGGAAAACAGUCUUCAAAUCAAGUAAAAUUAAUAUGUUAAAUUUGUUAAACAAAUAAAUUUUAAAAUACAAUUUGGAACUCAAAAAUCAAUUCAAGUAAUGCUAAAAUUCAAAAAAUCAAAUUUGGAAUAAAAUGACUUUGUAAAUUUUUUUACUAAACAAAUGAAUUUUAAAUCAAGUGAGAUUUAAUACAUUGGAUUUUUAUGAGAAUAGUAAUUUUAAAAAUUAAUUUGGAACUCAAAAAUAGACACAAUAAAUACCAAAAAUCAAUGAACCAAAAUUGGUUUGGAAUAACUCCAUAAUUUUUUAUUUAUUUAUAUAUUUAUUUUUUUGUGCACACGAAUUUCUUACUAAGCAUAUUGCUUCCAAAUUGAGAAAAAUUUACUAUUUAGAUUUUUUUAAUGAGUUUAAUGGUAUUUAAAAAUAAUUCAAAAAUUCGAAAAUUGACUAAUUUAAUAUUAUAAAUUCAUAAACCAAGACUAAUUCAAAAUGCAUUGGGGGCUAAGGGGGUUGAAAUUAAUGCUCCAUUUGGUUGUGGCCACCAAUUGGCAAUGGCCACCAAUCAACCAAUCAAGGUGGCUAAGGGGGUUGAAAAUAGGGACAAUGGGGUGGGUUUGGGACAGGACACUCAUAUCCCAUUCCCAUCCCAAUUACACAGUUAUUUCCCAUCCUUAUUCCAAACUUGUGUUGGGGCAAGUUGAUUUGUUCCCAUCUUUGUUAACGAAAUGACUAAUAACCUCAUCCUCUCCUUGUCUUAGAUGUACAUUUUCUCAAAUUUGGUCAGGUAUGAUUGAUUCAAGCCCUAACCUUAAUUGGUAAUGAGUGGAUACCACACCUAAUUGCAUUCUUCUUUCGUUGCAAAAUAAUGAGAUUAUAAUAAUCUAGCAAAUAAGAAAAAAUAGUAUGGAAGUUCAAAUUAACACCAUAACUAUCAAUAAUUUUAAGCUUAUAGAUGACUUAAAUGAUUGAAAACUAAUGCAAAAUACUAAAAAAAAAAAAAAUCAUCUAAAGAAUUCACAAGAGAAUAGAACGAACAAAACCAAAUAGGAACAUGGGUCAACAUUAGUUACAGAUUUUGAUCCCUUUCAAGGCCAAUCUUUGAACCAAGACUUCAUCAAAUCUACUACUUCAAAGGCUUUUGUGUUCUUCUUGAGUUGUACUCUGGAACAAAGACUUCGAGGUGAUGCUUUAGAUGAUUGCAUUACACAUAUUUAGGGUAGGGAGAUUGGAGAAGCUUGAAGAUGCCAACGAUGGGUACAAUUGAGUGGUCAAUAAGAACAAUGUGGCCUAUGACUAGUUUGAUGUCAUGGUAUAGGAGUUUUGGGCAUUGAGGUGAAAGCAAGAGCAACAUGGAAUUGAUUUCAAAGUCUUUCAAUUAGUGUAAAGGAGGAAGAAGAAGUGGUAUUGAUCCUAGAAAUAGUGUUUUAGGUGUUGCAUUAGAGGAAAAGAAAAAGAAAAAGAAGGAACCAUUGGAAUUAGUACGAGUGUGAAGAGAGAAGUGUAUACAUAAGGGGAAGUAAAAGCAAAGUUCUAAAAAUUUAUUUUUUUAUUGGUGGUGUAUGGUUGCAUGAUUAUCCCUAUAAAUAAUAGGAGUUUUUUGGUGUUCUACUAGUAGUUGAAGGAUAAUUUCAUAAGAUAAUAUUUAGAGCGGGGUGGGGUGAGUUGUGACAAAAUCCAUACCCGUCCCAAACAUUGGUUCAGGUUUUUAAAAUAUUUUCAAACUUAUCAUAUACCCAAUUUUAUAUUUCAUACUUGUCCUAAUAGAGACAGGUUAGUCAGGGUUACUUGAGUAGCCUACAAAACUAUCAUCCCUAGUUGAAAUGCUCUUUUUGGCAGUGGCAGCUAGAAGCUCGAUCGAUUGACCUACAAGACUAGUUGUCAUCAUUUUAAAAAGAGUUUUGGCUUUGGUUGUGAGUGCAAUUGAAUCUAAACUAACAUUUCCUUAAUGCAUCUACUUCAAUCCUAAACUUCUUACUUAAGCCUCAAUUGUUGUUAAGAUUUUGGAAAACCCAUUUCCUUAAAUUGUAAAUUUAAGAAAAAAAAAAUUAAAAGUGAGACAUUUCUUGAUUGAAUGUUGUUAAAGGUCCCUUGGAAUUAAGACUUGGUUGAAGCCUUGGAAGAUUAGCAGAACUCUCAACUUAUGUUUGAACCUUGAGGAGAGUGGACGUAGGCCAAAAUUUUGUCAAACCAUUAUACAAAUUGAGUUUGAAUUCUCAUUUCUUGAUUUCUUAUUUAUUUGCUUUUUCUUAUUAUUACUUGAAUUGUCAUUUGCAUUCAUUAAUGUUAAAAUUGGUUAUAAUUAGCCAACACUAAUUCUCUUUCCCCUUCCCUUAAUUUCUUGGGUGUAAACCUAGGUUGGAUUAACUAGAUUUUAUCAAAUCUAUUAAGAUGGUAAAAGAAUAAUUAUUCUUAACAUACAUAAGAUCAUCUUCAAUCAAAUGACUCAUUGGCUGAUAUGUUGAAUUUGCUUAUUACUUGCAACUCAAAAUUGUGUUCUAGUUGAUAUGUCAAGUCCUGAGUGUAUGGACAUUAAAUUUGUAGUACGUGAUGAGUAUUUAGAUGGUCCAAUUCCAAGAAAGUGAUUGAAAACUAGUUCAAGAAAGGUGCAAAAGGGAAUUGUUUUGGUAUUUUCGUUUUUAUUCUUGAAGGUGGCAGAGCUAAAAUUUGAGAAAUCAAGCAAAACAUACUGAAAUUACAUUGAAAGAAAGAAAAUGGGAGUUAAUGUCUUGCAGUACAUGAUAAGGACUUCAUGCAUGUAGUGUGACCCAUGUCUUGGACUGAUGCCACACUCACGGUUACACUUAUACCCUUAGUUCUCUCUUUACUACCUUAGCUAACCUAGAUCAGGUUAUGAGAUAGGCACCUCACCACACCAUUACUUGCCCAUUAAUUAGUGACAUUUUCAAGCAAUGAGGUAACAUGGUGACACCAAGAGGGUAUAUUCCUCACCCCCAACAAGCCUAGACCUGGUCUAAAAAAAAUGGAGAAAAAUGACGUGUUGUUAUGCAGAAAUAUAGCAACCAUGCCUUCCUCAUUACUUAGAUUCAGAAUGUGAAGGUGAAAUUGAGAAACAGAAACUCUUGAAACCAAAAUGAAAAUUGAUACUUUUACGAAGAAUUACAACAACAUUAGAGGAAGACUACAUUCUUCCUCUUUAUUCCUACAUUUCUACACUACUUCUACUCCACUCCAUAUUUCUACAUACAUCUUUAAUCAGUCUUCCCUCCUUUAUAUAGAGCCAUCUUCACACAAAUUCCGCAAGGUAGAAAAGAGGAAUGAAACUUGGAGCAAGGUUCGACUACUGGCUGUAGCUUGUCAAGGCUGAAAGUGAACUUUUUUUCUUGGCUUUUCUGGGCAUAGGUAGUAACUUGUAGGUUCCUUUUUGGAAUGAAAAUGGUACGGCUAGAACAUGUGGCACUCUCUUGUUGGAUGAUGUGUCAAGCAUGUGGCAGCCAUCUAGUGGAGAUUAUGUCAAUUUUGGGAUGGAGAGUUGGCAUCCAAUUGCAAAGAAAUAUGACAUCUACCAACAUGCAAUGUCAACCUAUGUAGAUCAUAUGAAGAUAGAGAGGAAAAAUAUAGAAAUGGAUAUAUAACUAGAACUAGCUUUUUAUUAAAUGAGACGGAGAGCCAACAAUGAAGGAAAAUCAAAAUUUUUGGCUCAUAUCAAAGAAUUCACAUUGUGUUACCCUAGGUUUUCUUAAAACUUACUUUUAUGAUAAUAAAAAAUCAUUAUUGUUUAAUCCUUUGUUUUAAACGCAUGUUUAGCAGGUUGUAAAAUGUAAAUAUCUUUCGAAAUUCAAAUAUGAAGAUAUGACAUCAUUUCAAGCAAUAUAGUCUCUAGGAAUUAAUGUAAAGCUAAAUUAAGGUGCAAUUAAGUUAGUUCAAUGCAUUAUUUUAAGAAACUUGACCUAUCAAAACCUUGUCUUACUUCAAAGCCUCUUUUUCUUUUCUUCCAACUAACAUUUUAAUAAGUGAUCGCAAAAGUACAAAAUUAGAUGAAAUCCAUUUCAAUGGUUAAAAUGAUCAAAUUCAAACUUUUUCUAAGUAUCUUUUAAAAGCAUCAAUAUUGAAAGACAAUUUUAUAUUUAGUCAAAGCUUGGACAGAGCCAAAAAGCACACAAAAAUUUAUAUUUUCUAGCUCUCUACCUUGGAUGGUCUCUUGAUCCUACUUGGAGAUGUGCAUAAAUAAAAGGAUUUGAAAAUGACAAUUGACUAAGUAUGUAGUCAAUCAAUUACUCAUUGAUUGACUAGUUGAUCAAUUAACUUUGCAACAUCAUAUGCAAUCCUAAUAGCUAGUCAUCUAAUCAACUAGGUAGUAAAUCAAUAGGCCAAAAAUAUGUUUAUAAUGACUAUUUUGUACAAAAACCACUUAUAUAGUUAAAUAUAAUGCAUUUCAUUUAUAAAUCUUCUAAUUCUUGAAUAACAAUCCUAUCAUCCUUUGAAAGUUUUUAUUACACCUUUUCUACAUUUGUUCUAAAACUUAUACAUCACCCUUAAUUGUACCAUGAGAACCUAGCAUUUUUUUUUUUUUUUUUGUAUUUCAUCAAAGUUAGCUCUUGUACUCAUUGUUGUAUUAUUUUUAUUGUAACUUAGAGAGCGAGUGUUUUCAAGUGAGUGAAAUUGACUUGUAAAUAUUGUAAAGAUUCAUUGAUAUGUAUCUCAAACUAGGUGUACAAGUUGAAACAUUUGCUAGUAGAUUUUCUCAAGAUUUAGAAUGAGCUUAAGGCUAUCGAAUUAGGUGGGGUUGCGCCAAACCAUAUCACAUCGUUGUUUGCACCUUUUUUUUCACUCUCUUUUACUUAGUUGCUCUAUAUAUAUUGUCUAGCAAUAUCCUAAAGGCUUGAUGGGCUAGGGAGCAUCCCUCUGAAUGAAAAAUUUUCAUUCAAUUCUUAGUUGUAUUACGCAUAUAUAAAAUGCCUCAUUGUUUUAAUGGUAUUCAGUCGUGGCACCACAGAUAUGGACAUCUAAAUUUUAAAAGUUUGAAACUUUUAGCUAAAGAAAAUAUGGUGCUUUGCCUUUUUGGAAAGCAUGUUGAUGAAAUCCAUGAGAAUUGUAUACUUGGAGAGCAACAUCGAGAUAACUUUUUUUUUUUCUUUUUUUAUAAUGCAUUGUUUGUCCAAAUUCCGUACAAAUUAGGCCACCACAUGUUCAUAAUUCUCCCUUCUUGAAUUUGAAAACUCGGACAAUUUGACAAUGCGACACCUAAGUCCGGUUUUUAAAUGCUAAAGUGAAAGGGCAGGUAUGGACCAUUGAAAUGUGAUAACAACUUUUGGCCUUUUCCUUUUCUCUGUAGCCAUGUUGUCUCUUUUUAAUUUCUUUUGCAUGAUUUUCUUACCUAAACAGAAUCAUAGACUUGUUUAAUCUCUAAGUGGGAUUUCAUCCACCUUAAGCUACUGUAUUAUAUCUCGGUGGAGGACAACCGACAUAGAGCACAUGCAAGUGGGUAUAUGGGACAUGAAAUAUCUUCUUAUAAAGCUUGUUUUGCAGUUAAAUUAAUUGGAUAAGUAGACACUGGCGUUUCUAAAUUUCCCACCUAAGAUAAUGACCUUAUCCUUGACUGCUAGAUACACAAACAAUUAUACCUUCAAAAUCUACUGUGAAGUGCUUCAUGUAUGUGUGAAGUAUUAGAAAUUUCUUUCUUGGCAACUUGUUUUUUUCUUUGCGGUCUACUGAUAGGUUUGACUAAAAUUAUAUUCCCUGUCCUGCUAAUUAAUUUUCACGUGCAUGCUCAAAAGAAGAGUAUGACCUUAGUGCACCAAAAUCACUUUCAAUAAUUUGUGAUAAGUUUUUUUGCAUGACAUUAACCUUAUUCAUUUAGAUAAUGUUUAGUUCUCAUAAAUAUUAAGAAAAUGAAAAUAAAUAUUAAGAAAAAUAUUCUUAUAUUUGAUUGUAUUAUGAAAAAUAUCAUAAAAAAUCAAAUAUAAUUAAAAUUAAUUAAUAAUUUAUAUAUUUUAAAAUUAUUUAAUUUUUAUAUUAAAGAUAUAAUAUAAAUGAAAUGAGUUUUAAGUAUUAUAUAAAAAUGAUUUAUUUAUUUAUUUAUAUAUAUAUAUAUAUAUAUAUUUAGUUUUUCUCUUUAUUUUAUUUUCCUUAUGUUUUCCUCACAUUUUCCGGAAUCAAAGAUAGGGAAAUCCACAAUUACCUUCAACUGAGUAGAUUCUAUUGUUUUAGCAAUGUUAGGCUGCUAACUUGUGGUGGUACGAACCAAAUGAUCCAUGUUAAUCUUGGCUUGAUUUAAUUUGGCUCUAUCUCAGAGAACUCAAGGAUCACGUCAACUCUGGUUUCUACUAUUCAGGUCCAUUCCCAGAUGAACUGGUUCAAAUUUGAGAAAAUGGUAACAGACCUUUAGUGAUAUUGGUUUGGAGCCAGUUGCCAAACCUGCCCUGAGCUUUACCACUAAUGUCAAGGGACAAAGCCAUUUGAACAAAAACAAUAGCUUCAAGAGACUGAAUCGUGGAUGAAAUCUGAUCCACAUUUCUUCUCAUUUUGGGAAAAAAUGAGGACUUAACCACAAAGAUUCUACUGCCUCAUAGUGCUUUUCCUGAUCUAAGGUUGGCUCGUUUCCCAAAUUGUGAGGUGCACGUGCCACUCUCACGCUCAGGAGUGUAUCCACGUGGUGGACAUAAGAUGGUGGCUUAAUAUCUGGUGUCGGUGGCUUUACUUUACUAGGAGAGUAGUGUGUCUUCAUCUCAUUCACUGCCAGAGGGUGGCGUAAGCAGUGACGCUAAGGUGGGGCACAGUCAAUAUCAUUUGCAUUUGACCAUUAUAAUUUUCUCCCGGCUUUAAAGUAACCUUAUCGUGAUAAUGGAUUACUAGCACUAGUUCAGAUGACAGUCAUGUUAAAUUCGGACCAUGUUUGUGUCACAUUAUCAGCAACCAUGUGCUUGUGGUUCAUGCUAUCUGCAACUAAACUUGAUAUAUAACCAGGUGAACUUCAAUCUAAAUUCUGGAAGUACUCAUGUGAUAGAUGGUGCCUGUCUGCAGUGAGUGUAUCUAUAAGAGGGAAGGCUUGGCAAAUGUUCAGUUUUCUGGGAAUUCAACAGGGAUCUAAAAUAGAUUGUUUUCUUUGCUGAUUUCAAUGGUUGAAAUUUGAGAAGAUUGUGUCCACAUAACACAACUAUUACUGGUCCUUCUGUUGCAAUUUAUCCUCUAAGGCUCUAACAUGUCUUCCAAUUCCCACUUCCCACUUCCCUGUUACUCCAGGAAAGCUGUUUCUGUCAUUGUGAAGAAGAAAAGAGACUGUACAUAUCGAUGCUUUUAAGUGGACUGGAGAAUUCAUAUCAGGUGGUCUGCAGCCAUACAUGCCACUUUGUGAAGGUUGGAACAGUCAAUCACUAGGCUAUAUUAGUGGGGCCCAGCCACUUCAAUCAAGGACAAGUCUUCAUACUUAAAGUCAAAUUCUGCCUUUAGUCUCAUUAUAAAUUGCUGUUUAAAUAUCAAGCAAACAUUUGUUUAAUGCGAUUAAGACAGCACUAACUCAAUACUUGUUCUAUUUUUGGAUGCAAAUGCUUGAUAGUUUCAUCAUUGGAGGGGAUAAAGGUGCAUUCAUGAUUAUGAAUACUUGUAGUUAUAUUUUCAUUCUCUUUUUUCUCAAUGGGACUUGUUGGCACAAUUUUGCUGUUCAGAAACCUACCUCUCCAUGGAAAAUCAGUUGUGAUUGAUAUUACUGGAUAUAUUCAAGAAAGCUAAAUGUAGAUAGCACAAAAUAUUAUCGACAUAAAUAGCAUUAACAGCGUACGUAUGUCUCAAUGCUCAUCAGCUAUAAGCAAGGGGCAAACACUUACUAUGAGCAACUUACGUCAAAAUUCCGGAAUAGGACAUAGAAGUGACAGGUCAGUAAAUAUAGAACACUGCAUAUGAGUCACAAGAAAGGAAAUUACGGGUACAUAGCAGCUCUUAUUUUACAUCCUACUCAUACUGAUCAAAGUCACUCAGUUGGGAUGGGUGGGAGUGGGAGGUUUGUGGGGUGGCUUGUGCGGAGGAGUUGGCAGCUUCUUUCCAGGACCUGGUUGCUUCUCUGCUGGAGUUGAAGGAGGCUUAAUCUUCCGAGGUGGCUUGUAUGAGUCUUCAGCAUUCUCAGCAGGAGGGUGACCAGGGUUGUGACCACAAUGUGGUGGCUUCUCUCCCUUAGGUGGUUUGCCAACUGGGGUUGGUGGCUUGUGUUCCGGAAGUGGCUUCUCUUUGUGUUCAGGAGGUGGCUUCUCCACUGGAGGCUUGUGUUCAGGAGGUGGCUUCUCCACCGGAGGCUUGUGUUCAGGAGGUGGCUUCUCCACCGGAGGCUUGUGUUCAGGAGGUGGCUUCUCCACCGGAGGCUUAUGCUCUGGUGGUGGCUUCUCCACCGGAGGCUUAUGCUCUGGUGGUGGCUUCUCCACCGGAGGCUUAUGCAAUGGUGGUGGCUUCUCCACCGGAGGCUUGUGUUCAGGAGGUGGCUUCUCUACCGGAGGCUUAUGCUCUGGUGGUGGCUUCUCCACCGGAGGCUUAUGCUCUGGUGGUGGCUUCUCCACCGGAGGCUUGUGUUCAGGAGGUGGCUUCUCCACCGGAGGCUUGUGUUCAGGAGGUGGCUUCUCCACCGGAGGCUUGUGCUCUGGUGGUGGCUUCUCCACCGGAGGCUUAUGCUCUGGUGGUGGCUUCUCCACCGGAGGCUUGUGUUCAGGAGGUGGCUUCUCCACCGGAGGCUUAUGCUCUGGUGGUGGCUUCUCCACCGGAGGCUUGUGUUCAGGAGGUGGCUUCUCCACCGGAGGCUUAUGCUCUGGUGGUGGCUUCUCCACAGGAGGCUUGUGUUCAGGAGGUGGCUUCUCCACCGGAGGCUUAUGCUCUGGUGGUGGCUUCUCGAAUGGGGGAUGCGUAGGGUAAUCAGCUAGUGAGGGGGCGGUGAGAACCACCAGGCCAAGCAACACUACUAGCAAGUAUGUAGGAGACAUCUUUGGGUUUGGGCUCAGAUGGUGCAAAACUAGGAGAAUUGGCUAGCCUUUUAUAGCGGAUCGUACCCAAUAAUGAAAUGACACGUGUCAUUAUGACCCAUGUGUCAUGUGGUCGAUUUGGGUCCUACAGUGUUGAAAACUUCGACAUCCACUUUUUUGGCCUUUUGCUUUCUCUACAGUCGCCUUGCUUUUUCCCUCUUUUCUUUUGUUUUCCUCCUGCCCCAUUCUAUCAACUAAUCACAAUUAUGUAGUUGUUUAAUUCUUAAAUGAGAUAUUAUCCGUCAAUCAUAUUAUCUUUUAUCAAGAGAGAACGGAGUGAAAAGUGGCAAUCCAAAGAAAGAAGAUCCAUAAUGCAGCUGUAAUUUUAUCGUUUACUUUUAUCUCUAGGACCACUGCAUUUUUGUUGAGAGGUGCAAUAAUACACGUCUUUAUCUGCCAUUCAAUGUUUACAGUAAAGAGAGGGCACAAAACUCUUCACUGCUCUGCAUGUGCCCCAAAAAUGCAAUUGGACAAAUUAUGAUUUGCAUGCUAAAAAGAGGCAAAUGAGGUUAAUUAGCACCAAAAUUAUUUUGUUUUCUGGACACCCCGGGGCCCUUUGGUUGGUUUGGGGGUCAGAAAAUGAACAUCAUAGGGGGUUUUUCCCUAAUGUGCAUUUGCAUUUGUAUCUGAUGGCUUUAACUCGCCUUGUUACUACAAAGAAAUUGUCACAGAUAGGAACUUAUUCCAGGCUGAGUAUCUCCGCAUGGACCCUAUAAAAGAAGACAAGUCAUAAUGAACAUCUAACCUUUGUUCAAUUUGAUUCAAUGCCCCUAUUGUGUCCAUCUCACAAAUCUGAAUUAUUAUAUCCAUUGAAUACAUAAAUUAAUGAAGAAAAUAUGAAACCCAAGAUACAUCUCUGCACAACCUCAACCCUGGUUGCUAUGUUUCACUUCUAUUCACAUGAGGAUAUUGAUUACGGAAUAAGGAAACCUAGCAAGGGUUUACUCGGCUCUGGUUUGAUGCUAAUUGCCAAACUUGCAACAAGCCCUGAGUUUGACACCUAAUCGAUGGGCGAAUUAAAAGUCUCCUCCAAACAUAUAUUCCACAGCUUGAAGCUCACAGAAGAUGCUAUACAGGCAGGGAAAAACCUUCAGAGUUAGCUACCAAAGAUAAUUAUCAAGGAGAUAUCACCAAGAGAAUUCCAUGGAGUCUGAAUCAAAGACAAAUUGCUCGCUCGUGGGGGUUCUUACUUAAUUUCUUUUGGGUAUAACUCACUGAGGGCACUGGCUUUGUUAUUUGCAUUUCGCAUUUAGAGUUCUGUUCUGGAAGGUUUGUUCUGGAAACAUAUAAAAGGAGCAUCAUUUUGUUCUAGGGUAACCCAUAGUUGUGAGUGGGUCCAUUUGCAUGCUACUUAGUUGAAAAGUUGGACAAUUUGCUCCGACGCCUACCUCCUGGAUUCCAUGCUCGGAUAAAGCAAGAAUAAUAAAAUAUUUAUAAUUUACAAAUGGGGGAAAGAAAAAAAUGUCAACAACAAACUAGGAAAAAAGAGUAGUAAAAUUUAUGCCACAUGCUAUUGAUAGAAGGGGCAUGUAUUAGAUCCAUCACCAUUUGGUAAGAUUUUAGUAUUAUAUUUUUCAAGGUUCAUUAUUUGAGGGUGUGUUCUUCAUCUCUGUUGCAUUGCUUCUUACUAGGCCCACUGAGGUGGGUUCUUCACCUUUUGUAUAUUCUCUGCACUAGAUCAAUGAGAAAGGGGGAAUUUUGGUGAAUUUGCAGCCGUUGGAUGAUUGAUUCUAGGCUCAGUCCACCAAUGAUGCUCUCUUCACUCUUUCUCAUCUAGUGUCAUUCACAACUAUGUUUUGAUUCAUAUUUGUACUAUCAAAGAUAUCUCAUUAUUCUAGCUCAUUAGGUAGAGUUCCUAAUCUUCCUCCUUUUUGGUCUAUGGACAGUAUUGGCUUCAUAUUAAGAUCAUGUUUCAAUAAUUGCACAUUAAUGAAUGGAUCAUGACCCACAUAAACAGAGUCAGGGUUGAGUCAGUGAACCCUAAAAUUUCACAAUUCUAAAUUUGGGUUCUUUAACAAUGCAGGGUCAAGGACGCGUGGUGAUGAAGGAAAGCUGGUAAGCUCAGUGUUACUUCAAUUCCUGCCAUGUAGGAUGGUGAGGAGAUAUUCACUAUGCAAUUAAUAAUAGACAAUAUUCACUAUGCAAUAAUAAAGCAUAAAUUAAGUUGAAUGAAAAGCAUUUUCUUUGCAAGGAGUUGAUUUUGGUUUCAUAGUUUGUUCAACUGCUAUUUUGGAUAGGAAAGUGUGAGGAGAAGAAAAUAAAAAAUAAAAAUAAAACAAAAAAUAAAAAAUAGAUUUUAUAAAUUCAUUUAAUUUAUUUUUUUUUUAUAAAAAUUAACUAAUUUAAAAUAUAUGUAAAUUUCUAAUUAAUUUAAUUACAUUUUUUUUUUCAGUUUUUCAUAAUAAACCAAAUAUUAGAAAAUUAUUUUUAUUAAGACACCCAAGAUGAGGUAAUAUGCAAUGAAAACAUGAAUUAUAUUAAAAUUCAAAACAAAUUAAGAGAAAUCGGAAAAUAUACAUAGAUAUCUAAACAAAGAAAUUUAAAGAGAAGGAACCACAAACUUUAUUUACAUAAUUUGAAAAUAAAAAACAUAAAACAUACUUAUAGUAAGGAGAAAUUGAAUAUCUUACAAUGGAAGAAGGGAGAAAAGCUUUGAAGAAAGCUUUUGCUUGGAAGCUUACAUGGUGAGAGGUAGAGAAAGGAGAGAGAGAGAAGAAAAUGAAAAAUGAGAAGUGGAGAAAAUUGGAAGUUUUGUGUGCUUACAACUGAGGAUAGAGCCUCCUUAAAUAGCAAAAAAUGGAAUAUUAAAUAGUACCAAUCAGGAGACAAAAUAUUGUUUGCUUUUGAAACCCGUGCAUGAAUAGUAAUCCCGUGAGUGAAUAGUGAAUAAUAAAAGUGAAUAGUAAAAGUCACUUUCUACUAUAGCACUUUAGACUUUUUCAUCGAGAAUCUUACUUUCGGCUGAGUGAUGAUAGCUGAUAGGUUGCUUUGGAUUGUGGAGUCAUAUGUUUGAUGUUUUCGGUGCUGAAACCGCUUAGUUGGAGAAUAAUCUCGUCAGUAGAGCAUCAUGAGAAGCUUGAAUGGAGAGAGCUUAAUGAUGCCAUAUGAUUGGAAGGAAUCCUAUUUUAAUUUCCUUAUUGGAGGGAGAAUACCCUCACAAUCAUCUUCAUUAUCUUGAAGGUAGUUUGAUAUAGAGUCAUCUGACUCAGCAUAAGAGUCCUCUUGGGAGAAGCUUGAACUGCUUUUGUCAAGGAUUUUCUGAAAUUCUUGAGGGGUUUUUGCUAUUGCUAACAUGGUUUGGAGUUGCUGUUUCUUAAGAAGAAACUGUGCAAUAUCAUAAGAUGAUGAAGCUUGUGUAGGAUGCUUUAGGAAAUAUUGCUUUAUUGCUUGUAGUGAGGUAUCAUUUUUCAAGGCAUCCCACCACUUAGACUUGAAAGUCCUUCCAAGGGUUGGAAAGGCUGCUGAUUCAUCUGCUAUAAUGAUAUAAUCCCACUGGACUAUCCAGGCAAGGCCAAAUUCACUAAAAAAGAAUAAUAAUUGGGGAAAACUGAAAGUUCUCUAGGGAUAACAAAAGAACUUUGGAAUAGCUCAAAGCCAUCCAAAAUGGGUUUUGGGAGAAUUUUAAUAGUUGGACCAAAAUAUGUCCACCAAUUGUGGAACCAAAAUGGAAAAGAGGGGAGUUGAUGCUUAGAUGGGAAAUAGAACAUCCCUGAAUGAUGGAAGUCCUUGUUCUGGAUCAGAAAAGCAUUGAACCAUACUCUUUGGUAGUCUCAAUAAUUGAAAAUUUUAGGUUUUGAAGGCUUAGAAAAUUCUCUUGAAAAAUUAGGAUUCCCACCCCACUGCUUAACUGUAAGGAUUUUAUAAAUAUGGUAAGUGGAGAAUGCCAAAUCCAAAUUGCUGAAUUUAUCAGCAUUGUGCUUGAUUUUAACAGAGCCGGUUUCCAUAAGGAUUGCUUCAUAAAAUUCUCUUGUUUUUAAAAGAUCACCAAAGGGAUAAUGAAAAUUUUCAUGAAAAGCUUUUGCUGCAAUAUCUCUAGGGUUUUUAGAGAAAAACUCUUUUUCAAUAACCAAAAGAGGUUGAUUUAAAUCUUUUUGCCAAUAUCUUGCUUUUGCUGAAAGAGGUGUGGGGUUGGCUACCACCACAAUUUGCUUAUUUGAAAAAGAAGAGCUUGAUGCUAAUUCAUUUUGAGAGGGAUUAGCUUUAGUAACCUGCUUAAAGGUCUGAGACACAGUAAUAGUUGGAUACUGAGUAGCCUUGACUGGUUUAGAAGGAUUCGAAGGAUCAUAGUACAAGGACAAAAUCUUAUUAGGCAUAUGGUCAGAAGAAUGAAGCCUUGCUUCUUCUUCUAGCUCAACUUGUUGGCUCCAAAGUAUUUUAUGGGGAGAAGGUUCUUUGCUGGUUUUAGAAGACUAGGAUUCUGGAAGUUUAGGAGCUUGGGUAUUCUUUUUAGGGGCCAUGGUUUCGUGAAUCCUGUAAAAUUCACAAGUUAAGAAAUCAGGGCUCGAAGAAUGUUCUCCUUUAAUAUACUCAAUUUGUAAAUUAAAAUUGCUUAAAAUAGCUUGAUAUAUAGCAAAAAUAUGCUUAGAAGUUAUAUUCUUAACAUCCUUUUGUAAAACUAAUUUUGCAAAUUUACAAUCAACUCUUAAUAAAAACUUUUGAUUCAAAAGAUCAUCUUGAAAUUUUGAAAUGCAUAAAACAACGCUUAAAGUCUCUUUUUUAAUGAUGUUAUGAAUGAGUUGGGUAGUAUUCCAGGUUCUUGAAGUAUACCUAACUAACAUCUCAAGGUUACCAACACUUUGCUUAAGAAUCCCACCAUAACCUAUGUCUGAGGUAUCGAUCCCAACAAACUCAAAGGUUUCUGGAUUGAUAGAGCCUAAACAUGGUAGGGUCUUGACUUUGGACUUAACAUCAAUAAUGAAAACAAUGGUGAAAACAGAAAACUGGUUAAAGUUUUCAUCCAUUAUAUUCUGGAAUUCUGAGGUGCAUUCUUAAGAUCAAAGGGCAUUAUGAACCAUUCAUAAUGUCCAAGAGAUACCACAAAGGUGGUCUUAUUUGGAAUAGGACACCUAAUCCAACUUAAUGUAUCAUUAAGAGGCAUGUAGUUGACGACUAGUCUAGGUGUUCCUUUUUCUGAUUCAACUUGUUCCUGAACAUAGAAGGUUGAACAACUCCAAAGGGACUUAGACUUCCUUAUCAACUUUUUAUCAAGAAGAUCCCAAAUCUCCUUAUCACAAUAGCUUAACAAACCCUUGUUCAUCUGGAUAGGUCUUGAUUUAGUGGGAAUAUUCUUGUCACUAAAGUCUAGUUCAUAAGGUAAUUCUACCUCAUGUUGUUUCCUAUGCCAAAAUGCAUUAGGAAUGUUAGAGCAAACUUCUUCAACAAUCAGAUUAAUUUCUUGCUCAUGACUUUCCUUAGCUUGAAUCACCUGAUCCCUUAAGGUGUUUAUAUUUUUCUUAUUAGGUGGUUGGCAAAUUCAAAAAUAAUUUCCUUAUCUAAGAGCUUUGUUCUUAUACUUUGGUCAUCUACCCACAUGGGAUAGAUGGAGCUUAAAAAGGGGAUUCCAAGGAGAGCUUUCUCCUUAAGAUCCUUAACUAGAAUGAAGGUUUGCUUGAUGCAAAUGCCUUGGUUAUUUAUGUGAGCAUCUGACAGCUUAUACUCAAUGUCAAGCCUUUUACCAUUAGCUCCAAAGAGAGAUUCUUUGGUUUUCUUACAAAACUUAAUAGGACCUAGACCUUCUUGUAGGCAAUUCAAAGCUGUUCCUGAAUCAAUCAAAGCAACAAUAUCAAUGACAAAUUUACUCUUAAUUACUAUAGUAAGGGAGACUUUCCACCUCUGGAAAAUAACCCUACUAACAGUAUUUAAGUAUCCAUCCGUCUUUUCAUCAUUAGCAUGUGAAGAUUCUAGAACCUCUUCAAGGUUUUCCUAGUUAUCAACAAGAUUUUCUAUAACAAUCCUAUUUAUUUGUUCUUGGAGAUCUGAAAAACCUAAGCUUGUGUAUUGUCUUAAAUCUUUAAUUUCCUUCUUAUACUGUCUUACUUCUUCUUGAAGAUCCUUAAUGGUUACGUCUUUGGUAGACUACUGGUUAAAUCUUCCUAAGAUUUCAUUUAAGUUAUAAGAAUUUACUGUCUUCUUAAUCUCUUGCUUAUCGACAAAUUUCUUAAAAACUUCAUAAAGAUCUUGUUUAGUUUUUUCAUCUUCAACUUUCCUUAAAACAUCUAGGACAAGUUCUUGAUCUUGGCUUAUGACAUUUAUAGUCUUAGGUUGGCAAUCACAAUUAUCCUUAAUGUAUUCUUCUUGGUCACUAGAAGUUUGGCUUGAGAUUUCCUCACCACUACUAUCUAGUUGGUUAAUACCAUUUUCAUUAUCUGAAUCAAUCCUUGAUUCAGACUCUGUGGAAUUUAACAUUACUUUACAAAGCAUAUCUUUUAAGUCUUCUGUGACAUUUAAGUUAUUAAUUUUCUGCUUAACCCUACAAUCUUUCUUAUAGUGGCCUAUCUUACCACACUUAAAACAAACUGGCUUAGAUUGUGAAGGAGCUUCUAGCUUUUUAUGGGCUUCUUUGUUCAUCAUUCUUUGGAUGUGCCUUUGUUUCUUAGUUUCAUUCAUCCUAUAGUUGCCAUGAGUUCCUCUCUUGUUGUGAUAGGACUUUUCCUUACUAGGCUUUGUACUUACUUGUUUCUUACGUUGCUUAGAGGGGGGCUUAGUUUCUUUUUGGUUGAAUCCAAACUAGCUACAAAAUGAACCAAACUCAUUCUUGUAGAUCCUUUGUUCAUUUUUCAUCUGUUGCUUAAGCUUAAAGUCAUUGCACAGUUUAAUUGCUUCUGAUGUGACAAUGCUUAUAAUUUCUCCAUAAGAAAGCUUAUCAUAAGGGAUUUGUCCAUUAAACUGUUCCCUUAUCUUAAUCCUAAUCCUCUCAGAGAAAAGUCUAGGUAGUCCUAAGAUGAAUUUUUCUUUCCAAAAAGACUGGUUAUAGUUUGAUCUUAGUAUGACUUUGGUUAGGAAAACUUCUCUAUACCAUCUAAAGUCAUGAAGCUUGGGACACUUAAGGUUGGUUAAGAGAUCUACAAUCUUAUCCUUAAUCUUUGCAGGAUCUCCAAUGAAGUGCUUUGAAAUUGAAUAGAUUAGAGUAGCCACUACAUCCUCUAUAUCUUGUCCAUCUUCAUCCUUAACCACUUCAUUUUCCUCAUUAAUCCUAUAGGCUUUUAGGAUACCAUUUCUAUCCUCAAAGGUGAGAUAAUUAUCCCACCAACCCUAAAGUUGACCUGUAAACCCAACAACAAUUGUUUGAGCUACAGCAUGGCCUGACAAUCUAUUGUUUAACUUAUAGGUUGUACUAACCAUGGUCAUUUCUUGAAGCUUAGUGAGUAUGUUGUACUCAAUCAUACCAUCUAUGUUCCAUUCAUAGAUAGUGUCACUAGUGUAGGAAGCUUGAGUAUGCUGGUUUCUUUCCUCAUACUACAUAUCAGGAAAAGUUGGUCUAGGGUAGUAAUUCCUAGUUCUUGGUUGUUGAUAAUCCUCAUAACUGUUUGGUUAGGAGGUUCCUUAAAAAUCUUAAUUAGUUCAUCAGCCUCUGCUUCAGAACUAAUUUCUCCUUUAACCAUAUUGAUUCUCUUGUGAGAUGGUUGAGGUGUCUCAGAGACAACAAGGCUAUCCUUAACCUUUUGGCUUAUCCUAUCAAUGAGGGCUUGAUCAAUAUGGAGAUUCUCUAGGAAUUUCUUAGAGAAUUCAAAAGGCUUAAAUAAAGACUUAUUAUCUUUCUUAACAAACGUAGUCUUAAUGUAGUCUUGUGUUUCAAUGAUAUCCUCAAACUUGUUGAGUUGAUCGCCUGUAGUCUUAAGAAACAUGUUAGUGUAGUUGUUUUGUUCCAUGAUUCUUCUAACGUCAACAACACUAUCAAUUCCUUUAUUCUUUGGCCUAGUCUUAAAAGGUGAAGCUUUGACUAUGGUUCAAUUAAUGUUCUUUUAUAUCUUAGCUUCUAGAGGGUGGAUGGAUUCUAUGAUAGUAUCGUCACUAGUUUUCCAUAUCUUAGUUUUUUUGGAUGUGUCAUUGACACGCUUACUAGGGUAAUCUAGAUAUUCCUCUUGUUUGAAGAGUUCAAACCAGAUCCAAUACUUAAUGUUCUUCUUUUCUUGUCUUAAGUAUGUGUAGAAUUCUUCUUGGUAGAGGGUUCUAAUGUCUUUAAGGACCUUGCUAAAGAACCAAACUCUCCUUUUCUUAUUGACUUCAGAAUAGAAGUCUUUCCUUAAGAGGUCCUUGUUGAUUCAAAGUCUUCGUUAAUUAGGCUUACAGUGUUAAUCAACUGAGAAUAAGUAGGAGACAUAUCAGGAGAUUCGUCCUGAUGUGAUUCUUGAGUAAACUCAUUUUCCUCCAUGUAAAAGGGUUUGGCCACGUUGGUGUGACUUCUAACACCUGUUAGCUUAAUAUUCUUAGGAUUUGCUGAACUAGAUCCUUCCUCUAUCCUAGUGGUUCUUAUUGGGAUAGAUGAACUUGAAGCUCUAGAGGGCUCAUAAUAUGAAAUUCUAAGGCUGCUAGAAUGAUGAAAAGAGUUGGAGAAAAUUAGAUCUCGUUCUCCAUCAGGAUAUUGAACAAUCUGUUCAAUUCUUUCAGAUCUUUGCUCUAUGGCUGGGACAACAUUAGCAAAAUGCCAAUUUUCUGGAAACUCAACCUCAUUCCACUUGAUUUUCAUGGGGACUAUGAAAUUAGACUUGUUUAUCAUAUCUAAGUGGAAGAUAGUGGUUUCACCCUUGGGACUGGUGCACAAUGCUCCAAAUCCAACGCUUAUGGUCAUGCUCUUAUAGGCAAAUCUGGUGAUGAUGGAAACAUGAUUGUUUCCUUGCUUGAACUUAAAGUCAUGGGUCUUAACAUGAAGGACAACUGAAUCUAAGAUGUUGACAUCUCUUAGUCUAACUGUGAAGUUAGGGAAACACUGGAAAUAAACAGGACCAUCAUUUAAUCCUGCUUGGGUAGCUCCAAUAAUAGAAUCUCGGUAAUCAAGAUGUCUAUUAUCUCUUAAACACAUGACAAUAAAGGUGUUUAGACCUAGUCUUGUCAAGGGCUUAGCUGCAACUUGAAUCAUGCCAAAGUGUAUGAAGUUGUAGUCUCGCUUAUGCUUAUCAAUGGACUUACUAUCCAAGAGUCUUAUGACUUGAUCGUCGUGUUCUAAACUUACUGACAUUUCAGGGGUUUUAAUGGUGUAAUCUGUAAAGAACUUAAAGGUUCCUUUCUUAUAAAUUUCUUGAUUAGGUACCUUGGGUAACUUCCAAUCAUCUAAAUCAUCUUGGAUCUUAGGAUAAUUGAUCUCUUCAUUGUUUACUCUUGAGAAUUUGUGGAUUUCCUAGACAUGGUUCUGAAAAUCAAACUCAUUUUAAGGUUUUAAUCUAGAGCCUAAUAGCAGAUUAACAGACCUAGUGAGUAAUCACCCCAACCCUUUUCCAACCUUAACAAACGCCUAUCUCCAGCUAACAAUGGGCUCAACUCGGCAAGGAUCGCACUCAGGCACACUACUAUCUUUCCUAGGAUAGAUCAAAACACCCAAAACAAACCCGACUUCCUUUUCCUAGGAUAUAUAUAGUAUUUUGGGUUUGAGUAGGAGUUCAUGUUUUGUAUGUAAUUGUAGUCUACGUUGGACUAGGUUGUUUGCUCCUAAUUGAAAUAGGAAUGGUUGGUGUCACAUCUCAUUCAUUUUCUCAUCUAUUUCCAUGUUUAGAUAACUCAAGUAAUCAUAGGAAUGAAAUUAAGAAUGAUUUGAGGGAAAUGAAAUCUCACUUGUAAGUGGGAUCUCAAUUCAUCAUUAAUAGAAGGUAUUUUGAUUACAUAGUGCAAGUUAUUUUUAAAAACACUUUUCAAAAAUUGAAAAACCAAAAACUCUCUUGGAUAAGUUGUUUUUAAAAAGAAUUUUUGUAUUUUUAUUUUGUAAAAAAAAAAAAUAGUAAUUCAAUUUAUAUAAUAUAAAUAGACUUUAAUUUUAUUAAAAAUAAAAAUAAUUUUUUAAUUACAAAUAAAUUAAAAAAUAAAUAUUUGUAAUAAAAUAUGAAUAGUAAUAUUAUAAUAAAAUCAUAAAUAAAUUAAAAAUAUUUUUAAAAACAAAUAAGUUUAAUUUUUUUGAGGUACAAAUGAGCCAAAUUUUUCAUUAGGUACACAACCAACAAUUUUUAUUGGAAACAUUCCUCAAAAAAGAAUUCGUUUCCCAUAUAGCAAAGAUAUUUAUUAUUUAGUAUCUAACCAUCCGUAGUAAUCAUAUCAAUUCUACUAAGUUAUUUAAUAAUUCAUUUAUAUAUAGUACUCAAUUAUGAAUUUUUUUAUUUGAUGUAUAAUUAAUUAAUCAAUGUUUUGAAUUUUGAAUUAUUCUUAAAAUUUAAAACAUUAAUUAUGUCUAUUACUUUUUAUAGUCAUUAUAUAUAUAUAUAUAUAUAUAUAUAGAGAGAGAGAGAGAGAGAGAGAGAGAGAGCUUAAAUUUAUCUUUAAAAAUUAUUAAAUUUAUUAAUAAAUUCAAUACAAAGACUCAUUUGAUUUGAAAUUCAUUUCUUUAGUGAAAAUUUUGAAACUAAAUAGUACUUUGUUUUACUUUGUUUUUAAAUCAUACUCACAAAUAAGUUUUUAUCAUUUAGCCAAAAAAUCUCAAAGAUGUUUCUAAUUUUAUUUAUUUAUUUAUUUGUAAAUGAAAAUAAAAAAUUAGUUUAAACUAAAUAUGCGGAUAUUAUUGUUAAUUUAUUUCAUUUUUUAUUUCCAUUGUUAUUUAACAUUGAAACGGAAACAAAUAAUCAUUCCAAUCUUACAUUCUUAUAUGCAUCUAAACACAAGAAUUGAAAUCACCAAAUUCAUAUUCAAGGCAAAAUAGAAAUGGAAAAAAAAUAUUCAUUUUCAUUCCUCAUUCUCAUGUGCUAAACAUGACAUUAGUUCUACUACCUAUUUCACCAUUCUUCUUGAUAAAUUUGGUAUAUGCAAUAUUGAUCUAAGUGUGAGGUGAAUAAGAAUGAUGAUGGGAUGGGCUUGGAAAUAAGGGCAAAGUUUCUAGGUGCUAUCUAGAGGGGCAACGCGACUUUUUCAAAUUUCGAAUAUUUGUUCUCAACAUAAAGCAAAACUUUACUCACACAAUAGAUAAGACUCUGUUUGUUUUCUUCAUCCACGACUAUAUAAUGUAUAGCUCUUACUCAAGGGAUGAGCUACUUACUAUUAAGGAUUGGGUAAGAUAUUGCCUAAUGGCCAAGAAGGCAUGUCAAAAAAUAAAUCUAAUCACCAUAAAAAAUAAUAGGGGAAAAUUAAUAUAUUAUGAAUGAUGACUUUACUAUUUCUCUAUAUACAUAAUUAUAUAUUUUGAAUUUUCUCACUAGGUAAUGAGAUUCUAAAUCAACUGAAACAUAAUUAAUAAUUUAUAUUUUUAAUGAAUCUUUUAAUUUUUAAAAAUAAUUUAAAAUUUUAAAAAACAAUUCAAUUAAUUACAUAUUAAAUCAAAACAUUUCAAAAUAUUGUGUUUGUAGAUGAGUACUAAAUGCUUGCAUAUAAUAAUAAUAAUAAAAAAAUUGACUCAUUUAGAUGUUAAAAAAGUUAAAUGUUUUUCAUUAUUCAUUUUAAGUAAAAUAUUAUUGACAUUAUUAUUAUAAAAUUAUUAUUAUUCAUUUUUAACAAAAAACAAAAUAAGUUAUUCUUUUACCAAGAUGUCAAUAUCUAUAUUUUUCUAACAUAUAUUAAAAUAGUAUACUUUUCUUUUAUUAAAAAUAAUAAUUAUUAUUAUAUUAUUAUUCAAGUUUUAUUAAAAAAAUUUAUCUUUUAAUUCAUUUGUAAUUACAAAAUAAUUUUAUUUUAUUAAGAAUUUAAUUUAAUUACGCUUUUUUUUUUUAUAAAAAAAACAGUUAUGCUUUUACCAAGAUGUUAAUAUUCAUAUUUUUCUAGCUAACAUAAAUAGAAUAGUACACUUUUUCAUAUAAAAAAAUAAUUUAUGAUUUUAUUAUAAUGUUACUAUUCACAUUUUACUAAAAAUAUUUAUUUAUUUUAUUUAUUUUUAAUUAUAAAAUAAUUUUAUUUUCAAGAAUUUAAUUUUAAAAAAAUAGAAAUCAUUUAUUCUUUUACCAAGAUGUUAAUAAACAUAUUUUUCUAACAUAUACUAAAAUAAAAAAGUUUACUUGUUCAUUAAAAAAUAUAAUUUAUGUUUUUAUUAUAAUACUACUAUCUAUGUUCUACUAAAAAUAUUUAUUUAUAAUUAAAAAAUAAUUUCAUUUUUAAUAAGACUUGAACUAAAUUAAAUUUAUAAUUUUUUUUUAAAAUAAAAUAGAAAAUUAUUUUUUAAAAACAACUUAUUGAAAGAAAUUUUUUAUUCUUUACUUUUAAGAACUGUUUUUAAAAGCAACCUAUAAACCCCUUUGGGUCUGUUUGGCUAUGUUUCAUGCAACUUGUUUUUAAAAAUUGUUUUUUAUUCUUUAAUUUAAUUUUUUUUAAGUUAAAGAAUAAAAAACAACUUUCUAGUGUUUUAUAAAAAUGAGAGCUUUUGACAAGUUGUUUUUAAAAACCAUUUUUAAAAAUAAAAAAUAAAAAACUUAUUUAGAUAAAUUGUUAUAUAUAUAUAUAUAUAUAUAUUUGUAAAAACAUUUUAAAUUCAAUUUAUAUAAUAUAAAUUUAAUUUAAUUUAAGUCUUAUUAAAAAAAAAUUGUUUGGAUAAGUUUUUUUUUUUAAAUAGUUUAUUAUUUUUGUUUUGUAAAAACAUUGCAAAUUCAAUUUAUAUAAUAUAAAUUAAUUUAAUUCAAGUCUUAUUAAAACCAAAAUAAUUUUAUAAUUACAAAUAAAUUUAAAAAUAAUUUUUUUAGUAAAACAUGAAUAAUAAAAUUAUAAAUUAUAUUAUUGUGGACCCUGCAUUUAUGCUCAUGCGCUUCCACUUGUUGGCGAACUCAUUUUUUAUUUGAAAAUGAUUUAUUUUUUUAGAAAAUGACUUAGAGUCGCCACUUAUUUUUGUUUUAUUUUUAAAGGGCAAGCAAAAUAAGAAAGAAAACCCUAAGUGUGACUCCUUAUUCGAAAAAGGUAGUCUGUGUAAAACCGGAUCAGGGUUCAGGGAUCAGGUUACUUAUUGGGAAGGUAUGACAAUGACCGUAGCACUCCUCUAAGUCCUUAAAAACGGGCCUCUACUAAAAAAAAUAAAGUAAUCAUGGCAAUCAGUAAGGAAAUCACUGGAUACCCAGAACAAUUAUGCACAUGUGAGAAUUAAAACAUGCAUAAGAAUGGACAAAGUGAGAGUGGGUGCGUACCUUGACAACGAACCACAAUGCGUUAUCAAGAAAUGGGGUUAGUGCACGAUCAAUGAACAUAAAACACGUCACACAUGUCACUAAGCAGAGUGAGAAAUCAUCAGAUAUUACAAUUCAAUCAAAUUUAUUUUUAGAAGAAACAUCUGUUGAUGUAGAGCCCCUACCAAAGCCUAAUUUAUUUUUGCAUGAAUCAAUUUCAUAAAUUCAAUCGCUUGGAAUUACAGAAUUAAAUUCAUGCUUAUUUUAAAACAUCUUUUUAAAAUCAUGGAAGAUGUGAAAAUGGUUUUCCAAAGAGAAAAUGACAACUGAUUUUAUUGAAAAUGGGAUUUUGGGGACCUAAACGUUAAAGAGGGAUUAGGAAUUGAAAAUUAAAUCAUUUGAAAAUUGAAUUUUUCAAAAAUCAGUUUUGAAAGCAUGCAUGCAAGUAUGGACUGUGAAAGUGGGCCUAGGGAGGGUGGCCAUGCAAAAUGAGGUCAUACACGUGGGCCUUGGGUACAAUUGGGACUACUUUGCUGGUGCCAGUGGUGCUUGCAGCUGUCAUCCAUGAUUUCUUCAUUGGGAUCAAUUUCCAUUCUUACUGCCAAACAUUCCAUAACAAUUGACCAAACUAGUAACCCUGACCUUGCAUGAAAAUGAACGUUACCUAGAAACUCACUGCCAGUGAGAUUCAUUGCUCUUUCAAAAGGUCUCAUUUUCUUUCUCAUCCAAUUGCUUUAAGGAGCAUUCUAGCGUCACGAUUGGUGACUGCGCAUCAUCUAGAGCCUUCUUUCUUCUCAGAAUCAGGUUUGCGUGCAGAGGCCUGUGCUUGUUCAAGGUUGACCUAAAUUCAUCUAGGUUUAGAACCGACCAGUUGAGCUUGGGGAGCAACGACAAGAAUAUCAGUCACUUGCGAAGAGAAAACUCGAGAUCUUUCAAGUAAUGCCUGACAUAGAUUCCUCCAACCUGUGGCCAAUAUCUCAUUCCUUGUUGGCCAGACGCCUAUUAGGGCGUAUCUCAAUCAAUAAUAUGAUUUUUCGUUUGUUCACAAUAAAGACCGGAAGCCAUGGUUGUGAUUUAUGCAGUACAGAAGAAGUUGCCAUGGCUGGUAUCCUUACAAAUUCUGGUGUUUCUGCUAUCUGUUCAAGUGCAAAACACAACAGCUUUAUCAAGUUUGUCCCUAACAACUGAUAUUGAGCCCUCUGGAGGAAACCUUGAUAAAUUCAUAAUCACUUUUGACUCAUGCAUGGGCUGCCCAUCAAAUUUUCCUAGCAACGAGACGACUGCUGUCAUCUACUGCAAAGAGAAUUUCUUCUCGCAAAGACAAGAGGAGUUUAAGAAUACACACUAUUCUGCCAUUUCAUUUCCUCUUUCUCCACAACCAACAUAAACCAUAGUGUCUACAUUAGAGUACUUAGAAAGAGCUUAACUGAUGACCGUUUUUCCACAACCAAAUGCCCCAGGUAUGGCACAAAUUUCACCGAAAACAGAAGGGAAAAGGGCAUCAAGAACACGCUGUCCUGUAAGUAGUGGGGUAUCAGGACUACUCUAGGGAAGUUAUUUCUGUCAUUUUGAAAAAGAAAAAUUAAAGAAUGUACACAUGCUUUCAAGUGGACUGGAGCAUUCUACAUAUCAGGUGGUCUGUAGCCACAUGUGCCACUUUGUGGAAGUUGGAACAGUCGAUCACUAGGCUAUUUAGUGUGGCCAAGCCACGUUAAUCAAGGACAAGUCUUCAUACUUAAAAGUCAAAUGGUGCCUUUAGUCUCAUUACACAUGGCUAUUUAAAGAUGAACUAAUCUUUAGUGUAAUGUGAUUAAGACAGUACUAACUGAUCAAUAUUUUUUCUAAUUUUGGAUGCAAAUGCUUGCUGGCUUCAUCAUUGGAUGGGAUAAAGGUGCAUUCAUGACUCUGAAUACUUGCAGUAAUACUUGCAGUAAUACUUCAUUCUCUUUUUUCUCGAUGAGACUUCUUGGCACAAUUUUGCUUCUCAGCAACCUACCUCUCCAUGGAAAAUGAGUUGCGAUUGAUGGUACUGGAUAUUUUCUAGGAAGCUAAAUAUAGAUAUAUAGCACUCAAUGUCAACGAUAUAUAUAGCAUUAACAGUAUAUGUCUCAAUGCUCAUCAGCUACAAGCAAGGGACAAACACUUACAAUGAAUAACUCACGUCAACAUUCCUAAACAGGACAUAGAAGUGACAGAUCUAUAUAUAGAACACUGCAUAUGAGUCACAAGAAAAGAUAAUACGGGUGCAUAGCAGCUCUUAUAUUACAUAUUACUCAUACCGUUCAAAUUCACUCAGUUGGGAUGGGUGGGAGAAGGAGGCCUCUGGGGUGGCUUGUGCGUGUGAGAAGUGGAAGAAAGUUGAAUGGAAUGAAACUGAAAAACAGGGUAGAAUAGAGGUUUCUUGAAUCUUCUGAAAUCUUUAUUUUUCUGAGAUUUAUUCUCUGUUUUUGUGAGUCGUGACUCUACAUAUAUACAUGUAUUUAAAGUUAGUUAUGCCUUAUAACUAAUUAUCUAACAGUACCAAAACUAAUCAUCUAGUUGCAUGUUUCUAAUUAAUGCUAUUUAGUUACAACUAUAUAUGGCUUAACAUCCUCUCUCAAACUCAAAAGUCUAGCUAGAACAGUGAGUUUGCUUCAUAGAUUGAGAAAUUGUUGAAUAGGUAAGGCUUUGGUAAGAGCAUUAGCAAUCUGGUCAUAAGAAGGAAUGUGUUGAACCACCAAAGUCUUAUUGAGCACCUUUUCCUGAACAAAAUGGCAAUCUAGUUCCACAUGCUUAACUCGAGAAUGAAAAUAGGAUUGGCAGCAAGAAAGGUGGCUGAAAGAUUGUCAUAGAACAAAACAAAAUAGGAGAAUAAGAAGAUGAGAUAGAAAACUCCUGAAGAAGAUGUUGAAUCCAUUGAAGUUCAAAAGCAACAUUUGCUAAGGCCCUAUACUCAGCUUCAUUGCUGGAACGAGACACAACUUUCUGCUUACUGGAGUUCCAGGAGACUAGAUUAGAGCUAAAAAAGAUGCAAUGACCACUUGUACUUCGACGAUCAUCAGGGCAACCAACCCAAUCAACAUCAGCAUAAGCAGUAAGUUGAAAAUCAGGAGAAGAAUAAAAGGAAAGACCAAAGGAAGUAGUGCCCUUAAGAUAAUGCAACAAUCGUUUAACAACUUGCCAAUGAAGAUCAGUUGGUUAUUGCAUGAAUUGGCAAAGUUUAUUGAUAGAGAAAGAGAUGUCAGGCCUUGUAAUGGUACAAUAUUGCAGGGCUUCAACAAUGUUGCGAUAUUGAGAAGGGUCAGCCAAGAGGGAACCUUUAGAGGCAGAUAAAGUGUGAGAGGUAGUCAUUGGUGUAUCAAUAGGUUUAAAAUAUGGAAGACCAGCACGAGUUAACAAGUCCUGAAUAUAUUUGGUUUGGGAAAGAUGAAGAGAAGAUCCUUGCCAACAUACUUCUACACCCAAGAAGUAAUUCAGAAUACCAAGGUCCUUGAGAGCAAACUGAAAGUGUAAAGACGAAACCAUUUGGUGGACUAGCACGGUAUUAAGACCACUAACAAUAAUGUCAUCAACAUAGAUGAGAAUAAUGAUCAUGUCAGUCCCUUUCCGAAGAGGAGCUUGCUUCAGACCCUACAAGGCUUUGCGAAGUUUACAGAAAAAACCGGGUUUAGAAUGAUCAACAAAGCCUGGAGGUUGAACCAUGUAAACCUCUUCUUCUAACUCACCAUUGAGAAAGGCAUUAUUAACAUCUAAUUGUUCCACUAACCAACCAUGAGAAAUAGCAAGAGAAAGAACAAUUCAUAUAGUAGUUGGUUUAACAACAAGGCAAAAGGUUUCAAAAUAAUCAAUACCAUAUGUUUGAUUAAAACCCUUUGCAACUAAGUAGGCUUUAAAACGAUCAAUUGAGCCAUUAGCUUUGAGUUUCAGCUUGUAUAUCCAUUUACAACUAAUAAUGCGUGUAUUAACAGGUUUAGGAACCAAUGUCCAUGUGGAAUUGGUGAGAAGAGCAUCAUACUCAGUCUUCAUAGCAGCUUGCCAAUUAGGAUGCAAUAUUGCUUCUUUGAAAGAGGAGGGUUCGACAACAGUAGUUUGGAUAGCAAGGCUAAAUAUUUUUUUGGGUUUAAAAAUACCAUUUUGGCUACGAGUAACAAUAGUUCGGUUUGGAAGUGAAAGAGGAUCAGUGGAGGAGGCUGGAACAAGGGAUUGUGGUAAAGUAGGAAAGGAAGGUGGAUGAGAUGGAACAAAAUCAGUAGGGACAAUAAUGGGAGAAGAAAAAUUAGGUGGAGAAUGAUGAGGAUUCCUUGAAGAUGGUGUAGGAAUAGAGAGAAUACCAGAAUCAAGAAGUGUUAAAGAAGAGUUGGAUGAUGAUACUGGUUGACAGGAUAAAGACUUUGUUAAAAAUGGAAAUCGAGUUUCAUCAAAUACAACAUGACGAGAAGCAUAUAUCCGAGAGGAAGCCAUAUCCAAACAGAGGAAUCCCUUGUGUUUAGCACUAUAACCCAAAAAACAGCAAACAACAAAUAUAUUUGCUAGCUUGUGAGAAGCAUAAGGGCGAAGAUAAGGAAAACACAAGCAUCCAAAACUUCAAAGAGAUGUAUAAUAAGGUAAACGAUUAUAAAGAACUCCAUAAGGAGAAUUUUGUGAAAGAACAGCAGAGGGAAGGCAAUUUAUGAGAAAAAUGGCAGUUUGAAAUGCAAAUGACCAAUAUUUGAGAGGGUAUACCAGCUUGUAUUAACAAAGAAAGACCAACUUCCACAACAUGACGAUUCUUUCUUUCAACUCUUCAAUUUUGCUAAGGAGUAUAAUGACAAGAGACUUGAUGAAGAAGACCAUUUGUAGCCAAAUAAUUCUGAAAAGCUGAAACUGAAACUCAUCAAAUUGAUUUUUAGUAUCAAAUUUUCUUCAGACUGAACACAUUGAUUUUUAGUAUCAAAUUUUCUUUCAACCAUGGCUUGAAAAUGUUGGAACAUAAGUAAAGCUUCAUCUUUAGUUUCCAAAAGGUACAACCAUGAGAAUAUGCUAAAAUCAUCAAUUAGCAAGAGGAAAUAUUGAGCAUUACCAUUGACAGAAACUAUAGGAGUUGCACCCCAAAGAUCAACAUGGAUGAGACCGAAUGGUUUUAUUGCUCUAGAAGUGGAUAUUUCAAAUGGAAAACGAUGGCUUUUAGCCAACUGACAAGACUCACAUACAGAGUUAUUAUUGUCAUGUUUCAAAGGUAUUUUAUAAAGAGAUAAGAUUUUGGAAACUACAUUAAUAGAGGGAUGACCAAGUCUAUUAUGCCAAAGCCUCAAAGAACCAACGGCUAAAGUACUACUAGUAGAGUAAAAUACUAGUGGAUGACCAACAACUCUUGGUGUAGCAAGAAGUUUAUAGAGACCCUUCUCAAUUUUUCCUUGAAGAAGAGCAAGUCUCGUUUCCUGAUCCUUUACCACAAAAUGAGAAGAACGAAAUUCAAUAAAGGUGCCAUUGUUUGAGUAAAAUCGUUGCACGCUAACUAAGUUGGUGGUAAUAGAAGGAACAUGUAAGACAUCAUUGAAAAACAAAGAACCACUUGAAGAGGCAAGAGAAAAUUUACCAAUAUUUGCAAUGGAUAAACCCUUACCAUCUCCAACAAUUACUUUGUCACCACUGGUAAAUGGAUUAUGGAUUGUUAAAUUGUUAAGAUCAGAUGUGAGAUGAUGGGUAGCCUUUGUAUCAAGAAACCAAUAAGUGUCUCCCAUUGUUGCAGAAGUUGUAGUCAUAGCCUCAGGAUUGUUAGAGGUGGAAUGUUUAGAAUCUUUUGGCUGAUAAUCAGAGUUAAACCGAUACCAGCAUUGUAAAGCGGUGUGUCCGAACUUACAACCGAGAGAAAUAAUCUUUACUUAUUCUCUAAAAACUGUUCUUUAUUCCACACAUUAUUUCUAAAAACUGUUUCUAGAUAACAAUGACAAAAUAGUAUUAGGAAUUUUUAAAAAUAAAAAUUGUUUUUAAAUUACAUGAUCUAUAUCAUUCACAUUUGACCAUUAUAGCUUUGUUCAGGAAAACACUUGAAAGUAACCUUAUCGUGAUAAGAGAUAUAAGUUGGCUGUAGUUUCAAACUGAAAACAGAGGAUGGCAAUAGAAAGCAAAGCAUUAGUUAUCUGCAAUCAGUGGUGAUCAUGCCCCAUGUCAAUUUCGGACCCAUAUCUUAAAACCGUAUAAUUUGCAUUUCAACAUUUCUGAUUUCUCAGAUGUUUCAUACUCCACAGAAGAACAUUGUUUGUGAAAGCAUGCAUUUAUGCUGGAUUUUGGAUGAUGUGGGAACUGGGGCAAGGAUCAUAUGGAAGAGUGGUCGAUUUUUUCUGUACUUUAACAUUUGAAAUAGGAGCAGCACGGGCAUUUGUGGGGCUUAAUUGAUUUUGAAGCCUGAAAUUGCGUUUCUGUCAUUUUGUAAAAAAUAUGGCAGAUUCCAUGCUCUCAUAUGUUUGGUCUGUGGCCAUGUAUAGAUGCCACUUAGUGACCAGUUUGUAACUGUCAAUCAUAGUGUUUUGACUCUGGCUCAACAACAUCAGCCAUUGACGGAUUUUCAUACAUGCAAAUCAAAUAGUCUUCUUCCUCCCUUAGGAAUUUCGGUUUAAAUGUUAUUAAGCAUACAUUUGGCUGACAAUUAUUAACCACUUCAUGAUAUGGUUUCUUACCCUUAAUCAAUGGUUUCUAAGUGAAUAUAUGCAGAAGGAAAUCUGAACUGUAGACAGCAGUAUUGAUAAUUAUCAAUAUUCUUUAUAUAAGAGAAUAAACAACGUCAUAGUGAUCGUCGCCUACAAGAAAGGUACAUUUCCCAACAAGAUGUAGUUGUGACUGGUACAUGGACGUAAUUAACUCGUAGAAAAGGAUAAGACCAGUGCACGGCAGCUCUUAUUUUACAUGCUAAUUAUGCUAACCAAAGUCACUCAGUUGGGAUGGGAGGGAGAUGGAGGUUUGUGCGGUGGCUUGUGGGGCGGAGUUGGUGGCUUCUUUUCAGGAGCUUGUGGCUUUUUCGGAGCUGAAGGAGGCUCAAUCUUAUGAGGCGGCUUGUACGAGUCUUCUUUACUCUCGACAGGAGGGUGGCCAGGGUUGUGACCAUAAUGUGGUGGCUUCUCUCCCUUAGGUGGCUUGCCAACUGGGGUUGGUGGCUUGUGUUCAGGAAGUGGUUUCUCUCCCUUGGGAGGUUUACCAAUUGGGGUUGGUGGCUUGUGUUCUGGGAGUGGUUUCUCUCCCUUGGGAGGUUUAGUGGGUGACUUGUGUUCUGGAGGUGGCUUCUCCACCGGAGGCUUGUGCUCCGGUGGUGGCUUCUUGGUUGGAGGGGGCUUGGGGUAAUCAGCAAGAGAUGGGGGGGUGAGAACCACCACUCCAAGGAACAACACUAGCAAGUAUGUGGGAGACAUUUCUGAGUUUGAGCUGAUCAGAUGAUGCAAAACUAGAAGAAUUACGUGACCUUUUAUAGCAAGUAGCUCCCAAUACCCACAUGACACGUGUUACUGUGACCAUAAAUAUUAUAGGGUCCAUUUGUGCCCUACCGGGUUGAAAACUUGGACGCUUGGCCGAGGACACACCGAACUAUGGAGGACUAUUGACGUGUGAUCACAGCUUUUGGAUUUUUCUUCCUGUGCAGCUGUCUAGCGGUUGGCAUUAUUUUUUUAAUCUUAAAUAAAGGCAUAGUUAUAGAGUACAUUUAUAUAUCUUCAGAUAGCCAUUAAUAUAUUUGAUGAAGAAAGACAAGUGCAUACAACAUGUAUACGGCUUGCUUCAAUCGAGUACAUUUAUGAUCAGUUUUCCAGUGCAAGUAAACCAGUUUUUUGUUCCACAACUAUUUUGGAAUCUUGUUUAUCAGUUUCUAUCAUUAUAAUGUCACAUAGGCUGCAAACUUGGGCACCCAAAGAUCUAGUUGGGCAAAUUUGUUUCAGAAUUUCAAUGGUGGAUUCAGUAAUUGUUAAAAGGUGUUUCUUCAUUAAGGAAAGAGUCCUGUAAAAAUAUUGUUAAAAGGUGUCAUAGAAACUAUAAUAAUUAAAUAACUUCUUUUCCCCGUGGGUGGUGUUUCUUCUGGGGAUACCCAAAAUGAGUUCAGAUUAAAAUUGGUUCGAGUCAAAGCUGUCUCUUUUGUCCAGAAAUCAACUAUUUUGCGCAUUGCAUGAAUCGAUAAAGAAAAAAUGAAAGCCAAAUCACACCUCCCCUGCAAAACCUAAACCCCGGUUGCUAACUUUCUAUGUUUCAGUCCUAUUCAUACAGGAAUAUUGGUUCAAGUUUGAGAAAAAUGGCAACUUACCUAGGGAUUACUUGGUUGUGGUUUGCGACGACUAUUUACGCAACCAACCAUGAGUUUGACUUUAACGUCAUGGGUUGAAGCCUCCUACAAUCGUGUAUGAUAGUUCAAAGCUCGUAGUAGAAAUUAUACAGGAAGGAAGAAACCUCCAAAGCUAGCUCCAAAAGAGAAUUAUCACAUCGAUAGCUCCAGAGAUUCCCAAGGGGACUGAAUCAAAGACAAGUUCCUCACUUUUUCUUCUUUUGAGGCCAAAUAUGAACCAAGGAUCACACGACCUCAUUCAACUUCAUAAGUUUGAUUUCAUGCAGUUGAACACUGGGUGAAGGCCAUGACAAGAAUUGAUUAAAAAAUUCUACCACUGUUUUAAGUAAUGGAAGAUUAUUAUCUCUGAUUGGCACCACAACAGCACAUGCUGCUAGAUCUUUCUAGACACUCCAUGCAAUGAAAGUACAAUGGAUCUUGUAACGAUAGAAACUAAGCCAUGCUACAGUACUAGAUGACGAGGUAAAACUAUUAGACAUGGGUGGCAGCCUAUAUGGGAGGGACACAAGUCUAAUUGAUUUGCAUUUCAGCGUUCUAGAUGGGUAUGUUUUGGAAGAUUUGUUCUGGAAAUACCGCACCAAGUAGGAUUCUUUUUUCUCUUGAGUGGGUCCACUUGCAUGCCAAUUAUCGAGUUGAAAAGUAGAGCACCUACCUCGUGCUCGUGGAACCGAAGGUCAGUGAAGUGGGGCUCCUUUUGGCCUCUUGUGUUUCUGUUCCAACCAAGGCGGCGGAGGGAAAAACAGCAAUAUGUCUCCGCUAAAUAUCAACGCAUGAUAGCGAAUGAGGGAGAAAAAAAGUAAUUGGCAUCUCAAUCUCACAAACUUGGUACAGUAGUGACAUUAAUAGUCUUCCACAUGGUUUUUAUUUUAUUUUAUUUUAUAUUUUAUAUUUUCCAUUUUUUUAUUUUUUUGUAUGUCAAGGCUAAUGAAUAAAAUGCGUUAGCUUGUUUUGUGAUUGGAACUGCAAAUGUCCAAAUUGGAGUUUCUCCAUUUCUCAGUUCGGAUGGUUAACUUUAUAAACAAGAUAUAGGAAACAUGUGAACGUCUUGAGGAACAAUUCGAAUUAUUGAUUAGAACUCCUAGGUUGAGUUCCAAGAUUUAAAUCAGACCCCUCUAGCAGCUUCAGGGGUACCUAGCAAUUAGAACAUAUUAAUGAAGAUUUAGGAUUUAGACUCCGGAAUACAAAUUAAUAUGUAUCUUAUGCUCUGACUAGCUUCCCUGCAUAUGCACAAAAUGGAGAUGACCCAAAAAAUAGCAGAAUCGCCUUAGUUUAUGUGGUUAAGGUGAUUCUCCGGUUAAUAUCCACAUUGGCUCAUUAUGCAAAUCAACUGAGCUAUUUUUUUUUUAAUGUCAAAUAGGAACUCCUAAUUAACCUAACCAUUGGCCUGUGUAAAUUGAUUUCACAUGCACAAUGUUGUAGUAGAAGUCCACAUUUUGAAUUUUAUUUUUGGAAAGGUAAGGAAAAUGAAGCAUUGUGUAAUUAUAAAAAUAACUUCAUUGGAAUUCACAAGGUUCACCCAAAAUGGAGCUACAUCCGUAUUCUAUCUUACAGUAGACUAUAUAGAUUGUACAAUAGUAAAUUGCAAAUACAAUUAAUAAGUCUUGUGUUUCCUUACUAAUAAUCCUUUGACAUAAACAUUGCAGCACUAAGGUCCUCUUGGGCAGACACCUUGCACCCAUGAGAGCACUAAGAGGAAGCAAGGCGGAGUCAUGGGUGCAAUGUCAUGACUUGUUGCACUAAGAGAGGCUUGGUGAUGGCAUAGUGCUGCAGUAGCAAGAAUGUUGCCUUGGCAGGGACACGAUCUAGGGACAGAUGCCAAGAAAGGCUUAGCACUCACAUGAGUUGCACAAAGAUGAAUGAAAUAGAACAUCAAAGAGACAUCUUGGCAAGCUCAAGAAAGACAUGUGGGUUGGUAAAUGAAUGGAUGCAAGAGGCAACAACAUGAGGAGUUUCAAAUGGAUAGGGAAUGAGUCAAAGACAUUUGAAAGCUACAAGUUGGAUUCUAAUUACGAUUGCAAUUUGAGUUUGAGUAGGAGUUUAUAUUAUGAUUGUAAUUGUAGUAUGAGUUGGACUAGGAUUGCUUAUCCCUAGUCAAAAUAGGAGUUGUUCAUGCCACACCCUAUGAAAAGAGUUUGAGUAGGGACUAGGAUUGCUUGCUCCUAGUCAAAUAUGGAGUAGGUGGUGCCACACCUAUAAAAAAAAAAGGGACAACAUGAGAGAGAGAGAGAAUGAAUUCACCAAAGAUAUUGUGGGAGUUUUGCUUUGUUACAUCUUGUAUUAUUAUUUAGAAUAGUAAUAAAAUACAAGUUGGGGCUAGAGCCCCAUAAUCUCGUGUGCCUUUGUGGGUUAUUCUUUAUUUGCCAUCUCGUGUGGAUUGGAUUAGAUUGAUGAGGCGAAAUAUUAUGUGGGAAAUUUAUGUUGGGACACUUACCAUAACCAGGUAAAAUCUACCAAGUCUUUUGUAAUAUCUUCUACAAAUAUUUUAGACCAGUUCUUCACAAAACAUCAUAAUAUGUUUUGUGUUUCUCUUGGAUUUUGAGUUGAAUUGUCUUAGAUCAAUUGAAUGCAUCUCAAUAUUAUUAUCUUGUUUGAAGGCUUGAUGAUUUUCCAUUUAACUUUACUUUCUUUAGGUUAUGCUUGAUUCCUUAAAAGUACUAAGGAAAACAAAAAAUAAAAAAAAAUAAAAAAUGCAGAGGGUUAGGACAUGUGUUAUCUAAUUGUCCUAUCCAAAGAUAUUAAGAAAGUCAUGUAGGAAAGUAAUUGAAAACUAGGUCAAGAAAGGAGCAAAAGGGAAUUGUUUUGGUAUUUUCUUUUUUAUUCUUGAAGGUGGCAGAGCUAAAAUUUGAGAAAUCAAGCAAAACAUACUGAAAUUACAUUGAAAGAAAGAAAAUGGUAGUUAAUGUCUUGCAGUACAUGAUAAGGACUUCAUGCAUGUAGUGUGACGACCCAUGUCUUGGACUGAUGCCACACUCACGGUUACACUUAUACCCUUGGUUCUCUCUUUACUACCUUGGCUAACCUAGAUCAGGCUAUGAGAUAGGCUCCUCACCACACCAUCACUUGCCCAGUAAUUAGUGACAUUUUCAAGCAAUGAGGUAACAUGGUGACACCAAGAGGGUUUAUCCCUCGCCCCAACAAGUCUAGACUCGGUCUCAAAAAAAUGGAGAAAAAUGAGGUGUCGUUAUGCAGAAAUACAACAACCAUGCCUUCCUUAUUACUUAGAUUCAGAAUGUGAAGGUGAAAUUGAGAAACAGAAACUCUUGAAACCAGAAUGAAAAUUGAUACUUUUACGAAGAAUUACAACAUUAGAGGAAGACUACAUUCUUCCUCUAUAUUCCUACGUUUCUACACUACUUCUACUCCACUCCAUAUUUCUACAUACAUCUUUAAUCAGUUUUCCCUCCUUUAUAUAGAGCCAUCUUCACACAAAUUCCGCAAGGUAGAAAAGAGGAAUGAAACUUGGAGCAAGGUUCGACUACUGGUUGUCGCUUGUCAAGGCUGGAAUUGAACUUUUUUUCUUGGCUUUUCUGGGCAUAGGUAGUAACUUGUGGUUCCUUUUUGGAAUGAAAAUGGUACAGCUAGAACAUGUGGCACUCUCUUGUUGGAUUAUGUGUCAAACAUGUGGCAGCCAUCUAGUGGAGAUUAUUUCAAUUUUGGGAUGGAGAGUUGGCAUCCAAUUGCAAAGAAAUAUGACAUCUACCAACAUGCAAUGUAAACCUAUAUAGAUCAUAUGGAGAUAGAGAGGAAACAUAUAGAAAUGGAUAUAUACCUAGAACUAGCUUUUUAUUAAAUGAGACGGAGAGCCAACAAUGAAGGAAAAUCAAAAUUUUUGGCUCAUAUCAAAGAAUUCACAUUGUGUUACCCUAGGUUUUCUUAAAGCUUGCACAAAGCCAAAAAGCACACAAAAAAUUAUAUUUUCUAGCUCUCUACCUUGGAUGGUCUCUUGAUCCUACUUGGAGAUGUGCAUAAAUAAAAGGAUUUGAAAAUGACAAUUGACUAAGUAUGUAGUCAAUCAAUUACUCAUUAAUUGACUAGUUGAUCAAUUAACUUUGCAACAUCAUAUGCAAUCCUAAUAGCUAGUCAUCUAAUCAACUAGGUAGUAAAUCAAUAGGCCAAAAAUAUGUUUAUAAUGACUAUUUUGUACAAAAACCACCUAUAUGGUUAAAUAUAAUGCAUUUCAUUUAUAAAUCUUCUAAUUCUUGAAUAACGAUCCUAUCAUCCUUUGAAAGUUUUUAUUACACCUUUUAUACUUUUGUUCUAAAACUUACACAUGUACAUCACCCUUAAUUGUACCAUGAGAACCUAGCUUUUUUUUUUUUUUUUUUUGUAAUUCAUCAAAGUUAGCUUUUGUAUUCAUUACUGUACUAUUUUUAUUGUAACUUAGAAAGCGAGUGUUUUCAAGUGAGUGAAAUUGACUUAUAAAUAUUGUAAAGAUUCAUUGAUGUGUAUCUUAAACUAAGUGUACAAGUUGAAACAUUUGCUAGUAGAUUUUCUCAAGAUUUAGAAUAGAGCUUGAGGCUAUUGAAAUAGGUGGGGUUGCACCAAACCACAUCACAUUGUUGUUUGCACCUUUUUUUCACUCUCUUUUACUUAGUUGCUCUAUAUUUGUUGUCUAGUAAUAUCCUAUAGGCUUGAUGGGUUAGGGAGCAUCCCUUUGUGAAAAAUUUUCAUUCAAUCCUUAGUUGUAUCACGCAUAUAUAAAAUGCCUCAUUGUUUUAAUGGUAUUCAGUCGUGGCAUCACAGAUAUGGGCAUCUAAAUUUUAAAAGUUUGAAACUUUUAUCUAAAGAAAAUAUGGUGCUUUGCCUUUUUGUAAAGCAUGUUGAUGAAAUCCAUGAGAAUUGUGUACUUGGGAAGCAACAUCGAGAUGACUUUUUUUUUUUUCAUUUUUUAUAAUGCGACACCUAAGUCCGGUUUCUAAAUGCUGAAGUGAAAGGGUAGGUAUGGACCAUUGAAAUCUGAUCACAACUUUUGGCCUUUUCCUUUCUCUGCAGCCAUGUUGUCUCUUUUUUCUUUUGCAUGAUUUUCUUACCUAAACAGAAUCAUAGACUUGUUUAAUCUCUAAAUGGUAUUUCAUCCAGCUUUAAGCUACUGUAUUAUAUCUUGGUGGAGGACUUUUAAGAGUGAAACCGACAUAGAGCACAUGCAAGUGGGUAUAUGGGACAUGAAAUUUCUUCUUAUAAAGACUGCAUGGUUUUUAUAUUAGAGUUGUUGAGGCGCAAUGUAUUUAGCUUGUUUUGCAGUUAAAUUAAUUGGAUAAGUAGACAUUGUCGUUUCUAAAUUUCCCACCUAAGAUAGUGACCUUAUCCUUGACUGCUUGAUGAGAUACACAAACAAUUAUACCUUCAAAAUCUACUGUGAAGUGCUUCAUGUAUGUGUGAAGUAUUAGAAAUUUCUUUCUUGGCAACUUGUUUUUUCUUUGCCCUCUACUGAUAGGUUUGACUCAAAUUAAAUUCCCUGUCAUGCUAAUUAAUUUUCACGUGCAUGCUCAAAAGGAUCACGUCAACUCUGGUUUCUACUAUUCAGGUCCAUUCCCAGAUAAACUGGUUCAAAUUUGAGAAAAUGGCAACAGCCCUUUAGUGAUGUUGGUUUGGAGCCAGUAGCCAAACCCGCCCUGAGCUUUACCACUAAUGUCAAGGGACAAAGCCAUUUGAACAAAAACAAUAGCUUCAAGAGACUGAAUCGUGGAUGAAAUCUGAUCCACAUUUCUUCUCAUUUUGGGAACAAAUGAGAACUUAACUACAAAGAUUCUACUGCCUCAUAGUGCUUUUCCUGAUCUAAGGUUGGUUCGUUUCCCAAAUUGUGAGGUACGUGCCAUUCUCACGCUCAGGAGUGUAUCCACGUGGUGGACAUAAGAUGGUGGCUUAAUAUCUGGUGUCGGUGGCUUUACUUUACUAGGAGAGUAGUGUGUCUUCAUCUCAUUCACUGCCGGAGGGUGGCGUAAGCAGUGACGCUAAGGUGGGGCACAGUCAAUAUCAUUUGCAUUUGACCAUUAUAGUUUUCUCCCGGCUUGAAAGUAACCUUAUCGUGAUAAAGGAUUACUAGCACUAGUUCAGAUGACAGUCAUGUUAAAUUCGGACCAUGUUUGUGUCACAUUAUCAGCAACCAUGUGUUUAUGGUUCAUGCUAUCUGCAACUAAACUUGAUAUAUAACCACGUGAACUUCAAUCUAAAUUCUGGAAGUACUCUUGUGAUAGAUGGUGCCUGUCUGCAGAGUCCAUCAAUUGAAAAAUGGAGUGAGUGUAUCUAUAAGAGGGAAGGCUUGGCAAAUGUUCAGUUUUCUGGGAACUCAACAAGGAUCUAAAAUAGAUUGUUUUCUUUGCUGAUUUCAAUGGUUGAAAUUUGAGAAGAUUGUGUCCACAUAACACAACUAUUACUGGUCCUUCUGUUGCAAUUUAUCCUCUAAGGCUCUAACAUGUCUUCCAAUUCCCACUUCCCUGUUACUCCAGGAAAGCUAUUUCUGUCAUUGUGAAGAAGAAAAGAGAAUGUACAUAUCGAUGGUUUUAAGUGACUGGGGCAUUCAUAUCAGGUGGUCUGCAGCCAUAUAUGCCACUUUGUGAAGGUUGGAACAGUCAAUCACCAGGCUAUAUUAGUGUGGCCCAGCCACUUCAAUCAAGGACAAGUCUUCAUACUUAAAGUCAAAUUCUGCCUUUAGUCUCAUUAUAAAUUGCUGUUUAAAUAUUAAGCAAACAUUUGUUUAAUGCGAUUAAGACAGUACUAACUCAAUACUUGUUCUAUUUUUGGAUGCAAAUGCUUGAUGGUUUCAUCAUUGGAUGGGAUAAAGGUGCAUUCAUGAUUAUGAAUACUUGUAGUUAUAUUUUCAUUCUCUUUUUUCUCAAUGAGACUUGUUGGCACAAUUUUGCUGUUCAGAAACCUACCUCUCCAUCGAAAAUCAGUUGUGAUUGAUAGUACUGGAUAUAUUCAAGAAAGCUAAAUAUAGAUAGCACCAAAUAUUAUCGAUAUAAAUAGCAUUAACAGCGUACGUAUGUCUCAAUGCUCAUCAGCUAUAAGCAACGGGCAAACACUUACUAUGAGCAACUUGCGUCAAAAUUCCAGAAUAGGACAUAGAAGUGACAGAUCUAUAUAUAUAUAGAACACUGCAUAUGAGUCACAAGAAAGGAAAUUACGGGUGCAUAGCAGCUCUUAUUUUACAUCCUACUCAUACUGAUCAAAGUCACUCAGUUGGGAUGGGUGGGAGUAGGAGGUUUGUGGGGUGGCUUGUGCGGAGGAGUUGGCAGCUUCUUUCCAGGACCUGGUUGCUUCUCUGCUGGAGUUGAAGGAGGCUUAAUCUUCCGAGGUGGCUUGUAUGAGUCUUCAGCAUUCUCAGCAGGAGGGUGACCAGGGUUGUGACCAUAAUGUGGUGGCUUCUCUCCCUUAGGUGGUUUGCCAACUGGGGUUGGUGGCUUGUAUGAGUCUUCAGCAUUCUCAGCAGGAGGGUGACCAGGGUUGCGACCAUAAUGUGGUGGCUUCUCUCCCUUAGGUGGUUUGCCAACUGGGGUUGGUGGCUUGUGUUCUGGGAGUGGCUUCUCCCCCUUGGGAGGUUUUUCCAAUGGGGUUGGUUUGUGUUCAGGAGGUGGCUUCUCCACUGGAGGCUUGUGUUCAGGAGGUGGCUUCUCCACCGGAGGCUUGUGUUCAGGAGGUGGCUUCUCCACCGGAGGCUUGUGUUCAGGAGGUGGCUUCUCGAAUGGGGGAUGCUCAGGGUAAUCAGCAAGUGAGGGGUUGGUGAGAACCACCAUGCCAAGCAACAGGACUAGCAAGUAUGUAGGAGACAUCUUUGGGUUUGGACUUAAGACAGUGGAAAACUGCGAGAAUUCUCUAGCCUUUUAUAGCGGGUCGACCCAGUACUCACAUGACACGUGUCAUUAUGACACAUGUGCCAUGGGGUCGAUUUGGGUCCUACAGUGUUGAAAAGUUGGGCAUUUGAGGUGUGAGCACAACUUUUGGCCUUUGCUUUCUCUACAGCCGCCAUGCUUUUCCCUUUUUUCCUUUUCCUUUUGUUUUCCUCCUGCCUCGUGUUCUCAACUAAACACAAUUAGGUUGUUUAAUUGUUAAAUGAGAUUUUUGUCUGUCAAUCAUAUUAUAUCCUAUCAAGAGAGAACAGAGUGUAAUGUAGUACACAUAACACGAGGCAGUAGUAAUUUUAUCAUUUAUUUUUAUAGCUUGGACCACCGCAUUUUUUCUUCUAAAAUAUUCUGUCUUGUUAAGAGACGCAAUAAUACACAAUUUUAUCUGCCAUUCAACAUUUACUGUAAAGUUCUUUUAUCUCUUUGUAGUUCUAGAAAAGUACAAAAUGGAACAUCAUGUAUAUGGUGCCUUCUGUCCUAAAAAAGAAACUGGACAAAUUAUGAACUGCAUGCUAAAAAGAGGCAAAGGAGCUUAAUUCGCAGCAUAAUUAUUUUGGUUUCUAGAGAGCCCGGGGCCUUUUGGUUGGUUUGGGGUCAGAAAAUGAACAUCAUAGGGAUUGUGCCCUUAACUGGCCUUGUUACUACAAAGAAAUUGCCAUAGAAAUUUAUUCCAGGCUGAGUAUCUCCGGAUAGACCCCAGAAAAGAAGAGUCAUAAUGAGAAUCAACCUUUGUUGAGUUUGAUUCCAUGCCUCCAUUGUGUUCAUUUCAUGAAUCUGAUUUGCAUUUAACAUUACAGUUUUGUUCUGGAAACAAUCAAAGGAGCAUCGUUUGCUUCUUGGGUGACCCAUAGUGGUGGGUGGGUCGAUUUGCUUAGUUGAAAAUUGGACAAUUGGCUCCAUCGCCUACCUCUUGGAUUCCAUGCUCGGAUAAAACGACAACAAAUAAAUAUUUAUAACUUACAACUGGGGAAAGGAAAAAAUAGUACUAAAUUCAUGGUACAUGAUAGUGAGAGAAGGGGGUGUUACACUCAGCUAAAGUUCUUUUCUAAAUAUUGCAUGGUGUUUAAUUUUAUGUGUCGGCGCGCGUGUGAAUGGAACCUGCAAAAGUCCAAAUUGGCGUUUCUCCAUUUUCCACAUAGGAUGGUGACGUUAAUAGACAAAGAUACAAUAUCUGUAGACAUUGCUUAAAAAUCGAUGUGAAGUAUUAGAAAUUACAGGCCACUGUACUGGGGGAGCGGCUGCCCCGCCAAAGGAAGAAUGUAGCAAUUUCUUCUGUUAGCCAGGCCUUAGGAUUUAUGCAUGGGAUGCCUAAUAACAAACAGAGAAAAUAUGCUUUUGGGGAAGGUAUCCAACAACAGACACCAUCAUUCAGAUGGUGGGAAGGUAUCCAACAGAUGCCAUCAUUCAGAUGGUAACAUAUAUAUACAUUUAUUAGUGAGUUUUUUUAAUACCUAUAAAAAAAAUAUACACUUUGAUAUUGUGGCUGAAUCCAUUACAUACUCAACUAACCUUGCUCAUUAGGGAUUUGACGUAACAAGGGCAACGUUGCAGUAAAAGCUCGAAACUUUAUGCAGGUGACAUUACAUUUGGUAAAGAAGAGGAAAAUAAGGAAAGCCAUCCAUAAAAGCAAAAUUCCUCAUGGGAUGAAAUUCACAAACUUCAUUUACGUUAGAGUCGCAUCCAGGCAAUUAAUUCCACAUUAGACCGCCUUUUGACAUGUGUACGGAUCUUUUUUCAAAAAUUAUUUAUAAAUAAUUGAUACUUACAAAAAUAAUUUAAGAUUUAUAAAGGAUAAAAAAAUAUUUUCAAAUCUAUGACAAUUUAUAAAAUAUUAAUAAAAAAUUAUCUCUUAAACUUAGUAUAGUUUUAUCGUAUUAAACUUUUAUUUUGAACAAAUAAUUUUAAUCUAAGUUUUAAAUUCUAAAAUUAUUUCCUUAAAAUAAAAUUUUAAAAUUCAACACUUCAAUUGAAAUUGUCUUUUAAAAAAAAUAUCUUCUUAUUUUAAUCCUUAUAAACUAUAGUUGAUUGAAAAUACUAUUGAAGUUCUCUCUUCAAAAAAAGUCUUAUUUUAAUCUUCAUAAAUUGCCCUUGAUUUGAAAAUAAACUUUGGGUUAUCAUAUUUUAAAUAAUAUAUAUAUAUAUAUAUAUAUAUAUAUAUAUAUAUAACAAAUACUCUAUUUUUUUUUUAAAUGAACUAAUUUUAAUUAUAUUUUAUUUUAUUUUUUUAUAUAUUUUUAAUGAUAAACCAAACAUAGAAAAUCAUUUUUCUAAAUAUUUUAAAAUUUCUAAGCAACCAAACAUAAUCUUCAAAAUAAAAGGAGAAUAAGGAGGGACAAGUGAGAAAUGGCGAUUAAAAAAAAGUGUACAAAAGCUCAAUUAAUUUUCUUCUAGUCUUUUAUAUAAAAAAGUAUUGGUAUGUAAAUUAAUAUUUGGAUUUUAAUAGUAUUUUAUUUGUCUUUCUCUAUCUCAUGUAAAAGAGAAUUUAAGAUAUUUCCUAAAGCAAAGCAUUAGUUAUCUGCAAUCAGUGGUGAUCAUGGUCCAUGUCAAUUUCGGACCCAUAUCUUAAAACCGUAUAAUUUGCGUUUCAACAUUACUGAUUUCUCAGAUGUUUCAUACUCCACAGAAGAGUAUUGUUAGUGAAAGCAUUUUGUAACUGUUACUCAUAGUGUUUUGACUCUGGCUCAACAACAUCAGCCAUUGACGGAUUUUCAUACAUGCAAAUCAAAUAGUCUUCUUCCUCCCUUAGGAAUUUCGGUUUAAAUGUUAUUAAGCAUACAUUUGGCUGACAAUUAUUAACCACUUCAUGAUAUGGUUUCUUACCCUUAAUCAAUGGUUUCUAAGUGAAUAUAUGCAGAAGGAAAUCUGAACUGUAGACAGCAGUAUUGAUAACUCUCAAUAUUCUUUAUAUAAGAGAAUAAACAACGUCAUAGUGAUCGUCGCCUACAAGAAAGGUACAUUUCCCAACAAGAUGUAGUGGUGACUGCUACAUGGACGCAAUUAACUCGUAGAAAAGGAUAAGACCAGUGCACGGCAGCUCUUAUUUUACAUGCUAAUUAUGCUAACCAAAGUCACUCAGUUGGGAUGGGAGGGAGAUGGAGGUUUGUGCGGUGGCUUGUGGGGCGGAGUUGGUGGCUUCUUUUCAGGAGCUUGUGGCUUUUUCGGAGCUGAAGGAGGCUCAAUCUUAUGAGGCGGCUUGUACGAGUCUUCUUUACUCUCGACAGGAGGGUGACCAGGGUUGUGACCAUAAUGUGGUGGCUUCUCUCCCUUAGGUGGCUUGCCAACUGGGGUUGGUGGCUUGUGUUCAGGAAGUUGUUUCUCUCCCUUGGGAGGUUUACCAAUUGGGGUUGGUGGCUUGUGUUCUAGGAGUGGUUUCUCUCCCUUGGGAGGUUUAGUGGGUGACUUGUGUUCUGGAGGUGGCUUCUCCACCGGAGACUUGUGUUCUGGAAUUGAUUAAAAAAAUUCUACCACUCUUUUAAGUAAUGGAAGAUUAUUAUCUCUGAUUGGCACCACAACAGCACAUGCUGCUAGAUCUUUCUAGACACUCCAUGCAAUGAAAGCACAAUGGAUCUUGUAACGAUAGAAACUAAGCCAUGCUACAGUACUAGAUGACGAGGUAAAACUAGUAGACAUGGGUGGUAGUUGAUUACUACUCAAAAAGUACUCUUUUAUAGUUUGAAACUAACUGUUUUAAACACUUUUGAGUAGUAGUUAAUAAAUUUUAACUCAAUUGGCACAUUAAGGAACCUAGCAAGGGUUACUAAUAAACUUUUGGCAAGUUUUGGUGUUUUUGGUAGUUAUUCGAUCAUUGAAACAAGCCAAGAAUGAGGGAGAAUUUUGUGAAGUCCAUGGCAAUGCAAGUUAAAGCUCAAAUACACGAAGAAUCCAAGCUUUGGAGCACUACAUAGCCCUUUGCCAAGCCAAUUAGAGAUGCAAGGAACAAAACCAAAGGAAGAAAUCCAACAACCAACAUUUUCGCAUGGUUGUGUGAAAUUUCGCACACCAUGCGAAACCACAAGAGGUAGCCAAAGAAUUUCACAUGGUAUGCGAAAUCUUCUCAUGCACCGACUCCGUUAGAUUUUUAUCUUCAGAUAUUUUGUGUAAUUUCCUAGUUUCUCCUUGUAACCAACCUAGAUAUUUUCUUUUAUAUCUUUUUUUAUAUUUUUUAGGUAACAUCAUAUAUAAGGGGAGAGACAUAAGGAGGAUAUGGAUGUUUUUCAUAGAACACUUGUAAAUUUUCAGUAGUAAGAAAUAUACAAAGCUUUUUGCUAUGCCUUACCUUCUCAUUUUGUUUUCACCUGUCUUUCUAGCCAAACAACCUCUAAGGAUGAUUUCUCAGGGGAUGAGUGGCUAGGUUUUACGUUUCUUGGAGUGAGGGAAGCUAGGUGAAGGACCUGAAUGCAAAGAUGAGAGUUUUCCUUGCUUUAAAUGAAAGUAGUUGUUAAACAUUAAUGGUUUUUAUUUUAAGGUUUAGCUUUAAAUCCCUUAAAAACACCUUGAAUGACCAAUACUUGGUAAGCUUUUCGGAUUCUAUGGAUGCUUAUUGCUAGAUCCAUGGAUGUCUAUUAGUUAUCAUUUACGAGCCUUUGGAAGGUGAUUCAAGGUGAGGGUCUUUAGUGUUUGAAGCCAUUAAUGGGAAGCAAUUACCAUUUUUUCAUGAAUCCUUUGGAUCAAAUCUUAAUUGCUAAAUAUAAAACCGAUUUGGGAAAUAACCAUCCUUUAUGUUAUUAUCCCCAACGCAAGGAGAAGAUCCGGAAUCUUCCCUUUUGUCUAAGGAACCCGAUCCUAGUGACCUAAAGCUCCAAGAGACCUUUUCUUUGUAGUUAACUUCAUUUAUUGUUUUUGCUUAACUUAAAAUCAAUCUUUGCAACCACAAUUCCAUUUUCUUUAAAAGCUAAUUUUUAUAAGGAAAAACACCAUUUUAUUUCCUUCACUAAGUCAACUGUACGAUGAAAACCCAUCCCUGUGGACGAUCCUAGAGCCAUUAUACUAUGUUAGCUAUGCUACCCUAGUGUGAGGUGAUUUAGGUUUUAUAAAUUUUGUUGAUAACACCCAUCUGAGCCAGAAUCAAAUGGCACAACUGAACCAGGGACGAAUCAAAUGGCGCCGCUAUCGAGGAUGGUGCCAAAGUACAUUGACAUGACUUUUGGUGAACACUUGUGAUCUUCAUCACAAGUUUGGUGAUUUUUCUAUUACUAAUUUUUUUCUUUGUUUUUAUUUUAGCUUAUCUUUUAUUUAGUUUUUAGCUAACCUUAACUUUUUCUUAGAAUUGUAUUUCUUCUAUUUUCUUUGUUUUUGUUUCAGUGAUCUUUAGUUGUGCAUGCCCUAUUGGAUAAGAAAUAUUGAGGGAAUACUUGUGAAGAUUGAAAAUCCUCGAGAAACUGAGUUGGAAGUGUGAUUGAACAUCAUGGAUGUUCCACCUGAAGACCAGAAUAGCCAACAUGGUUAAGAGGAUAAUUUCAAAGCAUACCGAUCCAUGAGGGACUGCAUGCAUCCACCUCGUAUGAGUGCACCGUCAUGCAUAGUGCCUCCCACUGAGCAACUAGUAAUCUGACCUCACAUUGUGCCACUCCUACCUACUUUCCAUGGGAUGGAGAGUGAGAAUCUCUACUCGCAUAUUAAGAAAUUCGAGGAGGUUUGUAAUACAUUCCAAGAAGGAGGAGCUUCAAUUGACUUGAUGAGGCUCAAGCUAUUUCCUUUCACUUUGAAGGAUAAGGCUAAGAUUUGGCUUAAUUCUUUAAGGCCAAGGAGUAUCCGAACUUGGACUAAUUUGCAAGCCGAUUUUCUUAAGAAGUUCUUCCUUACCCAUAGGACCAAUGGUUUGAAAAGGCAAAUUUCGAACUUCUCAGCUAAAGAGAAUGAGAAAUUCUAUGAGUGAUGGGAGAGGUACAUGGAAGCUAUUAAUGCUUGUCCUCACCAUGGCUUUGACACAUGGCUCUUAGUGAGUUAUUUUUACGAUGGUAUGUCUUCUUCAAUGAAGCAACUCCUAGAAACUAUGUGUGGAGGAUACUUCAUGAGUAAGAAUCCGAAGGAAGCCAUGGACUUUUUGAGUUAUGUGGCUGAAGUUUUAAGAGGAUGGGAUGAACCAAAUGCUAGAGAGGUGGAAAGAAUGAAGUCUCAACCUAAUGCUAAGGGUGGGAUGUAUGUUUUGAAUGAAGACAUUGACAUGAAAGCAAAGGUUGUAGCUAUGGCAAGGAGAUUGGAAGAGCUAGAAAUGAAGAAGGCACAAAAAGUGGAAGCCAUUUCUGAGACAUCAGUGCAAGCUAUGCCUUGUUCCAUUUGUCAACCUAAUGCUAAGGGUGGGAUGUAUGUUUUGAAUGAAGACAUUGACAUGAAAGCAAAGGUUGUAGCUAUGGCAAGGAGAUUGGAAGAGCUAGAAAUGAAGAAGGCACAAAAAGUGGAAGCCAUUUCUGAGACAUCAGUGCAAGCUAUGCCUUGUUCCAUUUGUCAAUCUUAUGAGUACCUAGUGGAGGAGUGUCCUACAAUUCCAGUAGUGAGAGAGAUGUCUGGUGAUCAAGCAAAUGUUAUUGAUCAAUUCAAGCCUAAUAAAAAUGCUUCAUAUGGCAACACCUACAAUUCAAAUUGGAUGAACCAUCCAAAUUUCUCUUGGAAACCAAAGCUACCUCAAUACACACAACCUGCUCAAGCACCUUAGCAAUCCUCGAAUCUUGAACAAGCUAUUGUGAACCUUAGUAAGGUUGUGGGAGAUUAAAAGUCCAUCAAUGCUCAACUGAAUCAGAGAAUUGACAGUGUAGAGAGUACAUUGAACAAAAGGAUGGAUGAGAUGCAAAAUGAUCUGUCUCAAAAGAUAGACAAUGUCCAAUAUGCAAUCUCAAGGCUUACCAACCUCAACACAGUGCAAGAGAAAGGAAAGUUUAUUUCUCAACCUCAUCAAAAUCCCAAGGGUAUCCAUGAAGUGGAGGCUCAAGAGAGAGAAUCUUCAAAGGUGAGGGAAGUCAAAGCAGUUAUCACCUUGAGGAGUGGUAAAGAGGUUGAUCAACCCACAUCCAAGCCAAAGCAUAAUGAAGAGAGUUUUGUAGAAAAAGAAAAGAGAGGAAAAUAAAGGAAAGAGAAUAGAGAAAAGUACAAAGAAAGAUGACCAUGAGUCUAGUGUGGAUGAAGAGCCCAAGAGGAUAGUGAUCAAGGAAAAUAUGAUGAAGAAACACAUGCCUCCACCUUUCCCCUAAGCUUUGCAUGACAAAAAAGGAACCAAUAAUACAUCGGAAAUUUUUGAAGUAUUGAGGCAAGUGAAGGUCAAUAUCCCUUUGCUAGAGAUGAUCAAACAAGUGCCGACAUAUGCAAAAUUCUUGAAGGACUUGUGCACUGUAAAGAGAGGGUUGAAUGUGAACAAGAAAGCUUUCUUGACCGAGCAAGUGAGUUCCAUCAUACAGUGCAAGUCUCCAGUGAAGUACAAAUAUCCGGGCUACCCUACCAUCUCAGUGAGUAUUGGAGGUACUUGUGUGGAAAAAGCUUUGUUGGACUUGGGAGCAAGUGUGAAUUUGCUACCCUACUCUGUCUAUAAGUAGUUGGGACUUGGAGAGUUGAAGUCAACAUCCAUCACCCUAUCUCUGGCAGAUAGAUCAGUGAAGAUUCCAAGAGAGAUGAUAGAAGAUGUCUUGGUUCAAGUUGACAAAUUCUACUAUCCAGUGGAUUUUGUUGUUCUUGAUACGGAUCCGAUUGUCAAAGGAACUAAUUAUGUUCCUAUCAUACGAAGACCCUUCCUAGCUACAUCAAAUGCAAUCAUCAAUUGUAGGAAUGGAGUCAUGAAACUCACGUUUGUCAACAUGACAUUAGAGCUCAACAUCUUCCAUUUGUACAAGAAGCAUAUCCAUUCAGAAGAAAAAGAAGGUCUAGAGGAAGUGUGCAUGAUUGACACUUUAGUGGAGGAGCAUUGUGAUCGACAAUGCAAGAAGAUUUAGUUGAGAGUUUUGGGGAUCUUGAUGAAGGGUUACUUGAACCCUCAGAUUUGCUUGCUACCCUACUCCAUUGGAGGAAGAGAGAAGAAAUUCUACCCUUAUUCAAUGAGGAGGAGACACAAAGAGCUGCUAAAGAUAAGCCCCCAAAGCUUAUUCUUAAGCCACUACCCACAGAGUUGAAGUAUGCAUACUUGGAAGAAGACAAGAAGUGCACUGUUGUUAUAUCUUUAGCUCUUACCAUUCAUCAGGAGGAUUGUCUACUUGAAGUCCUUAGAAGAAGUAAGAAGGUAAUAGGGUGGCAAAUUUCUGAUUUGAAAGGGAUCAGCCCUUUUGUCUGCACCCAUCAUAUUUACAUGGAGGAUGAAGCUAAGCCAAUUCAUCAACCUCAGAGAAGGUUGAACCCUCACAUGCAAGAAGUGGUGAGAGUUGAAGUUCUUAAGCUACUUUAGGCUGGUAUUAUUUACCCCAUAUCAGAUAGCCCAUGGGUGAGUCCUACUCAAGUUGUGCCAAAGAAGUCGGGGAUCACGGUGGUGCAAAAUGAUAAGGGAAAAGAUGUCUCUACAUGUCUCACUAUAGGUUGGAGGGUGCGUAUCAAUUACAGGAGGUUGAAUGUAGUGACAAGGAAUGACCAUUUCUCGUUGCCCUUUAUUGAUCAAGUGCUUGAGAGGGUCUCUGGGCAUCCUUUUUAUUGUUUCUUGGAUGGCUACUCGAGGUAAUUUAAGAUAGAAAUUGAUGUUGAAGACCAGGAGAAGACCAUUUUCACAUGCCCAUUUAGAACCUAUGCAUAUAGGAGAAUGUCUUUCGGCUUAUGCAAUGCACCCACAACUUUCCAAAGAUGCAUGUUAAGCAUUUUCAAUGAUAUGGUGGAGCAUAUUAUGGAAGUCUUUAUGGAUGAUAUCACCAUAUAUGGAAGUGCAUUUGAUGAAUGCUUGGUCAACUUAGAAGUUGUUCUGAACCGAUGCAUUGAGAAAGACUUAGUGCUUAAUUGGGAGAAGUGCCAUUUCAUGGUACACCAAGGGAUUGUCCUUGGGCACAUCAUCUCCAAGCAAAGCAUUGAAGUUGACAAAGCAAAGGUUGAACUCAUUGUUAAGUUGCCAUUCCCAACAAAUGUCAAAGGAGUAAGGCAAUUCCUUGGCCAUGCCGGGUUCUAUAGGAGGUUUAUCAAGGAUUUCUCUAAGCUUGCAAGGCCUCUUUGUGAAAUAUUGGUGAAGGAUGUUAAAUUCAUAUGGGAUGAUAGAUGCCAAAGGAGUUUUGAAGAAUUGAAGCUAUUUUUGACAACCUCACCAAUAGUGAGGGCUCCCAACUAGCAACUGCCCUUUGAGGUAAAGUGUGAUGUCAAUGACUUUGCUAUAGGAGCUGUUCUUGGGCAAAGAGAAGAUGGAAAACCUUAUGUGAUCUACUAUGCGAGCAAGACAUUGAAUGAGGUGCAAAGAAACUACAUAACCACCGAGAAAGAAUUGUUAGCUGUAGUUUUUGCCUUGGAUAAGUUUCGUGCUUACUUGGUGGGAUCCUUCAUCGUGGUUUUUAUUGAUCACUUUGCUUUGAAGUAUCUAUUGACUAAGCAAGAUGCUAAAGCAAAACUGAUUAGAUGGAUUUUCUUGCUUCAAGAGUUCAAUCUCCAGAUCAAAGACAAGAAAAAAAUGGAGAAUGUGGUAGUAGACCACAUUUCAAGGCUAGCUAUCGCACAUAAUUCCCAUGCUUUGCCCAUUAAUGACGAUUUUCUAGAGGGGUCUCUCAUGUUGGUGGAAGUUGUCCCUUGGUACGCUCACAUUGCUAACUACCUGGUCACAAGAGAAGUUCCAAGUGAGUGGAAAGCACAAGAUAAGAAGCACUUCUUUGCAAAAAUUCAUGCCUACUAUUGGGAAAAGCCAUUUCUAUUCAAGUAUUGUGCGGAUCAGAUAAUAAGGAAGUGAGUUCCUGAAGAAGAGCAACAGGGGAUCCUCAGUCAUUGCCAUAAAAAUGCAUGUGGAUGCCACUUUGCUUAUCAGAAGACAACCAUGAGGGUGCUGCAAUCGGGUUUCUGUUGGCCAUCACUUUUCAAAGAUGCCCACACCAUGUGCAAGAGUUGUGAUCGAUGCCAGAGGCUUGGGAAGUUAUCAUGUAGGAACAUGAUGCCUUUGAACCCCAUUUUAAUAGUUGAUCUUUUUUAUGUUUGGGGCAUUGACUUCAUGGGACUUUUCCCUAUAUCUUUUGGCUACUCUUACAUCUUGGUGGGAAUAGAUUAUGUUUCUAAGUGGGUUGAGGCAGUCCCAUGCAAACACAAUGACCAUAGAGUGGUUCUCAAGUUUCUUAAGGAGAACAUCUUCUCAAGAUUUGGGGUGCCCAAAGCCAUAAUUAGUGAUGGGGGUACUCAUUUUUGCAACAAGCCUUUUGAAACUCUCCUAGCCAAGUAUGGGGUGAAGCAUAAGGUAGCUACACCUUACCACCCUCAAACUAAUGGGCAAGUUGAGUUAGCAAACAAGGAGAUUAAAAACAUAUUGAUGAAGGUGGUGAACACAAACAGAAAAGAUUGGUCAGUCAAGCUCUUCGAUUCACUAUGGUCAUGUAGAACAGCUUACAAGACCAUUAUCGGGAUGUCUCUUUAUCACCUAGUCUAUGGAAAAAAUGCCAUCUCCUUGUGAAAUUGGAAUACAAAGCUUGGUGGUCAAUCAAGAAGCUCAACAUGGAUUUGAGCAGAGCUGGGUUGAAGAGGUUCUUAGACCACAAUGAGAUGGAGGAAUUGAGAAAUGAUGCCUACAUCAAUUCAAAAAUUGUAAAAGAAAAAUUGAAGAGGUGGCAUGAUCAGUUGAUUUCCCGCAAGAAUUUUCAAAAUGGAUAAAGAGUCUUGCUCUAUGACUCUAAACUCCACAUCUUUCCGAGCAAGCUGAAAUCAAGGUGGAUAGGUCCUUUUACCAUUCACCAAGUGCAUUCAAAUAGAGUAGUGGAACUACUCAACUCCAACAACAUCGGGAGCUUCAAAGUGAAUGACCAUUGUCUCAAGCCCUUUGUAGAGUCUUUUUUCUCGCGACAAGGAGGAAUUCAUCCUCCUUGAUCCACAUCAAGCUUGACAAGACCAGUUUUUUUUUAUGGACUUAGUCUUUCUAAAGACUAUCGAGUCCAUAACUUUUUAUUUUAUUUUUUAUUUGAGAGUUUUUCGGUAUUAUUACUUGUUUUGUUUUUUAUUUUUCGUUUUACUUUUAUUUGGUUUGAUUUAACUUAGAUUUUUUAUGAUCAAUUGCAGGGGGGAUUUCAAAUAGAGGAAAAACCAAGAUAAUUCGCACACCCUGCGAAAAUUUCGCAAGGCAUGCGAAAUUUAUGGCUCAUUUCGCAUGGGAUGCGAAAUUUCGCACACCCUACGAACCAAUUUCGCACACUUUGUGAAAAUAAACCAACCCUACGAAAUCAUUUCAAAUACUCUACGAAAUUUUCGCAGAGCAUGUAAAAAAUUUCGCAGACCAAACACCAUUUCGCAUACUAUGCGAAAAUGUAAGGGGUCUACAAAACCAUUUCGCACCUCCAAAGCCAUUUCGCACAUUGUGCAAAAAUGAAAAGUCGCCCUAUCAUCCAUUUUUAAACCCCUUGAGCCCUGAAAUCCCCAUUUCGCAAGCACCCCUGUCCUUGCGAAUCCCUCAUUUUCCUCUGCCACCUUGCGACCUUGUCCCUCUCCAUUUGAUAUCGUGCCCUGCGCACAUCUCAUUUCAAAGACUCGCACUCUGCGCCCUCUCAAAGCACGAACCCAAGGCUCACAUUCCAUUUCCGACAUGGCACAGACCCGAGGAGCCCUUCCCGCCCCUUCAUCGAGACGCACACCAAGGUAGAGAGCCUCUUUUGCUCAGAUGCCAAGUGAUUCUCCAUUUCAGGCCACGGAGGCCCUGCGGAUUCCACAUUCCAAGGGUAGAACAGCCACUGGUCCUUCCUCUUCUAUUCCUCAGCGUAGAUAUGAGACGAGGAGACCACCUACUACACAAAGGGCGACUACUUCGCGCCAUGAGAAUUCGGUACGACACCCUCCUGCCAAGAGGGCCAGGACUUCAGGCCCAGGCGAGUCAUCCAAAGCUUCACAGCCUGAGCCUCCUGCAGAUUCCGAGGUUCCUACUGACAUAUCAUCGGAGUCUAUUAUCAAACGCCCGAUGCUCACAGCACCGCCCAUUGAGGGCAACUCUGAUUGUAGAGCGAGACCUUUCCACUUGGAGCUAUAUUUUAAUUAAGAGGCCAUGCCACAGCAGCCUGAGCUCCAAGACUCUUAUGGCUUACUACAGAGGUACCAUCUUGAGGACCUUAUGACUCCUCGUGAGUUCUUUUAUCCCAGAGUAGCACUAGACUUUUACCAGUCCAUGACUACUCGUGGCGUCCCGAGUCCUACCGCGAUGCACUUCACCAUUAAUGGACGUCAUGGUAUCCUCGAGGCCAGACAUAUUGGAGAGGCUCUACAGAUUCCUUUCGAGCUAGAGGACCCAUCUGUUUUCUGCCAAUGGUCCCCAAUAUCUCAGAGGGACAUGGUCCAUAUUUUAUCCAGGGGGACAUCUACAUAUUCGAUCCUUCUACGGAAGGAGCUUCGACCUGGGAUACUCCUCGUAGAUGUGGUGCUACUUUCCAACCUCUUUCCCUUUUAGCAUUCGAUACAUAGGCGAGGAGCUAUUUUGGACGCUUUAUUCUGUAUAUCAGAGGGCUUCUACUUUGGCCCGCACCACUUGAUCAUGGUUUCCCUCAUCCAUUUUGAGGAGAAGGUCCAUAGAAAGAAGCUUCAGAGGGCGAACACCAUUCCAUUACUAUUCCCGAGGUUGCUCUACUAGAUCUUGGAGUACAUGGGCUUUCCUACUGAGCCUCGGCUUGUGUGCCGCCGCCUUUGUCAAGAGCGAUCCACUCUCGACAAAUGGAAUCAGUUGGCGGGCUAUUCUACACCUCCAGGAGCCCCUCCCAUGGUAGCACCUCUAGUGUCCCCACAGGCAGAGUAGGGCAAGCUCCCGGUAGAGACUGCACCCCUAGUGCCCACACCUGAGGCUACUUCUGCUGUUCCGCCUACGACUCCUACUGUUCCACCAGUUGGUCCUUUUACAUCUGAGUCUUCCAUCAACAUCUCGACUUCGGAGUUUCGCGCCCUUGUGCAUACCUUUCAGACACUCACCACCACACAUACUGCUCUCUUCUAGAAAAUGGCUGAGAUGCGUGCCCAUCAGGACCAGCAGACUACUAUACUCCGCCAAAUUCAACAGCACCUGGGACUUCUGCCUCUGCCUCAGCUUGACCUUCCCACAUCAUCAGAGCCUCUAGCUCCAGUUGAGGAUACUAUUCCACCUGAGGACACUACCACAGUAGAGGUUCAGAUUCCACCACCUCAGGAGGCCACCACAGCUACAUUAGAGGAUGCAUCAUCUCCACCUGAGGCUCCCACUACUUGAUCAUAGGACAUCUCUUUAUCUUAUUGUAUUUACAUAUUAUAUUACUGGAGAUUUGUCUUUGUUUUGAUACUUUAUAUUCUGGCAUUGAAUGUAUUGCCUAAUGAUAUCUCAAUUGUACUUUCUCAUAUUAAUAUAUAGACAUCAAUUUUUUUUAGUAUACUUAGGAUUUUUCUAUUUACUCUACUCAUUACUCUUUUGUUUUUUUUUUUUUACUCAUGUGGUUUCUCCUAUACGACUCAGACUCCAUUUCACUCAGGAGGUACCACUUCUUCCCUUUAUUUUCAAUUGCUCUUGAAACAUUGAGGGCAAUGUUGAUCUUGGUUGGAGGGAGAGUUGAGGAAGGAAGUGAUUACUACUCAAAAAGUGCUAUUUCAUAGCUUGUAAUUAACUCUUUUAAAACACUUUUGAGUAGUAGUUAUCACCUUUUAACCCAAUUAACAUAUUAAGGACCCUUGCAAUCAAUUCUAAUCAAAUUGUGUUAAGUUUUGGUAUUUUGAUAGCUUUUUUAUCACCAAAGCAAUCCGAGAUUGAGGAUAUUUAUUUGGAAUCCAUGGCAAAAGAUGUUUGGACAGGACGUCCGGACACACCAUCGGAGGGCGGCGGAACGUGGGCUGUGGCAGGCUGUCGGAAUGACGUAGCAAGGCUUGUGCACUUUAGCCAAUGAUCGGGAUAACAUAUCCGAAAUUCUGCUCCGCCGACAUUCCACCCGGAUGUCUCACAUCCGGAAUUCUGCUCCGCCGACAUUACACCCAGAUGUCUCACAUCCAAAAUUCUUCUCCGUCGACAUUCCAUCCGAAUAUUUCACAUCCGACGCUUGACGCCGGAUGGGAGAGGAGGGCGUUUCAACUUCCCCGGUCAGACAUAUCCGAAUCCUUUGAUAACGCUUACCCGGAGAGUUUCGCAGCCAUUUUGCACAGUGCCGCGGUGUUCUCUUGAAGCUUCCCGAUAUGUGCGACCGACAUUUUGAGAUAUUUUGCUUUAGAUAUUUGAUGUCUAAAUCCCCAAACUCUCCUUGUAACCCACCAAUUAUAGGAUUCCUUAGUUAUUAAGUUUGGAAAAAUGGUGAAUAACCCCUUAUAUAUAGUUUGCAAUUUUCAUAAAAAAGAUAUGUAGAAUCUCGGGAGCUUGUUCCCAGAGAGACGCAUCCUUUGUACAGUUUUGGAAGGAAGUAAAAUACAGAGCACUUGCUCUGCUUUUCAUAUAUAUUUUUGUUUUCUCGUUCUUUUUAUUUCUAGCCAAUCAAAGUCUGAGGAUUUUUCCUCAGAGGAUGAGAGGCUAGGCUCUUCGUCUCUUGGAGUGAAGAAAACUAGGUAAGUUUCCACAUGCAUAAAUUGAAAGUUUUGUUGUUUUAGUUUUUAAUGAAGAGAAAGUGUGACCCGUUAAUGGUUUUUAUCUUUUUAGUUAACUUAAAACGCCUUUAAAUCACCCGGGCCAACACUUGAUAAGGCAAGUGGUCUCCAUCCAUUGAGAUGCACUAGUUUAUCUCUUGCGAGCCUUUGGGAGGUGGUUUGAAGGUAGGAUUUUCUAGAAUAACCAACACUUGAUAAGCUUUUGGACUCUAAGGAGACAUCCAUUAGUUAUCUCUUGCGAGCUUUUGACGGGUAAUCCAAGGUUAAAGAUCACCUUGAAUGGCAAGUACUAGGUGAGAGGUAUGAGCCAUUGCAAGAUGCAUUAGUGAGAGGGAUUUAGUGUUUGAACCCAUUAAAGGGAAGCAUCUGUACCACACCGGUUCGGGAAAUAACUAUAUGUUAAAUCCCCAAUGAGAGGAAAAGAAACAAGUGACCGGAACUCCCUUUUUGUAUAAGGAACCUGAGCCUAGUGAUCUAAACUCCAAGAAACACUUUUCUUUGUAAGUAAAAUCAGUUACUAUUUUUGGUUAGUUUAAAACCAAACCUUUUUCAUUCAAACAUCUUUAUGUUUUCUUUUAAAGCUAACCUUGAAAUGAAAAGGCACCAAUUCAUAUUUGAAUUAAUAUCAAUUGUGAAGUGAAAACCCAUCCCAGUGAACGAUCCUAGAGCCACUAUGCUAUAGUAGCUUUGUCUUUGCUACCCUAGUUCAUGGUUUAAUAGGUUAUAAAUUUUGUUGAUUACUCCCACAAUCAAAGGAGCACCAGUUGGACAUGAAUCAACUGAGACACUAAUUGGGCACAAAUCAGGAAGUUUUGUUAAUAAUGCUAGGUUAAUUUGUUAAUUUAGUUACUUUCUGCUUAAUUUUAAAAGUUUUCACUUUACUUUCCAUAGUUAUUAAGGAAAAAUUCUCAAAAUGAAAUGGGAGAAAUUGAAUUCUUACAUUUUUACUUGAAUUUUAGAAUUUGUAUUAUGCUUAUUGAAGCUGAUGAAUUAUUGAAACUCCUAUUGAAUUCAACCUUAUUUCUUCCACUUUAAUCUUACCACACACGGUGCACAUUAGGUUCCGAUUAUAAGAGGUGCGUUCUUAGCCUAUUGGAGGUUGGUCAAUUUGUUAAAGUUUGAGAAAGAUCUAGGUUAGGGGAGAGAGAAUAGUCUGACAUACUAUAAUCGAAAACUAAUAAACUUAACACUUAGAUCUUUGUGGAAGAGUAAGGAUUGGACCUUUGGGAGUGGAAAUUCGUUUGAUGCUUAAAUUUGCAUAAUGCUUACACUUUAUAAAUUGUGAUUAGGCAAGAGAUUUGAUGACUCUUGUUCAAGGUUGGGUUUUGCCUCUUUGAUGUUCCAUGAGAGAGUAUAAUCCUCAUCAUGCCACUUGAAAUUUUUUUUGGAGUGAUUAACAUGAUUUUGUAAAUUACUUUACUGUCUAUUUUUUUUUUAUCUCUCCUUCAUUGCUAAUGGACUAGCAAUAUGUCAGUUGAGGGGAGUGAUUACUACUCAAAAAGUACUCUUUUAUAGCUUGAAACUAACUGUUUUGAACACUUUUGAGUAGUAGUUAAUACCUUUUAACUCAAUUGGCACAUUAAAGAACCUAGCAAGGGUUACUAAUUAGUUUUUGGCAAGUUUUGGUGUUUUUGGUAGCUAUUUGAUCAUUGAAACAAGCCAAGAAUGAGGGAGAAUUUUGUGAAGUCCAUGGCAAUGCAAGUUAAAGCUCAAAUACAUGAAGAAUCCAAGCUUUGGAGCACUUCAUAGCCCUUUCCAAAGCCAAUCAGAGAUGCAAGGAAGAAAACCAGAGGAAGAAAUCCAACAAUUAGCAUUUUCGCAUGGCUGUGCGAAAUUUCGCACACCAUGCGAAACCACAAGAGGCAGCCAAAGAAUUUUGCACACUAUGCGAAAUUUCGCAUGGUAUGCAAAAUCUUCUUGUGCACCAACUCCGUUAUAUUUUUAUCUCAAAUAUUUUGUGUAAUUUCCUAGUUUCUCCUUGUAACCAACCUAGAUAUUUUCUUUUAUAUAUUUUUUAGGUAACAUCAUCUAUAGGGGGAGAGACAUAAGGAGGAUAUGGAUGUUUUUCAUAGAACACUUGUAAAUUUCCGGUAGUAAGAAAUAUACAGAGCUUUUUGCUCUACCUUACCUUCUCAUUUUGUUUUCACUUGUCUUUCUAGCCAAACAACCUCUGAGGAUGAUUUCUUAGGGAAUGAGUGGCUAGGUUUUACGUUUCUUGGAGUGAGGGAAGCUAGGUGAAAGACCCGAAUGCUAAGGUGGGAGUUGUCCUUGCUUUAAAUGAAAGUAGUUGUUAAACAUUAAUGGUUUUUAUUUUAAGGUUUAGCUUUAAAUCCCUUAAAAACAUCUUGAAUGGUCAAUACUUGGUAGGCUUUUUGGAUUCUAUGGAUGCUUAUUGCUAGAUCCCUGGAUGUCUAUUAGUUAUCAUUUAUGAGCCAUUGGAAGGUGGUUCAAGAUGAGGGUCUUUAAUGUUUGAAGCCAUUAAUAGGAAACAAUUACCAUUCUUUCAUGAAUCCUUUGGAUCAAAUCUUAAUUGCUAAAUAUAAAACUAGUUCGGGAGAUAACCAUCCUUUAUGUUAUUAUGCCCAACGCGAGGAGAAGAUUCGGAAUCUUCCCCUUUGUCUAAGGAACCCGAUCCUAGUGACCUAAAGCUCUAAGAGACCUUUUCUUUAUAGUUAACUUCACUUAUUGUUUUUUCUUAACUUAAAAUCAAUCUUUGCAACCACAAUUCCAUUUUCUUUGAAAGCUAAUUUUCAUAAGGAAAAUCACCAUUUUAUUUUCUUCCCUAAGUCAACUGUACGAUGAAAACCCAUUCCCAUGGACGAUCCUAGAGCCACUAUACUAUGUUAGCUAUGCUACCCUAAUGUGAGGUGAUUUAGGUUUUAUAAAUUUUGUUGAUAACACCUGUUUGAGCCAGAAUCAAAUGGCGCAACUGAACCAGGGACGAAUCAACAACUUAUAUGGGAGGGACACAAGUUUAAUUGAUUUGCAUUUCAACGUUAUAUAUAGGUAUGUUUUGGAAGAUUUGUUCUGGAAAUACUGCACCAAGUACGAUUCUUUUUGUCUUGAGUGGGUCUACUUGCAUGCCAAUUAACGAGUGGAAAAGUAGGAGCACCUACCUCAUGCUCGCGGAACCGAAGGUCAGUGAAGUGGGGCUCCUUUUGGCCUCUUGUGUUUCUAUUCCAACCAAGGCGGCGUAAGGAAAAACAACAAUAUGUUUGUGCUAAAUAUCAACGCAUGAUAGAUGUUUUUGUUUUUUGGUAUGUCAAGGCUAAUGAAUGAAAUGCUUUAGCUUGUUUUGUGACUGGAACUGCAAAUGUCCAAAUUGGAGUAUCUCCAUUUCUCACUUCGGAUGGUUAACUUAUAAACAAGAUAUAGGAAACAUGUGAACAUCUUGAGGAACAAUUUGAAUUAUUCAUUAGAAGUCCUGGGUUGAGUUCCAAGAUUUAAAUUAGACCCCUCUAGCAGCUUCAGGGGUACCUAGCAACCUAUAGCAUAUUAAUGAAGAUUUAGGAUUUAGACUCUAGAAUACAAAUUAAUAUGUAUCUCAUGCUUUGACUAGCUUCCCUACAUAUGCACAAAAUGGAGAUGACCUAAAAAAAUAGCAGAAUCUAGCUUCCCUACAUAUGCACAAAAUGGAGAUGACCCAAAAAAUAGCAGAAUUUCCUUAGUUUCUGUGGUUAAGGUGAUUCUCCGCUUAAUAUCACAUUGACUCAUUAUGCAAAAUCAACUGAGCUAAUUUUGUUUAUUUAUUUAAUGUCAAAUAGGAACUCCUAAUUAACCUAACCCUUGGCCUGUGUAAAUUGAUUUCACAUGCCCAAUGUUGAAGUAGAAGUCCAUAUUUUGAAUUUUAUUUUUGUAAAGGUAAGGAAAAUGAAGCAUUGUGUAAUUAUAAAAAUAACUUCAUUGGAAUUCACAAGGUUCACCCAAAAUGGAGCUACAUCCGUAUUCUAUCCUGCAGUAGACUAUAUAGAUUGUACAAUAGUAAAUUGCAAAUACAAUUAAUAAGUCUUGUGCUUCCUUACUAAUAAUCCUUUGACAUGAACAUUGCAGCACUAAGGUCCUCUUGGGAAGACACCUUGCACCCAUGAGAGCACGAAGAGGAAGCAAGGCAGAGUCAUGGGUGCAAUGUCAUGACUUGUUGUUGCACCAAGAGAGGCUUGGUGAUGGCAUGGUGUUGCAGUAGCAAGAAUGUUGCCUUGGUAGGGACAUAAUCUAGGGAUAGAUGCCAAGAAAGGCUUAGCACUCACAUGAGUUGCACAAAGAUGAAUGUAAUAGAGCAUCAGAGAGACGUCUUGGCAAGUAAAUGAAUGGAUCCAAGAGGCAACAACAUGAGGAGUUUCAAAUGGAUAAGGAAUGAGUCAAAGACAUUUGAAAGCUACAAGUUGGAUUCUAAUUACGAUUGCAAUUUGAGUUUGAGUAGGAGUUUAGAUUCUGAUUGUAAUUGUAGUAUGAGUUGGACUAGGAUUGCUUAUCCCUAGUCAAAAUAGGAGUGGUUCGUGUCACACCCUAUGAAAAGAGUUUGAGUAGGGACUAGGAUUGCUUACUCCUAGUCAAAUAUGGAGUAGGUGGUGCCACACCUAUAAAAAAAAAGGGACAACAUGAGAGAGAGAGAGAGAGAGAGAGAGAGAGAGAGAGAGAGAGAGAGAGAGAGAAAGAGAUAAUGAAUUCACUAAAGAUAUUGUGGGAGUUUUUCUUUGUUACGUCUUGUAUUAUUACUUAGAAUAGGAAUAAAAUACAAGUUUGGGCUAGAGCCCCAUAAUUAAUCUCGUGUGCCUUUGUGGUUAUUCUUUAUUUGUCAUCUCGUGUGGAUUGGAUUACAUUGACUUAGAGGGCUUCUAAGCACCACCUUUGUGGGUUAUUAUUUAUUUUCCAUUUCUUGUGGAUUAGAUUAGGUUGACUUUGAGGGCUUUUAAGCACCACCUUUGUGGGUUAUUCUUUAUUUUCCAUAUCGUGGGGAUUGGAUUAGGUUGACGAUGAGAAAAAUUAUGUGGGAAAUUUGUGUUGGGACACUUAUCAUAACCAGGUAAAAUCUGCCAAGUCCUUUGUAAUAUCUUCAACAAAUAUUUCAGACUAGUUCUUCACCAUAAACAUCAUAUUGUGUUUUGUUUUUCUCCUGGAUUCUGAGUUGAAUUGUUUCAAGUCAAUUGAAUGCAUCUGAAUAUUAUUAGCUUGUUUGAAGGCCUGGUGAUUUUCCAUUUAACUUUACUUUCUUUAGGUUAUGCUCACUAUAAGAAAAAUGAGAAAUAAUGACGCUUUUUACGCGUUAAGAAAGGCAACAGAUGAUGCUUCUCUAAAGCGUCCUCUUCGGCUCUGUCAUUAUAUGUGUUAGCCAAUAAUGACGCUUCUAGGAAGUGCCAUCUUUGAAUAAUGUUAAUAACGACACUCGUAAAAAGUGUCAUCUUUAAACAUAUUCUGGUCAAAUAAUUUUUACAAAAUUAGUAAUCUUCAAGCCGUUUCUGAAUCAUAUCUGAGCCUAUUUCUGGGGACCAGAAAACCAUCUUUUUUCCAUUCGCCUGAGAGGUCUGAUUAGCAUUUCUGGAAUCAAUCUCUAAACCCAAGCUUCCCUCAUCUACCCAUUUAACCCUCAUGCCCUCCUGUUUGAACAACUUUCCCACUAUAUACACAAAUUUUUUACCUUCUGUUGUUGGUAUUCGACCUCUUCCCAUUCCCAGCACAGAAUCCACCAUUAGUGCCACUUUGUGAAUAAAAUCAUCGAACCAGAUCUUUCGGGCGGAAGAUGAGCUCCAGAGAAAUAAAAUUUUUGGGGUCUUCCCAGCAUGAAAGUCAUAGGUAGCAUUAAUGACAUCAAGAAAUGGGGCACUGUUGAGAAAAAACAUGUUCCCAUCAACCACCCAAGAAUUGUACCAGACUCCAAACACUUCUGGAUUACAUAUGCCUUUACUAAGAUAUAUUUCUUGAUCUCCAUAUCAGAAUCUUGGAGACUCUUCAUUUUAUGAGCUCUGACACUACUGUGAAAUUGGUCCACAUCAAUCACAGGAUGACCCCUUCUAGCAAGAUCAAGCAGGAAGUCUGAAUUCGGGCCCAUAAAAAUGUAGUUCUGAAUAUUGAAACUCUCAAAGUGGCACAACAAAUUCCUUAUGACUCUUUCAGAUGCUCCAAACAGGCUCACAAGUAUAAUGGUAUCCUGUUUUUGCACAGAGUAAAGAAAAUAUCCGAGUUCUUCAAAACUCCUUACAACUAUUCCAGGAUGUACUUCUUUGAAACAGAAAUCGUACCACUUUAGCUUAGUCAGAGGUUGAAUCUAAAAUAACAAAACCCAAACUGAAAUCAAAAUCGAAAUCAACCCUAAUAGAUUUCAGAAACAACAAAUUAAAAGAGUAAAGCACAAAAGGGGGAAAACACAUAUGAAGCAAUCUCCAUACAAGCCCUAACCUUAGAUAAACCCAAAAAAAAAAAUCAAAGCAGAGAGUUACCAUAGAGCAUCUCUGUUUCAAGCUUAGAAAAUGUUUAAUGCCAUUGAUAACUAGUUGGCUAGUGGUGGACUUCAAGCUUCUCUAUUUCGGUGUUAGUAGCUCUCAAUGGCUAUGGUGAGAACAAAGAAAUGAGAGGCUUAGGGUUUGGGAUGUGAGGUUAUUGAUGAUGAUGAGGAUAAAGUUAUGGGCUCUUGGAGGGGUUAGGGAAAUUGAAGAUGGCUGAGAGUAAAGGCUAGGGUUUUUGAGAUAGUUAAUAGCUUUUUAGGGUGUGACUGUCCAUAGAUAGAAGAUAAAUGAGGGUGUGAGAAUUUAUAGAUCUCUAGGUGAUAUGGCGGGUGUGAGAAUGAAAUUUUAGAGGGAAUUGUGUGUUUGGUAGAAAUUUCACACAUGCAUAUAUAAUGUUUCAGAACAUGGCACUUUAAAAAUACGACAAGGAAGAAAUUAUUUAUUGACGCUUAAAUAAAGCGCCAAGGUCUCCAACAUUUUUGCAAUCAAUGACGUUUGUAAAAGGUGCCAUUGAAUAGGAGUGCCAUUGCUUUCCCACAAAGCAUCAUUGUUAAUCAAGCCUUUAAAAAACGCCAAGAUAUGUUGCCACUUAGGUUAAAUAUUGACGCUUUUAAAAAACGCCAAGGAAAAAAACGUCAUUAUUCAUGUUUUUUGUAGUAGUGGCUUGAUUCCUAAAAAGUAAAGGAAAGCAAAAAGUAAAAAAAUAAAAAUGUGGAGAGUUAGGACAUGCGUUAUCUAAUUGUCCUAGUCCCAAAUAUAUUAAGAAAGUCAUGUAGGUUACUUGGAGUAACGAGUCAAGUAAAGCAAGCCUUCUAGUGUUUAAGACAUUAGAUAUUACCGAACUGAUUAUGUCAUUAAUGUAUUGCAUUUGUUGUUUCUAAUAUAUAGAAGAAGAUGAAAUUAUUGGAAUAAGUGGGAAAUAGGAAUAAAUCCAAGGUACCAAAAAGUCACUUUAUCUUAGAUGUUGUUGGAAACAUAAGUGAUUUCACAAUAACGACUAUGAGACAAUCAAGGAUUAAUAAGAUAGACUUUAUAUGAUAUACCUCCCAAUUAGAGCCUAAAAAUAUGGAUGAAGCACUUAGAGAUGAAUCUUCAAUUUUUGUACUAUAGGAAGAAUUAAAUCAAUUUGUUAGCUAUUCUUUGGAUAUUUGAUUCAUCACAAGCUACAAAUCACUUUUGAUGACCAAACACGAAACUAAGAGGAUUGGGCCCAAUUCGAUGCCUAUCAACAAUGAUUUGUAUUCCACCUCAUUAAUUAUUCAAAGUUGGGAAGCUAGGUCUAACCACUUUCUCUACCUGUUCACCCUUAGAGGAGCAGAAGAAAAUUCUAACUUUGGUGCCUAAUGCCUUUGACAAUCUUUCGACAAAGAGAGUUCACUAAUUACUUUGAUUAUUUCUCUGUUGGUCACUGGGGGACAAGACUUUUGUAAUGAAGUCAACUAGAACUUGCCCUUUGAGGGCCAUUCAUGGACGAUAUUACACCAUGAAUUCCCUUAGGUCAUGUUUGGUAUGUGAGAAUGAGGAGUGGAAUGGACAUCUUAUUCAUUUUUUCAUCUAUUCAAAUGUUGGGAUAACUCAAGUGACCAUGAGAAUGAAAUCAAGAAUGAUUCAAGGGAAAUGAAAUCUUACUUAUAAGUGUGAUUUCAAUUAAUCUCUAAUAGAAAUUAUUUUGAAUCAAUAGUGCAAGUUAUUUUUAAAAACAUUUUUCCAAAAUUAAAAAAAUCAAUUUUUUUUUUUUCGAUAAGUUGUUUUUAAAAGGAUUUUUUUUAUUUUGUAAAAAGAAAAUUGUAAUUCAAUUUAUAUAAUAUAAACUAAAUUUUAUUUUAUUCAAAAAGAAAUAAUUUUUUAAUUAUAAAUAAAUUAAAAAUAAAUACUUUUAAUAAAAUAUAAAUAGUAUUAUUAUAAUAAAAUCAUAAAUAAAUUUAAUUUUUUUUAUAAAUAUUAUAAAAAUAUGGAUAUUAACAUUGGAUAAUUGAUUUAUUUUGUUAAAAUAAAAAAUAAUAAUUUUUAAUAUUAUUUUAUGUUAAAUGAAUUUUAAAAUAAAGAAAGUUUAAUUAUUUUAAGGUAUAGAAGAGCCAAAUUUUGCAUUACAUACAUAACAAACAAUAUUUAUUAGAAACAUUUCUCAAGGAGAAUCUUAUUCCAUCUCACAAAGAUACUCGUUUAUUCGAUGUUUGACCAUCCGUAACAAUCAUGUCAAUUCUACUGAUUUAAUAAUUCCUUUACAUUUAUUACUCACUUAUGAACAUGGUAUUGUGAUUUAUUUAUUUAUUUGAUGUAUAAUUAAUUAAUCAAUUUUUUAAAUUUCAAAUUAUUUUUAAAAACUAUUCAUUAAGGAAUUUAAAGCAUUAAUUAUGUCUAUUAUUUUUUAUAGUCAUUAUAUAUAUAUUGAGUUUUAAUUUAUUUUUAAAAAUUAUUAAACUUAUUAAUAAAUUCAAUAUAAAGUCUCGUUUCAUUUGAAAUUCAUUUCUUUAGUGAAAAUUUUGAAAAAAAAAUUGUUAUUUAUUUUACUUUGUUUUAAAAAAAUUGUUUCUAGAGAACAAUAAUCAAAUAAUGGUAUGAAUUUUUAAAAACAAUUUUGUUUUUAAAUCAUAUGCCCAAAUAAUUUUUUUUUAUUUAGCAAAAAACUUUGUUGUAGUAUGUGGCUCAUAUUGAGGGAAAGACAUAUAUGGAGAAAAAUGUGCAAAUGUUGGAGUGGAGCGGAGUGGAAUGACGACAUUUGUCAUUCAAACUUGUAUUUUUAUUGUUAAGGGUGACCGAUAGGUUGGUACGGUUUAGGGGUAUUUUUGGAAUUUCAUUACCUGAGGGUUAGUAUAAAUACCAUUUUAUGUAACCCUAAUUUUACAUAUAAUGUAAGUUUUCUUCCUUGUUCUUGUGGACAUAGGCAAUCCGUCGAACCACGUUAAAUCUGUGUGUUUUUUUUUCUUUUUUCUUUUUCUCUAAUUUCUUCACCAGGAAUCGUUACACUAAGAUCAACAAACUCUCAAAGAUGAUUUUUAAAAUGAAAAAAAUAAUGUAUAGUGUGAGAAUUUUUUAUUUUUUAUUUUUUUAAAAUGAAAAUAAAAAAUUGCUUUAAGGUAAAAGUGUGGAUAUUAUUGUUAAUUUAUUUCAUUUUUCAUUUUCAUUUCCAUUGUUACCUACAAUUGAAAUGGAAACAACUAAUCAUUACAACCUUACAUUCUUAUAUGCAUCCAAAUACAAAAAUUGAAAUCACCAAAUUCAUAUUCAAGGCAAAAUAGGAAUGAAAACAAAUAUUCAUUCUCAUUCUUUAUUCCCACGUGUCAAACAUGACCUCAAAGUUAUAAACAUGAACAAGAAGUCCUUGAAACACCAAUGAUCUCUUCUGGUAUAUAUAUGAGCUUGAUUGACAACUGUUUUAAAUACAGUUUUUUUUUUUUUUGUUUUCAAAAUCAAAACAAAUUUAUUUUUAUUUUUUAUAAAUAGUAGUUUUUUAAUAUUUUUUUUAAACCUUAUUAUGAAAAUAGGAUGUUUUCUAAUAUCAUAUUUUAAUUAUUUUCAAUUAUUUUCCCUUCUUUUAAGGAGGGCUAUUUUAAAAAUAUGAAAAAUGAUACAAAAUAAAGCAUUACAAAUAAAAAUCAUUUUUAAGAAAUAUAUGAAAAUAAUUUGAGAACAUUUGAAGUUCCUUAAUUAAACUUUUGUUCUAGAAAAUGCAAGAAAACUGUUUUUGAAAAUUGUUUUCAUAAUGAUAUGCAUUGAUCGUUUAAAAUUUAAUUACAUGAUAAAAAGACCUAUGUAAAAACCAGAGUUAUAUAAUCAGUCAUAGAUCAAAUCUACUAAAUAUGAAAAGUAAGUACAUAGUUGUAUAUGACUUAGAUGGAGCCUUCUCCGAAUGACAUUCUUUAGUCGGUACUCAUAUUUUUUUGUUUCGUGUCUUCAACAUAACACCUCAUGAUCCUUAAUAAAUCACCUGAAAACUAUAUUAGCACCUUAUUGUUUAAUAUUUCUCUAAAUUUUUUUAUUAAGCAAAUAAAUUCCAAAUUUAAAAUGACAAAUAAAAUUUAUUAAUUUUUAAAAAUAAUUUAAAACUCAAAAACCAAUUUAAUUGAUAUUAAAAGUCAUGAAACUUAAUAAUAUUAGAAAGUCAUGUAUCCAAAUUUAUUUUAAAUGACUUGUUUAAUUUCUUGUUUAUAUAUAUUAUAUUUUUAUAAUUUUUUUUACUAUACAAAUAAAUUUUAAAUUAAACAAAACUUAAUGCGUUGAAUUCAUUAACGAGUCUAAUAAUUUUUAAAAGUUACUUAAAAUUUAAAUACUAAAUCAAUUAGUACCACAAAUUCAUGGAAAAAAAUUGAUUUAUUACUACUAUAUUGUUUCUCUAUUGCAUAGAACCAUUAUUUUUCAAUUUUUUCAUUUGGCAAAUGAACAUCAAAUUAAACAAGACUAAGUGUAUUAAAUUCAUUAAUGGGUCUAGUAAUUUUUUAAAAUAAUUUAAAAUUCAAAUAUUGAUACUCCAAAUUAAACAAGACUUAGGUGGUGUUUGUUUUUUGGUUGAAUAGAAAAAGGUAAAAUAUUUGACUUUUUCUAUUUAGUUAAAAGUAACUUGUUGACAUCGUCCAAUAUAAUUAAAGUAAACCUAUUGAGGGCAAGUUCACUUUAAUUAUGUUGGACGAUGUCAACAGGUUACUUUUAACUCAAUAGAAAAAAUCAAAUAUUUUGACUUUUUUUUUAACUCAAAUAAUAAAUCCAUUAAUACAAAAAAAUUAUGGAUAAUUUGAAACUUUCUUUCUUUUUUUUUUUUUUUUUGCUACACAUAGCUAUAUUUUUAUAAAUUUUAUCAUUAGAGAAAUGGAUUUCAAAUCAAGUGAAACUUUGUAUUGAAUUAAUGGAUUUAACAUUUUUUAAAAAUAAUUUGGAACUAAAAAAAAAAGAUUUAAUUACUAAGAAAAUCAUAGAUCAAAACUAAUAUAUUCUGAUCCAUGAUUUUAUUAUUUUUCCUAUACAUACAAUUAUAUUUUUAUAAUUUUCUCACUAGGUAAAGAUAUUAUAAAUUAAGUGACACAUAAUUAAUAAUUUAAAUUUUUGAAUGAAUCUUUUAAUUUUAGGAAUAAUUUGAAAUUUAAAAAGUUGAUCCAAUUAAUUGUAAAUUAACUUAAAAUAUUAUAAAAUAUUAUGUUCAUAAUUAAGUACUAAAUGUAUAUAUGUAAUGAAAACUUAACUAGUUACAUGUUACAAAAGCCAAAAUUUAUUCAUUCUUUAUUUUAAAUAAAAUAUUAUUAAUAAUUAUUUUUUUUAAAAUAAUAUUUAGUAAUUAUUGUUUUUAAAUUAUUAUUAUUAAUUUUUAAUAAAAAAAUUGCAAAGUUAUUAAUAUCAUUAUAUUUCUAACAUAAAUUUAAAUAGUAUAUUUUUUAAUAUAUAUAUAUAUAUAUAUAUAUAUAUAUAUAUAUAUAUAUAUAUAUAUAUAUAAUUUAUGAUUUCAUUAUAAUAUUUUUAUUCAUGAUUGACGAAAAAUUAUUUAUUGUUUAAUUUAUUUGAAUUGCAAAACUAUUUUUCAAAAUUCAAGCGAGAAAAUAGGCCUGGAUUUGAAUUUCCUGUAGAAGAGAAGGAUGUGGAGAAUAUGUUGGGAGUAUUUGUGGAUAAAGAAAAGGCCAGGGUACUGAGAAAGGAGAGAGAACUUGCUCUUGCCAAAAGAGCCCUGCACAGGUAUUCUACUGAUUCUAAUUAUCGGUUCUUACAUGAUCAGAUUUCAGAUUUAUUUGCUGAGCUUCUGAAAUCUGAUACAGUAUUUAAACUCCGGUGAGCUUUACAAGAUUAGUCUCGCAUCCAAUUCCAAAUGGUGUCCCACAAUUGAUUCUUCUUAUGAUAAAUCCACCUUGAUAUGUGAAAAUAUUGCUCGAAAGGUUUAUCCUCGCGAGGAAUAUCCAGAAUACUAAGGAAUUGAGGAGGCUCACUAUGUUUAUAGAGUCAGGGAUAGGUUGAGAAAACAAGUAGUUGUUCCAUUACAUAAGGCCCUGGAGUUGCCAGAGGUUUUCAUGUGUUCGAACAAGUGGGGAUCACUUCCCUACAACCCUGUGGCUUCAGUGGCCAUGAAAUCAUACAAGAGCCUCUUCUCAAACCAUGAUACAGAGCGGUUUGGUGAGUAUCUUGAGAAAGUGCAAACUGGGAAGGCUAAGAUUGCAGCUGGUGCAUUACUUCCCCAUGAGAUUAUAGCUUCAUUGAAUGAGGAGGAUGCCGAGAGAGUUGCCGAGCUUCAGUGGGCAAGAAUGCUGGAAGAUUGAUCAAAGAAAGGGAGGCUCACAAAUUGCAUUGCAGUAUGUGACGUAUCAGGAAGUAUGAGUGGAACUCCAAUUGAGGUGUGUGUGGCUCUGGGGCAGUUAGUUUCAGAGCUCAGUGAAGAUCCAUGGAAAUUAAGGUAAUGUAAUUACUUUCAGUGCAAAUCCUGAGCUUCACAAGAUCCAAGGAGACAGCCUUGUAUCCAAGACUGAAUUUGUGAGGAUGAUGGAAUGGGGUGCCAACACUGACUUUCAGAAAGUUUUGACAGAAUCUUACAAGUAGCAGUGGAGGGAAAUAUGAGUGAAGAUCAAAUGAUAAAGAGGGUUUUCGUUUUCAGUGAUAUGGAGUUCGAUGAAGCUUGUGGGAGGUAUAACUAUUGUGACUAUGACUAUGAUAUGGAGGAAAUUGACGAGAGUCAGAAGGCAUCUCAGAAGUGGGAGACAGAUUAUGAAGUGAUACAGAGGAAAUUCCAGGAGAAAGGAUACAGAAAAGUUCCAGAGAUAGUGUUUUGGAACCUUAGAAACUCAUCAGCGACUCCAGUGACGGCCACAGAGAACGGGGUGGCCUUAGUAAGCGGGUUUUCAAAGAAUCUGUUGACCUUGUUUUUGGAAGGAGGUGGAAUUCUGAUCCCUCAGGAUGUGAUGGAAUUCGCCAUCUCUGAUGAAGAUUACAAGAAACUUGUUCUAUUUGAUUAAGAUAUCAAGAGAUUUAUCAAUAAUAAUAUAUUUUUUUUCUAUGUGAAAUACAUAUAAUAUUAACUGUGGAGUUAUCAAAGUUCUGGAGGUUUAAUUAUUUCUUCUUUUCAAGUUUUGUUUAUUUAAGGUUUUCUUUGUCUUUGUUAGGAAUUCCCCUUGGGUGGACCCAGCUGGGGAGUUGGAUUGAGGAAGUAAGCAGGCGAACUUGUGUUCUUCUAUGGACAGAGAAAAAAAAUAAAAUAAAAAAAUAAAAAAGGAGGUUAUUUGCAUUUGGAUGUCGUGGUUUGAGGGUACAACUACAAGCUCGAAAUUGUACAUAAUGUGAAAACUCCUGUGUCCAUUGCUGAGAACAGCAUAAAUGAUGGUGAUUUUCAAGUUGUGCCUGGUAUUCUACAGGAUGAAACAAGAAAGGAUCCAGGUGGUAUAUUGAACAAUAUCCCAAUCAUGUUGGUGGCAUCUUUAUUUAGUUAAUGGUAUUCAUUUGGUGGAAGCUGGUUGUUUAUGAUGUUUUUAAUUUUUUUUAACAUGAAGUUCGAUCAAAUACGUAUCUUAGUAUGUUUUGUUUGAGCUAAUUGGCAAAUGCGCUUUAAACAUGGUCACAUGGAUGCAGUUUUAUUUGUGAAAUGAUAAUAGUCGAUUACUUGGUCAGUAAGGUUUAUAUCUCUAACUUCAACAUCUUAUUGUAGUCUUUUAAAAUGUCAAAAGUUUAAUGCUUGAGAAAUUUUGGAAUGGAGACAUUCUAAACAAAGUUAAUAAUCCACAAGACUUGGUAAAACCGAUCAGAUGAUGCUUACGUACAUCAAUGCCUUCUUUAAGCCAUAUCCUAUUUUCAUUGAACGGGAUGUGCCAUCUAGUUUGGUUCUUUAAGCCUCCAAAUCCUAAACCUAGUCUCAAUUUAGAGCAAAUUUAGGGUGCAGGGCCUGCAUGCCUCCCCCUCCCCCUUCCACAAAUAGUAGUGACCUUGCUAUGCCUAUGCAUUGUCAAUGCCUCAUUUUCUAUGGUCUCCAAUGUAAUAUCUUAGUUUCAAUGUCUCUUUCCUUACUAUCUCCAAUGCAAUAGAUUGAUUUCAAUACCUCUUUACAACUAAGACCUCCAAAUUUUCUUGGUUCAAACCUACCAGAAUUUUUCUUCUCCUUUGCUUUCUAUCAAUAUUAGUUCCCCUAAUUUAAUAUAUACUUCUUUAUUACCUUCAACUCUACCUCUCUUUCUUUCUCUAAAAGCUUCCUCAAAGAUUUAAUUGCUUUCUUGCAUGUUUUAAGAAAACAAACAUGCUCAUAUUACAUUACCUCUACUUGAGAUCUACCUUAUACUCUACCUUCUUUCUUUACCUCCUAUAUCAUCUACUACAUUAGCUUCAAAAAUAUUAUUUAGUUUGAUACUAAAUAAGGCUCCUAAUCCUACUCUUCCUUCAACAAACUUUCUUUUUACAAGUUCCUUAAACUUUAUUUUUUAUUUUUUAUUUUUUGGAAAUUCGGGUUAGAAAGAUUCCAUUACUCUUACCUAAUAUUUCAACCAUCAAGUUGAAUCCACUUAUUGCCUAAAUCCAAGGAGUCUGCCCUCCACAAAAACAAGGAAAUUGAUCCCACAAUAACAAGGAGAUUGCCUUCCACAGAAACAAAGAGAUCUCCCUUCACAGAAGCCGAAUACAUUGCAAUCUAUUUUCUUUCUUGUAAGAUCAAAUCUUCAAUCGAGCUCCAUCUUAUGGGGGCAUAUUAGAGAAAUUUAAUAUUAUCCUUAAUUUACAUAUUAAUAUUUAUCUAUUUAUUAUAUAUUGAAUUAAAAUAGAAUAUAGAAUUUGAAUCAUAGUAGAAGUUUACUAUAAGAUUGAAUUACAAUAGUUAAUAGAGUUUAAAUUAUAAUAACUCAAAUACAUUUAUAUAUAUUUGACCUUACGAGAUUUUCUAUUUAUGUAUUUGAACUACAAUCCUUAUGAUCCUUAGGUCUCUAUACCUUCGUGAUGGGCUCCUUGACAUUUCAUAGGUUGUGCUACACAUGCAUUUGAAAUUUAGAGUGCAUUUGACAGUGAUUCUGGGAAGUGUUUUUGGCAUUUCUAACACUUAAAAUUUUUUAUUUUUCAAGUAUUAGAAAUGCUACAAACACUUUUGAAAAUUACUGUCAAACACACUCUUAGGAGCGCAUAUAGUAGAAAACUAGAAAUUGUGGUUUUUUUAGGAUUUACUGUAAUGUCAUUAGGAGGGUAGUAAGUUGAAACUGAGUAUGAAUAAAUAUUUCUUUCUUUGGGAUGUUCUUCUGGUAGGUGCUGAUGAAACUGUUCUUUUUACUGCCAAUGUCACAUAUCAGCCAGAAAUUGAAAAUUUCAGUCAAGGUGUCCUCGGUUUUAGUGGUGAGGAAAGCUAGAAAUUUUAAGGUGAAGUUCUGUUAAAAACCUUAAGUAGCUGGGAUAUCAGGCCUGUUUUGCUUGAAAAAAAAAGUUGCAAGAUAACUCAUAUGCCAAACAGGUUCUGAUAUUGUGAAUCUAUCGGCAGACAUCAGUAAUCUCAUCUUCUGAGAUGGAUGUUGGGGGUGCAUGUGGUGGUGGAGGGGCAAGGUUUCAUUUGGUUUAUUUUGUUGAUGGAUAUUGUCUAGCCCCCUGCGCCAAGUUUGAGGGGUGGUGGGUUGUGAUGGCCCUACAAUUACUAUUAAUUUCUUCCUCUUUUACCGAUUAAAGUGUCCGAACAGUCGAAGUUACCCUUAUGCAUGUCAACUUGAUCACUUACCUCUUCAAUGGAGUUUAUGCUGGUUCAUUUAGGAACUGAUUUUUAUUGUUAUGCAUUCUAUGCUGAUGUUUAGGCCUCUCCAUCAUCACUAUAUACAAAAAUUCUAGGUUGAUACUAUAGGUUGAGAUUUAUUUUUUAAAUAAAAAAUAAUAAAAAUAAAAAUUAUGGUGAUGUUUAGUUGUUUUAUGGAAAAUUUUAACAAGUUAUUUUUGGGCAAGUUUUCAAACAAAAAGAAAAGUAAAAGUUGUUUUGACAAAAACAUAUAGAAAAAAAAAAUCAUAGAAAAGAAAUAAUUUCCCCAUAUUCUAACUUUUUUUAAUUUUUCUCAAUGGGCAAAGGAAUAUCAAAUCAAGUUUGAGUAGGAUUUCUUAAUUUUUAAAAUAACUUACAAUUAAAAAAUUUUGGUGUUUUCAUUUUUGGACAAUUUUUUAUUAAGCAAAUGGACUCUGAGUCAUGCAAGAGAUAUGGUUGAUUAAUGGGUCAAACAAUUUUUUUAAAAUAAUUUAAAACUCAAAUACAUAAUCAAUGUCACAAAAUUUAUAAACAAAAAUAGGUUUAGAGAAGAUCUACACAUAAUUUUACUUUUCUAAUUUUAUUUUAUUUUAUUUUUUUGUUGGAAAAUAGUCUUCAAAUCAUGUAAGAUUUAAUAGGUUAAAUUUGUUAACAAUAAAUUUUAAAUUAUAAAAUAUAAUCUGGAACUUAAAAAUCAAUUCAAGUAAUGCUAAAAAAAAUCAAAUUUGGUAUAGAAUGACUACGUAAAAUUUUUUACAAAACAAAUGAAUUUUAAAUCAAGUGAGAUUUAAUGCAUUAGAUUUUUAUCAAAUAUAGUAAUUUUAAAAUUUAAUUUGGAACUCAACAAUAGACACAAUAAAUACCAAAAAAUAAUGAACCAAAAUUGGUUUGGAAUAACUCCACAACCUCUUUUUUUUUUUUUUGGUGCACACGAAUUUUCUUACUAGGUAUAUUGCUUUCAAAUUGAGAAAGAUUUACUAUUUAGAUUUUUUUUUUUAAUGAGUUUAAUGGUAUUUUAAAAUAAUUCAAAAUUUCAAAAAUUGACUAAUUACUAUUAUAAAUUCAUAAACCAAGACUAAUUCAAAAUGCAUUGGGGGCUAAGGGGGUUGAAAAUAGGGACAAUGGGAUGGGUUUGGGACAUGACACUCAUAUCUCAUUUCCAUUCCAAUUACAUAGUUAUCUCCCAUCCUUAUCCCAAACUUGUGUUGGAGCAAGUUGAUUUGUUCCCAUCUUUGUUGAUGAAAUGACUAAUAACCUCAUCCCCUCCUUAUCUUAGAUGUACAUUUUGUCAAAUUUGAUCAGGUAUGAUUGAUCCAAGCCCUAACCCUAAUUGGUAAUGACUGGAUACUACACCUAAUUGCAUUCUUCUUUCGUCGCAAAAUAAUGAGAUUAUAAUAAUCUAGCAAAUAAGAAAAAAUAGUAUGGAAGUUCAAUUUAACACCAUAACUAUCAAUAAUUUUAAGCUUAUAGAUGACUUAAAUGAUUAAAAACUAAUGCAAAAUACCAAAAAAAAAAGUUCAUAUAAAGAAUUCACAAGAGAACAAAAUGAACAAAAACCAAAUAUGAACAUGGGUCAACAUUAGUUAUGGAUUUGGAUUCCUUUCAAGGCCAAUCUUUGAACCAAGACUUCAUCAAAUCUACUACUUCAAAGGCUUUUGUGUUCUUCUUGGGUUGUGCUCUCAAACAAAGACUUCAAGGUGAUGCUCUAGAUGAUUGCAUUACACAUAUUUAGGGUGGAGAGAUUGGAGAAGCUUGAAGAUGCCAACGAUGGGUACAAUUGAGUGGUCAAUAAGAACAAUGUAGCCUAUGACUAGUUUGAUGUCGUGGUACAAGAGUUUUAGGCAUUGAGGUUAAAGCAAGAGCAACAUGGAAUUGAUUUUGGAGUCUUUCAAUUAGUGUAAAGGAGGAAGAAGUGGUAUUGAUUCUAGAAAUAGGGUUUUAGGUGGUGCGUUAGAGGAUGAAGAAGAAGAAAAAGAAGGAUCUGUUGGAAUUAGUGUGAGUGUGAAGAGAGAAGUAUAUAAAUAAGGGGAAGUAAAAGCAAAGUUCUAAAAGCUAUAUUUUUUUUUAUUGUUGGUGUAUGGUUGCAUGAUUAUCCCUAUAAAUAAUAGGAGUUUUUUUGGUAUUCUACUAGUAGUUGAAGGAUAAUUUCAUAAAUUUAUAUUUAGAGUGGGGUGGGGUGAGUUGUGACAAAAUUCAUACCCGUCCUAAACCUUGGUUCAGAUUUUUAAAAUAUCCUCAAACUUAUCAUAUACCCAACUUUUAUAUUUCAUACUUGUCUUGAUAGAGGCAGGUUAGGCCGGGUUACUUGAGUAACCUACAUAAUUGUCAUCCCUAGUUGAAAUACACUUUUUUGGCAGUGGCCACCAACUGAGCUAGAAGCUUGAUCGAUUGACCUACAAGAUUAGUUCUCAUCAUUUUAAAAAAAGUUUUGGCCUUGGUUGUGAGUGCAAUUGAAUCUAAACUGGCAUUUCCUUAAUGCAUCUACUUCAAUCCUAAAUUUCUUACUUCCUAAGCCUCAAUUGUUGUUAGGAUUUUGGAAAGCCCAUUUCCUUAAAUUGUAAAUUUAAGAAAAAAUAAAAUAAAAGUGAGACAUUUCUUGAUUGAAUAUUGUUAAAGGUCCCUUGGCAUUAAGACUUGGUUGAAGCCUUGGAAGAUUAGUGGAACUCUCAACUUGUGUUUGAAUCUUGAGGAGAGUGGACGUAAGCCAAAAUUUUGUCAAACCAUUAAACAAAUUGAGUUUGAAUCCUCAUUUCUUGAUUUCUUAUUUAUUUGCUUUUUCUUAUUAUUACUUGAAUUGUCAUUUGCAUUCAUUAAUGUUAAAAUUGGUUAUAAUUAACCAACACUAAUUCUCUUUCCCCUUCCCUUUCUUGGGUGUAAACCUAGGUUGGAUUAACUAGAUUAAUUUAUAAAAUCUAUUAAGAUGGUAAAAGAAUAAUUAUUCUUAACACACAUAAGAUCAUCUUCAAUCAAAUGACUCAUUGGCUAAUAUGUUGAAUUUGCUUAUUACUUGCAACUCAAAAUUGUGUUCUAGUUGAUAUGUCAAGUCCCCAGUGUAUGGACAUUAAAUUUGUAGUACGUGAUGGUAAUUAGAUGGUCCAACUCCAAGAAAGUGAUUGAAAACUAGUUCAAGAAAGGUGCAAAAGGGAAUUGUUUUGGUAUUUUCGUUUUUAUUCUUGAAGGUGGCAGAGCUAAAAUUUGUGAAAUCAAGCAAAACAUACUGAAAUUACAUUGAAAGAAAGAAAAUGGGAGUUAAUGUCUUGCAGUAGAUGAUAAGGACUUCAUGCAUGUAGUAUGACCCAUGUCUUGGACUGAUGCCAACUCACGGUUACACUUAUACCCUUGGUUCUCUCUUUACUACCUUGGCUAACCUAGAUCAGGCUAUGAGAUAGGCUCCUCACCACACCAUUACUUGCCCAUUAAUUAGAGACAUUUUCAAGCACUGAGGUAACAUGGUGACACCAAGAGGGUUUAUUCCUCGCCCUCCUCGCCCUCAACAAGUCUAGACUUGGUCUCAAAAAAAUGGAGAAAAAUGAGGUGUCGUUAUGUAGAAAUACAACAACCAUGCCUUCCUCAUUACUUUGAUUCAGAAUGUGAAGGUGAAAUUGAGAAACAGAAACUCUUGAAACCAAAAUGAAAAUUGAUACUUUUACGAAGAAUUACAACAACAUUGGAGGAAGACUACAUUCUUCCUCUUUAUUCCUACAUUUCUACACUACUUCUACUCCACUCCAUAUUUCUACAUACAUCUUUAAUCAGUCUUCCCUCCUUUAUAUAGAGCCAUCUUCACACAAAUUCCGCAAGGUAGAAAAGAGGAAUGAAACUUGGAGCAAGGUUCGACUACUGGCUGUAGCUUGUCAAGGCUGGAAGUGAACCUUUUUUCUUGGCUUUUCUGGGCAUGGGUAGUAACUUGUGGGUUCCUUUUUGGGAUACAAAUGGCUAGAACAUGUGGCACUAUCUUGUUGGAUGAUGUGUCAAGCAUGUGGCAGCCAUCUAGUGGCGAUUAUGUCAAUUUUGGGAUGGAGAGUUGGCAUCCAAUUGCAAAGAAAUAUGACGUCUACCAACAGGCAAUGUAAACCUAUGUAGAUCAUAUGAAGAUAGAGAGGAAAAAUAUAGAAAUGGAUAUAUACCUAGAACUAGCUUUUUAUUAAAUGAAACGGAGAGCCAACAAUGAAGGAAAAUAAAUUUUUUUGGCUUAUAUCAAAGAGUUCACAUUGUGCUACCCUAGGUUUUCUUAAAACUUACUUUUAUGAUAACAAAAAAAAAAAAAAACAUUAUUGUUUAAUCCUUUGUUUUAAACGCAUGUUUAGCAAGUUAUAAAAUGUAAAAAUCUUUCUAAGUUCAAAUAUGAAGAUAUGACAUCAUUUCAAGCAAGAUAGUCUCUAGGAAUUAAUGUAAAGCUAAAUUAAGGUGAAAUUAAAUUAGUUCAAUGCAUUAAUUUAAGAAACUUGACCUAUCAAAAGUACAAAAUUAGAUGAAAUCCAUUUCAAUGGUUAAAAUGAUCAAAAUCAAACUUUUUCUAAGUAUUUUUUAAAAGUAUCAAUAUUGAAAGACAAUUUUAUAUUUAGUCAGAGUUUGGACAAAACCAAAAAGCACACAAAAUCCAAGCGACCAUCUCUAGCUUGGAUGGUCGCUUGAUCUCUAGCUUGUGUACUUGGAAAGCAACAUCGAGAUGAUAUAUAUAUAUAUAUAUAUUUUAUAUAAUAUUGUUUGUCCAAAUUCCCUAAAAAUUAGGCCACCACAUGUUCAUAAUUCUCCCUUCUUGAAUUUGAAAACUCGGACAAUUGGACAAUGCGACACCUAAGUCCGGUUUCUAAAUGCUAAAGUGAAAGGGUAGGUAUGGACCAUUGAAAUGUGAUCACAACUUUUCUCUGUAGCCAUGUUGUCUCUUUUUUCUUUUGCAUGAUUUUCUCACCUUAACAGAAUCAUAGACUUGUUUAAUCUCUAAAUGGGAUUAAUUUCAUCCAGCUUUAAGCUACUAUAUUAUAUCUAGGUGGAGGACUUUUAAGAGUGCAACCGACAUAGAGCACAUGCAAGUGGGUAUAUGGGACAUGAAAUUUCUUCUUAUAAAGAUUGCAUGAUUUUUAUAUUAGAGUUGUUGGGGCGCAAUGUAUGUAGCUUGUUUUGCAGUUAAAUUAAUUGGAUAAGUAGACAUUGGCGUUUCUAAAUCUACUGUGAAGUGCUUCAUGUACGUGUGAAGUAUUAGAAAUUUCUUUCUUGGCAACUUGUUUUUUCUUUGCGGUCUACUGAUAGGUUUGACUAAAAUUAUAUUCCCUGUCAUGCUAAUUAAUUUUCACGUGCAUGCUCAAAAGAAGAGUAUGACCUUAGUGCACCAAAAUCACUUUGAUUAAUUUGUGAUAGGUUUUUGUGCAUCAUGACAUUAGCCUUAUUCAUUUAGAUAAUGUUUAGUUUUUAGAAAGUAUUAAGAAAAGGAAAAUAAAUAUUAAGAAAAAUAUUCUUAUAUUUGAUUGUAUUAUGAAAAAUGUCAUAAAAAAAUCAAAUAUAAUUUAAAUUAAUUAAUAAUUUAUACAUUUUCAAAUUAUUUAAUCUUUAUAUUGAAGAUAUAAUAUAAAUGAAAUGAGUUUUAAGUAUUAUAUAAAAGUGAUUUAUUGAUCUUGCAUAUAUGUAUUUCUUUUUUUUUUCUUCUAUUUUUUUUCUUUAUUUUAUUUUCCUUAUGUUUUCCUCAACAUUUUCCGGAACCAAACAUAGCCUUAGGAAAUCCACAAUUACCUUCAACUGAGUAUAUUCGGUUGUUUUAGCAAUGUUAGGCUGCUAACUUGUGUUGGUACGAACCUGUUAAGCCUAAAGAUGUAAUUAGUUAGGAUAUUCUUUUCCCUCUAGUCUUGUAGCUCCACGUGUAUAGUUGGUUAGGACCUCAUUGUAUAUAAUGCCUGCCCUGUUAUUGUUGAAGACAACAGAGAUAAAUAAUAUUAACAUUUUUCCUCUCAUCUCUCUUUGUUUCCCUCUGUUUUCAUCUCCUCUCUCAUCUUGGUAUCAGAGCCUCCAUGGAUUCUUUCAAAGAAACCUCCGAAUCACCUUCUGCUAGCAUUGUUAAUGUGCAAAACCCAUUAUCUCAGUCAAACAACCUUCCUUCACCAGCAGCCACACCCUCUUUUUCUUUCUUGUCUAUGAAUCAACCUCUCACAGUGAAGCUGGAUAAUGGAAACUACCUCAUCUGGAAGAAUUAGCUUCUGAAUGUCAUCAUUGCGAACAGACUCGAUGAUUUCAUUUAUGGAACUCGACCCUGCCCUCCUUGAUUUCUCAAUCUGCAACAACAAACCCUCACUCCAGAGUACUCGGUCUAGCAGAGAUACAAUCGACUUCUAAUGAGUUGGCUGUACGCAUCCUUGUCCGAAGAUAUAAUGACUCAGAUUGUUGGGUAUUCAACAACUGUGGAGAUUUGGAACGUCCUUAAUCAGAUUUACUCUGCCUCUUCAAUGGCGUGGGUUACCGAGCUUCACACCAAGCUUCAAACGCUCAAGAAAGAUGGACUCUCAGUUGGUGAAUAUAUUCAAAGGCUCAAAUCCAUUUGCAAUAGUCUUGCAGCAAUAGGAGAACUAGUUUCUGAGAAAGACCAGCUUAUCUAUUUGUUCAAUGGAUUAUAUUGUGAGUAUAAUUCUUUUGUUACCUCCAUUCAAAAUCGAUCUGACCAACCAACUAUUGAGCAAAUCCAUAGCCUAUUGCUUAGCUAUGACUUUCGGCUUGAACAACAAAACUCUGUUUCUCUCCAUUAUGCCCAAGUCCGUAUGGCUCAUCUGAACAAGAAACCUUAUAAAUCAACUCCUCAACCUACAUUCAAUCAUAUUCACAUUCAACCUAGAUACUCUUCUCCACCUUUUAAGCCAACCACUAGUCAAUAUCAACCCAGGAUUUUGGGCAAACCACAACCACAACCAUGACAGCCUCAACCUCAAUGGAAACCACAUUUUUCAAUCCAGAAUCAAAAGCCUCAGUGCCAAAUUUGUGGUAAAUUUGGACACACUGCUCUUAUUUGCUUCCAUUGCACAAAUUUGAACUAUUCACCCCAACCUUCUCCUAAAUCUUUCAAUACUGUUCUCACCACAAAUUCCCAGCUCCCUAAUCCUCCAAAAUUUUCUUACCCUACAAUGGCUCAUCCUGCUGCUACGCAUAACACGAUUCCUGAUACAAAUUGGUACAUGGACUCAGGUGCUACACAUCACUUUACUCCGGACAUCAACAUGCUUGACACUGUGACACCAUUUAGUGGUUUAGAACAGGUGACAGUUGGGAAUGGUAAGCAACUCUGUAUCUCACAUCUUGGUACUGCAAAACUACCAUCCUCGUAUUCUCCUCUUGUUCUACAUCAGGUAUAUCACACUCCAAAAAUUUCAAAUAAUCUUAUUAGUGUUAGAAAAUUGUGUUCUGAUAAUAAAGUUUUUGUUGAAUUUUAUGCCACUCAUUUUCUUAUCAAAGAUCAAGUUUCGAAGAGAGUUCUCUUUCAAGGUCAACUUGAUAAUGGCUUAUACAAAGUUCAGUCGUCAUGCUCUCCUUCUACUAUUUCCUUUCAUCCUCAAGUUUUCAUAGCCAACAUCAAGGAUCAAAAUUUGUGGCACAAGAGACUAGGCCACCCAGCUUUAUCUGUUAUUAAUCAAAUCUUGGAUUCUUGUAACAUUGCUCGAACACAGAAAAUUGGUUUUAAUUUUUGUAGUUCUUGUCAAUUAGCAAAAAGCCACAGGCUUCCUUUUUCUCUGUCUCCAUCCAUUGCAGAAAAACCUUUUGAGUUAAUUCAUACAGACCUAUGGGGUCUUUCUCCUGUUCGCUCUAUUUCUGGUGCUCGUUAUUUUUUACUUUUCAUUGAUGAUCAUACUCGUUUUACUUGGUUUUAUUUGCUCAAAACAAAAGAUGAAGCAUAUCCUACUUUUCUCAAGUUUCAAGCUCUCAUUGAAAAUCAAUUUAAUACCAAGAUUAAGGUUGUCCAAUCUGAUUGGGGAGGUGAGUUUCGAUCUCUCUCCAUACUGUUUUCAAAUAUGGGCAUUGUCUAUCGUUUAUCAUGUCCAUACACCUCACAACAGAAUGAGUGGGUUGAGCGAAAAAAUCACCAUGCGGUUGAAAUGGGAUUGUCCUUUCUUGCUCGCUCGGGUAUGCCCUUAUCUUAUUGGCCUUAUGCCUUUCAAACUGCCACUUACCUUAUUAAUCGUCUCUCUACCCCUGUGCUGCACCAUCAAUCCCCUUACUUCGCACUCUAUCACAAAUUCCCAGCUUAUACUCAUCUUAAGGUCUUUGUUCCUCUUGUUUUCCAUAUUUACGCCCUUAUAAUACCCAUAAACUCCAAUACAGGUCACUGGAGUGUGCUUUUCUUGGUUGCAGUUCACACCACAAAGGUUAUCUAUGUCUUGACAUUCAUUCUAGCAGGGUGUAUAUUUCUCGCCAUGUGAUUUUUAAUGAAGAUUCUUUUACAUUCAAGAAUUUGAAAUCUUCUCUCUCUUAGUCUAUUUCUUCUUCCUCUUCUUUAUUAGUUCCUCUGUUCAUUUCCUUGCCUCCCCUCUCCCCAUAUCCUCCUAUUUCUCCAUCUAUAUCUCAUUCUUUUCUCUCUUCUUCUUCUACCUCUAGUACUUGUUCCCCUCUCGUUGCUCCUACCUCUCUUCCUCCCUCUUCACACUUUGUGUCCCAUCUAUUCCACCUCCUUCUCCACCUUCUUCGAGUGUGGACCUGCUUGUACCUUGUGUGAAUACAAAUUUACUUACUUUUUCUCGCACUCACAAUAUUCAUCCUAUGGUGACCAGAUCUAAGGGUUUGUAUCUAUAAACCUAAGUUGCUAUUGAGUGUCUCCAUAGGUUCUCUCACUAAGCCUACUUCCUUUCUUCAAGCUAUUAAAGAUCCUUCAUGGAAGCAAGCCAUGGAAUUGGAGUUUGCUGCCCUUCAACACAACAAGACCUGGCAUCUAGUUCAUUCACCUUCCUCAGGCAAAGUAAUUGGUUGUAAAUGGGUCUAUAAGAUAAAGCUUUAGCCUGAUGGCUAAUUGAGAGAUACAAGGCCCGCUUAGUAGCUUAGGGUUAUCAUCAAACUGAAGGUAUUGACUACUUCGAAACAUUCAGCCUGGUUGUCAAGCCUUCUACUACCGUAUUGUGCUCAGUCUUACUUUUUCCCAGAAUUGGUGUAUUAGACAGCUGGAUGUUCAUAAUGCCUUCUUACAUGGUGACUUAGCUGAAGACGUUUUCAUGGAACAACCACCUGGAUUUGUUGAUCCUCUCUAUCCUACUCAUGUCUGCAAGUUGGAUAAGUCUCUCUACGGUCUUAAUAGUCACCUCGGGCUUGGUAUACUAAGCUGAGUACUUCUCUACUACACUUGGGAUUUGUUACUUCUAAGAAUGACUCUUCCUUAUUUAUUUGUCAUUCGUCUCAUGGGUUACUUCUUGUUCUUGUCUAUGUGGAUGAUAUAAUCGUCACUGGGAGCCACUCUCCUCAAGUUACUCACCUUAUCCAAUAGUUGCAUCAUCAGUUUUCUUUAAAGGAUCUUGGUCAUUUACACUAUUUUCUGGGCUUGGAGGUUCAUCACACCCCUACUGGUAUUCACCUCAGCCAAGCAAAGUAUAUCACUGAUCUCCUUACCCGGGCGGCUAUGUUGGAUGCCAAGCCAUGUCCCACUCCUAUGUCCUCCAACACAUAUCUUUCUCUUCAUGAUGGAGUGGCUCUUGAAAAUGGUUCAGAUUAUUGAAGUUUUGUUGGUGCCCUUUAGUAUUGUACCAUGACACGCCCAGAUAUAGCUUUUGCAGUAAAUAAAGUGUGUCAAUUCAUGCACCAUCCCUCUGAUGUUCACUGGCAGGCUAUAAAACGUAUUCUCCAGUACUUAAAGGGCACAUCUCAUUUUGGUCUCUUCCUACAGCCUUCCUAUGACUUCAACAUCACUUGCUAUACAGAUGCCGACUGGGCUUCCUGCCUUGAUGACAAGUGUAGCACCAGUGGCUACUGCCUCUUUCUUGCCUCUAAUCUGGUUUCUUGGUCAUCUUCCAAACAAAAAGUGGUCUCCCGCUCCAGCGCCAAAUCAGAGUACCGAGGGGUAGCAAAUGGGGCUGCUGAAAUUGCUUGGACUGAAUCUCUUCUUUGUGAACUUUCCACCCACUCGACCUCCCCUCAUUGUCUGUGACAAUAUCAGUGCCACAUACUUAGCUGUCAAUCCUAUUUUGCAUGCCCGCACCAAAACAUGUGGAAAUCGACUAUCACUUUGUCUCGGAACGUGUUCUUCAACGCUCUCUCUCUCUCCAGUUUACACCUUCGGAUGAUCAACUUGCUGAUUGCAUGACCAAGCCUCUCUCCACCCAACGUUUCAUCACUCUACGCUCCAAGCUCACUGUUCUCACUAGACCAAUGAGCUUGAGGGGGGAUGUUAAGCCUAAAGAUGUAAUUAGUUAGGAUAUUCUUUUCCCUCUAGUCUUGUAGCUCCACGUGUACAGUUGGUUAGGACCUCAUUGUAUAUAAUGCCUGCCCUGUUAUUGUAGAAGACAACAGAGAUAAAUAAUAUUAACAUUUUUCCUCUCAUCUCUCUCUCUGUUUCCCUCUGUUUUCAUCUCCUCUCUCAUCUGAACCAAAUGAUCCAUGUUAACCUUGGCUUGGUUUGAUUUGGCUCUAUCUUAGAGAGCUCAAGGAUCACGUCAACUCUGGUUUCUACUAUUCAGGUCCAUUCCCAUAUGAACUGGUUCAAAUUUGAGAAAAUGGUAACAGACCUUUAGUGAUGUUGGUUUGGAGCCAGUUGCCAAACCCGCCCUGAGCUUUACCACUAAUGUCAAGGGAGAAAGCCUUUUGAACAAAAACAAUAGCUUCAAGAGACUGAAUCGUGGAUGAAAUCUGAUCCACAUUUCUUCUCAUUUUGGAAACAAAUGAGAACUUAACUAAGAAGAUUCUACGGCCUCAUAGUGCUUUUCCUGAUCUAAGGUUGGUUCGUUUCCCAAAUUGUGAGAUGCACGGGCCAGACUUCAGAACUCUCACGCUCAGGAGUGUAUCCACGUGGUGGACAUAAGAUGGUGGCUUAAGAUCUGGUGUCGGUGGCUUUACUUUACUAGGAGAGUAGUGUGUCUUCAUCUCAUUCACUGCCGGAGGGUGGCGUAAGCAGUGACGCUAAGGUGGGGCAUAGUCAAUAUCAUUUGCAUUUGACCAUUAUAGUUUUCUCCCGGCUUGAAAGUAACCUUAUCGUGAUAAAGGAUUACUAGCACUAGUUCAGAUGACAGUCAUGUUAAAUUCGGACCAUGUUUGUGUCACAUUAUCAGCAACCAUGUGUUUAUGGUUCAUGCUUUCUGCAACUGAAAUUGAAAUUGAUAUAUAACCAGGUGAACUUCAAUCUAAAUUCUGGAAGUACUCAUGUGAGCGAUGGUGCCCAUCUGCAGAGUCCAUCAAUUGAAAAAUGGAGUGAGUGUAUCUAUAAGAGGGAAGGCUUGGCAAAUGUCCAGUUUUCUGGGAAUUCAACAAGGAUCUAAAAUAGAUUGUUUUCUUUGCUGAUUUCAAUGGUUGAAAUUUGAGAAGAUUGUGUCCCACAUAACACAACUAUUACUGGUCCUUCUGUUGCAAUUUAUCCUCUAAGGCUCUAGCAUGUCUUCCAAUUCCCACUUCCCUGUUACUCCAGGAAAGCUAUUUCUGUCAUUGUGAAGAAGAAAAGAGAAUGUAGAUAUCGAUGCUUUUAAGUGACUGGAGCAUUCAUAUCAGGUGGUCUGCAGCCAUAUAUGCCACUUUGUGAAGAUUGGAACAGUCAAUCACUAGGCUAUAUAUUAGUGUGGCCCAGCCACUUUAAUCAAGGACAAUUCUUCAUACUUAAAAGUCAAAUUCUGCCUUUAGUCUCAUUAUAAAUUGCUGUUUAAAUAUUAAGCAAACAUUUGUUUAAUGCGAUUAAGACAGUACUAACUCAAUACUUGUUCUAUUUUUGGAUGGAAAUGCUUGAUGGUUUCAUCAUUGGAUGGGAUAAAGGUGCAUUCAUGAUUAUGAAUACUUGUAGUUAUAUUUUCAUUCUCUUUUUUCUCAAUGAGACUUGUUGGCACAAUUUUUCUGUUCAGAAACCUACCUCUCCAUGGAAAAUAAGUUGUGAUUGAUAGUACUGGAUAUAUUCAAGAAAGCUAAAUAUAGAUAGCACAAAAUAUUAUCGACAUAAAUAGCAUUAACAGCGUACGUAUGUCUCAGUGCUCAUCAGCCAUAAGCAUGGGGCAAACACUUACGAUGAGCAACUUACGUCAAAAUUCCAGAAUAGGACAUAGAAGUGACAGAUCUAUAUAUAUAGAACACUGCAUAAGAGUCACAAGAAAGGAAAUUACGGGUGCAUAGCAGCUCUUAUUUCACAUACUACUCAUACUGAUCAAAGUCACUCAGUUGGGAUGGGUGGGAGUAGGAGGUUUGUGGGGUGGCUUGUGCGGAGGAGUUGGCAGCUUCUUUCCAGGACCUGGUGGCUUCUCUCCCUUAGGUGGUUUGCCAACUGGGGUUGGUGGCUUGUAUGAGUCUUCAGCAUUCUCUGCAGGAGGGUGACCAGGGUUGUGACCAUAAUGUGGUGGCUUCUCUCCCUUAGGUGGUUUGCCAACUGGGGUUGGUGGCUUGUGUUCUGGGAGUGGCUUCUCCCCCUUGGGAGGUUUUUCCAAUGGGGUUGGUUUGUGUUCAGGAGGUGGCUUCUCCACUGGAGGCUUGUGUUCAGGAGGUGGCUUCUCCACCGGAGGCUUGUGUUCAGGAGGUGGCUUCUCCACCGGAGGCUUAUGCUCUGGUGGUGGCUUCUCCACCGGAGGCUUAUGCUCUGGUGGUGGCUUCUCGAAUGGGGGAUGCUUAGGGUAAUCAGCAAGUGAGGGGGCGGUGAGAACCACCAGGCCAAGCAAGACCACUAGCAAGUAUGUAGGAGACAUCUUUGGGUUUAGACUCAGAUGGUGCAAAACUAGGAGAAUUGUCUUUUAUAGCGGAUCGCACCCAAUAAUGAAAUGACACGUGUCUUUAUGACCCAUGUGUAAUGGGGUCGAUUUGGGUCCUACAGUGUUGAAAACUUCGACAUCCACUUUUGGCCUUUUGCUUUCUCUACAGCCGCCUUGCUUUUUCCCUCUUUCCUUUUGUUUUCCUCCUGCCCCAUUCUAUCAACUAAACACAAUUAUGUAGUUGUUUAAUUCUUAAAUGAGAUAUUAUCCGUCAAUCGUAUCAUAUUUUAUCAACAGAGAACGGAGUGCAAUGUGGCAAUCCAAAGAAAGAAGAUCCAUAAUGCAGCUGUAAUUUUAUCGUUUACUUUUAUCUCUUGGACCACUGCAUUUUUGUUAAGAGGUGCAAUAAUACACGUCUUUAUCUGCCAUUCAAUGUUUACAGUAAAGAGAGGGCACAAAACUCUUCACUGCUCUGCAUGUGUCCCAAAAAUGCAAUUGGACAAAUUAUGAUUUGCAUGCUAAAAAGAGGCAAAUGAGGUUAAUUCGCACCAUAAUUAUUUUGUUUUCUGGACCCCGGGGCCCUUUGGUUGGUUUGGGGGUCAGAAAAUGAACAUCAUAGGGGGUUUUUCCCUUAUGUGCAUUUGUAUCUGAUGGCUUUAACUCGCCUUGUUACUACAAAGAAAUUGUCACAUAUAGGAACUUAUUCCAGGCUGAGUAUCUCCGCAUAGACCCUAUAAAAGAAGACAAGUCAUAAUGAACAUCUAACCUUUGUUCAAUUUGAUUCAAUGCCCCAUUGUGUCCACCUCACAAAUCUGAAUUAUUAUAUCCAUUGAAUACAUAAAUUAAUGAAGAAAAUAUGAAACCCAAGAUACAUCUCUGCACAACCUCAACCCUGGUUGCUAUGUUUCCCUUCUAUUCACAUGAGGAUAUUGAUUACGGAAUAGGGAAACCUAGCAAGGGUUUACUCGGCUCUGGUUUGAUGCUAAUUGCCAAACUUGCAACAAGCCCUGAGUUUGAAGCUCACAGAAGAUGUUAUACAGGCAGGGAAAAACCUUCAGAGUUCGCUGCCAAAGAUAAUUAUUAAGGAGAUAUCACCAAGAGAAUUCCAAGGAGUCUGAAUCAAAGACAAAUUGGUCGUUCGUGGAGGUUCUUACUUUCUUUUGGGUAUAACUCACUGAGGGCACUGUCUUUUUUAUUUUCAUUUCACAUUUAGAGUUCUGUUCUGGAAACAUAUAAAAGGAGCAUCAGUUUGUUCUUGGGUAACCCAUAGUCGUGAGUGGGUCCAUUUGCAUGCUACUUAGUUGAAAAGUUGGACCAUUUGCUCCGACGCCUACCUCCUGGAUUCCAUGCUCGGAUAAAACAAGAAUAAAAAAAUAUUUAUAAUUUACAAAUGGGGGAAAGAAAAAAAUGUCAACAACAAACUAGGAAAAAAGAGUAGUAAAAUUCAUGUCACAUGCUAGUGAGAGAAGGGGUUGUUACACUCACUCGAAGUUCUUUUCAAAAUAUCGCAUGGUAUUUUAUUUUAUGUGUGAGCGCAGUUGUGAAUGGAACGUGCAAAAGUCCAAAUUGGUGACCUUUAAUAAAUAUUUAAAACAAAAAACGAAAAAAAGGAGGGAAAAGGGAUCAGAAAAGAUAAAACAAUGUGUACAAAAGCUCAAUUAGUUUGCAAAUUACUGUUUGGAUUUUGAUAGUAUUUUAUUUGAUGUAAAAGAGAAUUUAAGAUAUUUCCGAAACAAAAGCAUUAGUUUGCUCCAUGUCAAUUUCGGCAUUUCUCAUAUGUUUCACACAUACACAGAAGAGCAUCGUUUUUUAAAGCAUGCAUUUAUGUUGGAUUAAUUUGGAUUUUGUGGGAACUGGGGCAAGGAUCACAUGGAAGAGAGGUUGACUUUUUUCAGUACUUCAAUGGUUGAGACAGGUGAAGGCCUGAUUGAUACUGAAGCCUGAAAUUGCGACUCCGUCAUUUGUCAAAACAUAUGACAGCUUCCAUGCUCUCGUUUGGUUGCAUUGUUCUGUGGUCAUGCAUACAUGCCACUUAGUGAUCAGUCUGUAACUGUCAAUCAUUGGGCUUUGACUGAACAACAUCAGCCAUGUAUAAAUACUUGCAAAUCAAACGGUCUUCUUCCUCCCAUAAGGAAUUUCGGUUUAAUUAUGAAGCAUGCAUUUGGCUGACCAUCAUAAACCACUUCUUUAAAUUGAUGAAUGAUAGUUUUUCAUUCAUUCUUUCAUUCGUUCAUAUACAGAGUAUAUAUAGAGGGUAAUCAUCAUUCUAAGAAUGGGAAAGAAUGAUACAAGGAAAUAAUGAUAUAAAGAAAUAACAACUAAUAUUCUAAUAUCUCAACUUUCCUAAUAUCUAAACAUUCCUAAUAUCUCAACACUAAAUGAUAUAAAGAAAGAAUGAUAUAAGGAAAGCAUUCCUAAUAUCUCAACACUCCUCCUCAAGUUGGUGCAUAGAUGUCAAACAUGUCCAACUUGUCUAAAAAUUUUGAGAACAGUUGACUUGAGACAUCUUUGGUGAGGAUAUCGGUCAAUUGAUCUUCUGAUCGAAUCUUAGGCAAUUCCACAAUCUUAUCAUCCAACUUUUCCUUAAUGAAAAAUCUAUCCAUCUCGACAUGCUUUGUACGAUCAUGUUGUACUAGAUUAUGAGCAAUGUCACAUGCUGCUUUAUUGUCACAAAACAAUCGGAUUGGUUGCCUAGAUAGGUAACCUAAAUCCUAUAAGAGGAGUCUUAGCCAUAAUGCCUCACAAAGUCCUAAAGUCAUACCUCUAAAUUCCGCUUCUGCACUUGAACGAGCGACGACAUUUUGCUUCUUACUUUUCCAUGUCACAAGAUUACCACCUACAAAGGUAAAGUAACCAGAUGUAGAUCGCCUAUCAUCCACUGCACCGACCCAAACAGCAUUAUACUUCUAUACUCUGAUGAUCAACAUUUUUAGCGAACAAAAUUCCCUUCCUAGGAGCAUUCUUCAAAUACCUCAAAAUACGCAUGACUACAUUCAUAUGUUGCUCUCCAGGAUUAUGCAUGUAUUGACUCACUACACUCAAUGUAUAAGCAAGAUCUAGUCUUGUAUGAGCUAAGUACAUUAAUCUCCCCACAAGUCUCUGGUAUCUUCCCUUAUCGAUUGAUACUUGAUUAGGCUCAACACACAAUUUCAGACCUUCUUCUAUUGGUGUAUUAAUAGGUUGACAUCCCGACAUUCCAGUUUCCUGUAGAAGAUCUAAGGCAUACUUUCUUUGAGACAGAAAAAUUCCUUCACUUGAUCGAGAAACUUCAAUCCCAAGAAAGUAUUUCAGACGACCAAGAUCUUUCAUUUCAAAUUCUCUAGAUAGAUACUUUUGCAAAGCUUUUCUUUCUUCAGGAUCAUUUCCUGUAACUACAUGUCAUCCACAUAUAUCAUAAGUGUCGUAAUCUUACCAUGUUGCUUUUUCAAGAACAAAGUGUGAUUUGAAUUACUUUGAUGAUAGCCAAAAGCUCUCAUUGAUUUUGUGAACCUUCCAAACCAUGCUCUCGGGGAUUGCUUCAACCCAUACAAUGACUUCUUCAAUUCGCACACCUUCUGACAUUGCUUUUCUGACACCAUGCAUCCUGGUGGAAGAUCCAUAUAUACUUCUUCAGAUAAAUCGCCAUGCAGAAAGACAUUUUUUACAUCGAACUAUUGUAAUGGCCAAUCUAGGUUUGCAGCUAAAGACAAUAAUACUCGAACUGUGUUGAUCUUAGCUACAGGUGCAAAUGUCUCUGUGUAGUCAAUUCCAUAAGUUUGAAUGUACCCACUAGUCUUGCUUUAAAUCGUUCAAUACUACCAUCUGCCUUGUACUUCACAGUAUAGAUCCAACGACACCCAACUAGCUUCUUUCCUGGUGGACAUUCUACGAGUUCCCAUGUUUCAUUUUUCUGCAAUGAUUUCAUCUCUUCAUUCAUGGUUGCUUUCCACUUUGGAUCAGCUAAAGCUUCCUGCACACUAUUAGGAAUAGCUACAGUAGAUAAUUGAUUUACAAAUGACUUAUUUGAUUCAGACAAACCAUGGUGUGGACCCGCAUUUUUCACGUGCGCCUCUACUCGAUCGGCGAGACUCGCUUUCUAUUUGUGAAAAAUUAAUUUUAGAAAAGUUGGAGUCGCCACCUAUUUUAUUUUUAUUUUGAAGGGAAAAUAAAACAAGAAAGAAAAACCCUAAAAAGUGACUCCAUAGUUUUGGAAAAAGCAUGUCUUUGGGAAACCUGAGUCUAGGUCCGGGGAUCAUGUUACUUAUUGGGAAGGUACCUCUAGGAGGUAGCACCCCUCUAAGCCUUAUGAAGGUCUCUACUAACUAAAUUAAGGGAAGUGUGGCAAUAAAUCGAUUGAUCAUAGAUACCUAAGUAGACUAGGUGAUUUUAAAGUGUGGCAUGUCAAACACAAUCAAAUUGCAAUAAAGGAGAGUUAGGGCGCGUACCUGAACCGCUUCUCAAGCGCUAUCAUAAAACAUCAAUGGUUAAUUUAAAUAAUAUAUCAUCCAGCAUGUAUUUUAUUAGAAAUAAUCAAACAAUGAAACAUGUAUAUCAGAACACUCAAGCAUUAUUAGACAUAAGCAUUAUUUCACUAUUCACAGAAUUCAGAAAGUAGGUGAUAGAGGACAUACCUGGAUAGCAUAGAUAAUUUGUAAUGUGCUUCCUCAAGUUGUAAGGGGUUAGAUAACAAAUAAUAAAAUAUAGAAAUCCUAGCAUGCUCGUUAUCUAAUUAGCAUAGCAAAAGUGAUCACAGUAUACAGAAUCAUCAAUUAUCACAUACAUCUUGUAUAUAAUUCCUAAAAAAAAUAGAUAGACAUGAUUUCAACAAGUGUCAAAUGUGGCAACAAAAAUAAAUUUUGAAAAGAUUUUCUUAUGUAGGGGUUUCACCAAUUCCCCAAAUUAAUAUACACGAAUUUAGCUUAGAAUUAUCCCAUUUAUUUGGGACUACAAGCUUUGAUUCGUGUUUUUGUUCAAAACCAAAAAUUUUUGUUGAAAAUCAAGAAGGAUGCGAACCGAACAAGAUAUGGUUGCAUAUUAUUUUUAAAUAAAUAAAUAAAUAAAUAAAGGAGAUUUUGAUCCUGAGGACUUUAAUGAGUUUUUUUUUUUAAAAUAGAUUUUUAAAAUGAUUUUUUUGAGAAAAGUAUUUUAUUUUAAAAUAAAAGGGAUUAAUUUGGGAAAAAAAUAAAAUAUAAGAAAUAAAAUACCAAACAAAACAAAAAUGAAACCUCAAAGUAAAAUUUUUUUAGUAAUUAACAAAAAUGAUAAUGGUGAUGGUAGAGGGCAAUCUUCAUGAUUUUCCAAUGGCCUCAGAAAGAAAAUCAAAUUAAAUGAAGGAUCACUAACAGGCAAGACAUUCUAAAUUAGACAAACUAACAAAGUAUCAAUUCAUGAACUAACCGCUAGGAUUUUGAAAGCAUAUAAGCUAAGAUAAGGGUGAUCAGGAACUAAUAUUAAUGAUUUUGAAAUAAAAACUAAAAAAAAGGAUCAAUUCGGGUAAGGAACUAAAAUUAUAAAAGUACCUAAACUAAUUAUGACGAGUUUGACUAAAUUAAACUAAAAACAUGAACUUUCAAACAUAGAAUUAAUUUUACUAAUGAACCAAAGCAAACUAAAAAUAUGUACUUUCAAGCAUAGAAUUAAUUUUAUUGAUGAACUAAACUAUAACAAAUAUCUAAACUAAAUAUAAUGAAUCAAAUUAAAUUAAAGCAACUUAAAAACGCAAACUUUCAAACAUAGAAUCAAUUUUAUCAAUGAAUUAAAACUAUAAAUGUAUUUGAACUAAAUAGAUGAAUCAAACUAAAUCAGAGCAAAAUUAAAAAAAAAAAAGAACUUUCUAACAUGAAAUCAAUUUUAUCAACAAAUAAAUGAAUGAAUAACAAGUAAUUAAAAGAAUAGCUACUACAUGAAUAACUGAAUGAAUAAAAUUCAAAUGUUUUCAAUCUGAAGCAAUCAAUCAAAAUUAAAUAGGGAUCAAAUCAAAAUAAUCGAAAUCGGAAAAACAAUAUGCAAUCUUUCUAAAGGUUUAACCAGACAAUUGAAUUAAAAUUAUGAAUAGAAUAAAUUAAUAAACCAAAUCGAAACCUAAAUUGUACCUAAAAAGAUUAAUUAAUUAAACUAAGAAAUCAAAAUCAAUAACAAAACUAAACUAAGGAGUAAAUUAAGACAAGACUAAUUAAAUUAAACUCACAAACACGUUUUAACUAUCAUAUGGAUUAAAACAAAAUUAGCAUGGACUUAUGAAUUACGAACAAAAAUAAUCAAAACUAUUUUAAAAAACUCACCUCUAUUAUAAGAAAAAAUCUGCCUUUGAUGCGUUGAGGUGGCUCCCCUCUCUGUGUGGAUCUCUCUGCUCCCCAGAAAAAAAAUGUCUCUUCCUCCGUUCUCUUUUGUUUCAGCAAAAUAAUAUAUCCCCUGCUGUGGAUCUCUCUACUCCCAGAAAAUAAUAUAUUCUCUCCGUGUCCUAAAGUGGACCUAGGGUGCCUAAGUGGACCUAGGGUGCCUAAAUGGGCCUAGGGUGCCUAAAUGGGCCAAGUGUAUCUAAAUAGGCUUAGGGUGCCUAAGUGGGCCUAAGUCUAAGUGAGCCUAAGUCUAAAUCAAGACUACCAAGGAUCAUAAUAAGGGGUUAGGCAAUCCCUUAACCAAAGUCUCCAAGGUGGCUAAAAAAAAGUAAGUAGUAUGAGUAGCUAUGGGUCACCAAGGAACUACUGUGGAGCAUUGAAAACGAAUUUAAAGACAUGUGCCAAAGGGACAAAAUUGAGGGUCUACAGAUGGUUAGACACAUAGUUGCUCAUGGGAUAUUUGACUUUGGUAAACAAUUCAGAUUCAUAUGUGGGUUUAGGAAUACCUUUAUUAUGACGGUGUGGUAAUCGUUUCAUGAAUGGAUCAGGUUGCAAAUUAAGAACACCCUCAGCAAACAACGAUUGGUUUGGUAUUUCAGUGAAGACAUCUUCGAACCCAAAUUGUUGACCACUCAUAUCCAACUCACCCGCUUCCUGGUUCACUAGUUCAGAUUGUCCAAAUUCAUCAUUCUCAUAGAUAUGAUAAUCAUAAUCGAGAGUCUGAAUUUCCUUAUGGUACUCCCCCUGAAGUUCAGACUUAGAUGAAAAAUACAUCGAAUAUUCAUGAAACAGCNNNNNNNNNNNNNNNNNNNNNNNNNNNNNNNNNNNNNNNNNNNNNNNNNNNNNNNNNNNNNNNNNNNNNNNNNNNNNNNNNNNNNNNNNNNNNNNNNNNNNNNNNNNNNNNNNNNNNNNNNNNNNNNNNNNNNNNNNNNNNNNNNNNNNNNNNNNNNNNNNNNNNNNNNNNNNNNNNNNNNNNNNNNNNNNNNNNNNNNNNNNNNNNNNNNNNNNNNNNNNNNNNNNNNNNNNNNNNNNNNNNNNNNNNNNNNNNNNNNNNNNNNNNNNNNNNNNNNNNNNNNNNNNNNNNNNNNNNNNNNNNNNNNNNNNNNNNNNNNNNNNNNNNNNNNNNNNNNNNNNNNNNNNNNNNNNNNNNNNNNNNNNNNNNNNNNNNNNNNNNNNNNNNNNNNNNNNNNNNNNNNNNNNNNNNNNNNNNNNNNNNNNNNNNNNNNNNNNNNNNNNNNNNNNNNNNNNNNNNNNNNNNNNNNNNNNNNNNNNNNNNNNNNNNNNNNNNNNNNNNNNNNNNNNNNNNNNNNNNNNNNNNNNNNNNNNNNNNNNNNNNNNNNNNNNNNNNNNNNNNNNNNNNNNNNNNNNNNNNNNNNNNNNNNNNNNNNNNNNNNNNNNNNNNNNNNNNNNNNNNNNNNNNNNNNNNNNNNNNNNNNNNNNNNNNNNNNNNNNNNNNNNNNNNNNNNNNNNNNNNNNNNNNNNNNNNNNNNNNNNNNNNNNNNNNNNNNNNNNNNNNNNNNNNNNNNNNNNNNNNNNNNNNNNNNNNNNNNNNNNNNNNNNNNNNNNNNNNNNNNNNNNNNNNNNNNNNNNNNNNNNNNNNNNNNNNNNNNNNNNNNNNNNNNNNNNNNNNNNNNNNNNNNNNNNNNNNNNNNNNNNNNNNNNNNNNNNNNNNNNNNNNNNNNNNNNNNNNNNNNNNNNNNNNNNNNNNNNNNNNNNNNNNNNNNNNNNNNNNNNNNNNNNNNNNNNNNNNNNNNNNNNNNNNNNNNNNNNNNNNNNNNNNNNNNNNNNNNNNNNNNNNNNNNNNNNNNNNNNNNNNNNNNNNNNNNNNNNNNNNNNNNNNNNNNNNNNNNNNNNNNNNNNNNNNNNNNNNNNNNNNNNNNNNNNNNNNNNNNNNNNNNNNNNNNNNNNNNNNNNNNNNNNNNNNNNNNNNNNNNNNNNNNNNNNNNNNNNNNNNNNNNNNNNNNNNNNNNNNNNNNNNNNNNNNNNNNNNNNNNNNNNNNNNNNNNNNNNNNNNNNNNNNNNNNNNNNNNNNNNNNNNNNNNNNNNNNNNNNNNNNNNNNNNNNNNNNNNNNNNNNNNNNNNNNNNNNNNNNNNNNNNNNNNNNNNNNNNNNNNNNNNNNNNNNNNNNNNNNNNNNNNNNNNNNNNNNNNNNNNNNNNNNNNNNNNNNNNNNNNNNNNNNNNNNNNNNNNNNNNNNNNNNNNNNNNNNNNNNNNNNNNNNNNNNNNNNNNNNNNNNNNNNNNNNNNNNNNNNNNNNNNNNNNNNNNNNNNNNNNNNNNNNNNNNNNNNNNNNNNNNNNNNNNNNNNNNNNAACCAAAGGAAGCAUGUUCCAGACGUCGAUGCCACAACCAAAUUUCAGACUUUUUCUUCUCCUCCUUAGAUCCAUCUGCCAUCAAGGCUUGUUGCAACUUAUUUGAAUCCUUUGAUUGCAAGUCCAAGUAUAGAGUUUCCCCCGCUUAAUACGACAACCAAUCGUCUGUCUUGUUUGAAUGUCCUUAAUCACACAAAAUUCAGGCCAAAAAAUGACAAUACAAGAUAAGGCUGCAGUGAUUUGAGAAACUAACAAAAGAUUGUAAUCUAAAGAUGGAACAACUAAAACAGAAUCCAAAUUCAAAGUAUCAGUAAGAGUUAAGGAUCCUUCCCCAAUGACUGGGGUUGUGUUACCAUUGGCUGUGGAAACAAUUUUUUGUGAGGAAGGUCUAAGGGGUGAAACCUGUCUAGAAUCAAAAGUCAUAUGAUCUGUAGCACCAGAAUCAAUUAUCCAUGCACUAUUAAUAACAGGUGUAAAAGUAUUUAAAAACUUACCACAAUGAUCUGUAGCGGCUACUAAUGCAGAGACUUUCUCAACAACAUUAGUCUUUGUUUUUAUUUCGGUAACAGUUGCAAUCAAGGUUUUCUUGGAAUUCUUCUUCCGUUGAUCACGAUUAUUAUCAUUAAUAACAAAGUGUUGAUAGCCUAAACAUGAUCUAAAGGUCCAUGGUGCAAACCCUCGGUUCCUCAUUGUUUUCCUGGUCAUACCAAGAGUUGUUGCUUUGAAAUUGUGGGAUAUCCAGACUGGUGGGAUCAGUUUUAUUGCAGUGAGUGCAUUUGAAUGUUGACUUAUCAAUAUUAGGGCUUGUCUUCGGAUGGUUGAUUGCUGUUGGACUACCAUAGCGACAAAAUAUCCAGGAUUUCAAUUCCAGGGCUCUGAUACCAUCUUCAAAUUGAUGAAUGAUAGUUUUUCAUUCAUUCUUUCAUGUACAGAGUAUAUAUAGAGGGUAAUCACCAUUCUAAGAAUGGGAAAGAAUGAUACGAGGAAAUAAUGAUAUAAGGAAAUAAUAACUAAUAUCCUAAUAUCUCAACUUUCCUAAUAUCUCAAUAUUCCUAAUAUCUCAACUUUCCUAAUAUCUAAACAUUCAUAAUAUCUCAACACUAAAUGAUACAAGGAAAGAAUGAUAUAAGGAAAACAUUCCUAAUAUCUCAACACCACUUCAUGAUAUAUAUAGUUUCUUACCCUUAAUCAAUGGUUUCUAAGUGAAUUUAUAUAGAAAGAAAUCCAAACUGUAGACAGCAGUAUUGGUAACACUCAAUAUUCUGUAUAUAAUAGAAUAAAUAGCGUCACAGUGAUCGUCGCCUACAAGCAAGGUACAAAUACCACAAAGAGUGACCCACAUAGACAUUCCCCAACAAGAUGUAGUAGUGACUGACACAUAGCCACAAUUAACACGUAGAAAAGGAUAAGACCGGUGCACAGUAGCUCUUAUUUUACAUACUACUUAUGCCAACCAAAGUCACUCAGUUGGGAUGGGAGGGAGAUGGAGGUUUGUGCGGUGGCUUGUGGGGCGGAGUUGAUGGCUUCUUUCCAGGAGCUUCUGGCUUUUUCAUCGGAGCUGAAGGAGGCUCAAUCUUAUGAGGCGGCUUGUACGAGUCUUCUUUGCUCUCGAAAGGAGGGUGGCCAGGGUUGUGACCAUAAUGUGGUGGUUUCUCUCCCUUGGGAGGUUUACCAAUUGGGGUUGGUGGCUUGUGUUCUGGGAGUGGUUUCUCUCCCUUGGGAGGUUUAGUGGGUGACUUGUGUUCUGGAGGUGGCUUCUCCACCGAAGGCUUGUGCUCCGGUGGUGGCUUUUUGGUUGGAGGGGGCUUGGGGUAAUCAGCAAGAGAUGGGGUGGUGAGAACCACCAGUCCAAGGAACAACACUAGCAAGUAUGUGGGAGACAUUUUUGAGUUUGGGCUGAUCAGAUGAUGCAAAACUAAAGCAUUACGUGACCUUUUAUAGCAAGUAGCUCCCAAUACCUACUUGACACGUGUUACUGUGACCCAUAAAUAUUAUGGGGUCUAUUUGUGCCCUACCGGGUUGAAAACUUGGACAAUUGGGCAAGGACCCGCCUGACUAUGGAGGACUACUGAGGUGUGAUCACAGCUUUAGGAUUUUUCUUCCUCUGCAGCCGUCUUGCCGUUGGCAUGAUUUUCUUAAUCUCAAAUAAAGGCAUAGUUAUAGAGUUGUUUAAUCUCUAAAUGGGAUUUUAUAUAUCUUCAGAUAGCCAUUAAUACAUUUGAUGAAGAAAGAAAGACAAGUGCAUACAACAUGUAUACGACUAGCUUUCAUGGAGUUCAUUUAUGAUCAGUUUUCCUGUACAUGUAAACCAAGAUCAUAUAUGUUUUUGUUCCACAACAAUUUUGGAAUCUUGUUUAUCCGUUUUUAUCAUUAUAAUGUCACAUAGGCUGCCAACUUGGGCGCUAAAUUAAAGAUCCAGUUGGGCAAGUUCGUUUCAGAAUUUCAAUGGUGGAUUCAGGAAUUGUUUUAUAAGAUAUGCAAAAUAGUAGAGGGAUGAAUAGUGUUUCAUUAAGAAAAGAGCCCUGUAAAAAUAUUGUUUAAAGGUGCCAUAGAAACUAUAAUCAAUAAAUAACUUUUUUUCCCCAUGGGUGGUGUUUCUUGUGGGGAUCAGUGACUGGUUUGAGUCAACGCCGUGUCUCUUUAGUCCAGAAAUCAACUAUUUUAUGCAUUGAAUACAUCAACAAAGAAAAUAUGAAAGCCAAAUGACACCUCCCCCGCAAAAACUAAACCCUGGUUGCUAACUUUCUAUGUUUCAGUUCCAUUCACACAAGAAUAUUAGUUCAAGUUUGAGAAAAAUGGCGACUUACCUAGUGAUAACUCGGUCUUGGUUUGCGAUUUGACUUUAACGUCAUGGGUUGAAGCCUCCUACAAUCAUCGUGUAUGCUAGUUCAAAGCUCGUGGAAGAAGUUAUACAGGGAGGGAGAAACCUCCACAGCAAGCUCCAAAAGAGAAUUAUCACAUUGAAAGCUCCAGUUGAACACUGGGUGAAAGCCAUAACAAGAUUGGUUUUCUAUCGCUCUUUUAAGUAAUGGAAGAUUAUUAUCUCUGCUUGUCACUACAACCGUGCAUGCUGCUAGAUCUUUCUAGACACUUCAAACAGUGAAACCAAGUAUGAUUCUUUUUCUCUUGAGUGGGUCCACUUGCAUGCCAAUGAACGAGUUGAAAAGUUGGACAAUUGGCCACAGCGCGCACUUACCUUCUGGAACCGAAGGUCAGUGAAGUGGGGUUCCUUUUGGCCCCUUGUGUUUCUGUUCCAACCUACUCCAGGAACCGAAGUUCAGUGAAGUGGGGCUACUUUUGGCCUCUUGUGUUUCUGUUCCAACCAAACAAAAAUGGGAGGGAAAAAUAGCAUUAUGCUUGUGCUAAAGAUCAACGCAUGAUAGCUGAAUAAGGGAGAAAAAGGCAUUGCUAUCUCAAUUUCAUAAACUUGAUAAGUAGUGACAUUAAUAGUCUUCCUCAUAGAUGGAUACAUGGUUUUAUUUUAUUUAUUUAUUUUUAUUUUUUUGUUUUAUGUCAAUGCUAAUGAAUGAAGUGCAUUAGCUUGUUUUGUGACUAGAACUACAAAUGUCCAAAUUGGAGCUUCUCCAAUAUAUUUCUCAGUGAGUUAUUGAUUAGAACUCUUGGAUUGAGUUCCAAGAUUUGAAUCAGACCCCUCUAGCAGCUUCAGGGGUACGUAGCAACCUAUAGCAUAUUAAUGAAGACUUAGGAUUUAGACUUAGGAAUACAAAUUAAUAUGUACCUCAUGCUCUGACUAGCUUCCCUGCGUAUGCACAAAAUGGAGAUGACUCCCAAAAAAAUAGCAGAAUCGCCUUAGUAUGUUUUUGUGGUUAAGAUGAUUCUCCACUUUAUAUAUCCACAUUGGUUCAUUAUGCAAAUUAAUCAACUAAGCUAUUUUUAUUUUUUCUUAAAUGUGAAAUAGGAGCUCCAAAUUAACCUAACCAUUGGCCUGAUUGAAUUGAUUUCACUUGCAUAAUGUUAUAGUAGAAGUCCGUAAUUUGAAUUUUAUUUUUGCAAAAGGUAACGUAAAUGAAGCAUUGUAAUUAAAUUUAUUUGUAAUUACAAACUAAUUUUAUUUUAUUAAGAAUUAAUUUAAUUACUCAUUUAAAAUAAAAAUCAGUUAUACUUUUACCAAGAUGAUAAUAUUCAUAUUUUUCUAGUUAACAUAUAUAAAAUAGUACACUUUUUCAUAUAAAAAAAUAAUUUAUGAUUUAUUAUAAUGUUACUAUUCACAUUUUACUAAAUUGAUGGUACAUGAUAGUGAGAGAAGGGGGUGUCACACUCAGCUAAAGUUCUUUUCAAAAUAUUGCAUGGUGUUUAAUUUUAUGUGUCGGCGCGCGUGUGAAUGGAACCUGCAAAAGUCCAAAUUGGCGUUUCUCCAUUUUCCACAUAGGAUGGUGACGUUAAUAGACAAAGAUACAAUAUCUGUAGACAUUGCUUAAAAAUCGAUGUGAAGUAUUAGAAAUUACAGGGCACUGUACUGGGGGAGCGGCUGCCCCGCCAAAGGAGGAAGAAUGUAGCAAUUUCUUCUGUUAGCCAGGCCUUAGGAUUUAUGCAUGGGAUGCCUAAUAACAAACAGAGAAAAUAUACUUUUGGGGAAGGUAUCCAACAACAGACACCAUCAUUCAGAUGGUGGGAAGGUAUCCAACAGAUGCCAUCAUUCAGAUGGUAACAUAUAUAUACAUUUAUUAGUGAGUUUUUUUAAUACCUAUAAAAAAAAAUAUACACUUUGAUAUUGUGGCUGAAUCCAUUACAUACUCAACUAACCUUGCUCAUUAGGGAUUUGACUUAACAAGGGCAACGUUGCAGUACAAGCUCAAAACUUUAUGCAGGUGACAUUACAUUUGGUAAAGAAGAGGAAAAUAACGAAAGCCAUCCAUAAAAGCAAAAUUCCACAUGGGAUGAAAUUCACAAGCUUCAUUUACGAUAGAGUCGCAUCCAGGCAAUUAAUUCCACAUUAGACCGCCUGUUGACAUGUGUACCAAUCUUUUUUCAAAAAAUAUUUAUAAAUAAUUGAUACUCACAAAAAUAAUUUAAUAUUUAUAAAGGAUAAAAAAAUAUUUUCAAAUCUAUAACAAUUUAUAAAAUAUUAAUAAAAAAUUAUCUCUUAAACUUAGUAUAGUUUUAUCAGAUUAAACUUUUAUUUUGAACAAAUAAUUUUAAUCUAAGUUUUAAAUUCUAAAAUUAUUUCCUUAAAAUAAAAUUUUAAAAUUCAACACUUCAAUUGAAAUUGUCUUUUUAAAAAAUAUCUUCUUAUUUUAAUCCUUAUAAACUAUAGUUGAUUGAAAAUACUAUUGAAGUUCUCUCUUAAAAAAAAGUCUUAUUUUAAUCUUCAUAAAUUGCCCUUGAUUUGAAAAUAAAUUUUCAGUUAUCAUAUUUUAAAUAAUAUCUAUAUUUAAAAUACUCUAUUUAAAAAAAAAUGAACUAAUUUUAAUUAUAUUAUAUUUUAUUUUUUUAUAUAUUUUUAAUGAUAAACCAAACAUAGAAAAUCAUUUUUCUAAAUAUUUUAAAAUUUCUAAGCAACCAAACAUAAUCUUCAAAAUAAAAGGAAAAUAAGGAGGGACAUUUGAGAAAUGGCGAUUAAAAAAAAGUGUACAAAAGCUCAAUUAAUUUUCUUCUAGUCUUUUAUAUAAAAAAGUAAAGGAAUUGAAAAGUAUUGAUAUGUAAAUUAAUAUUUGGAUUUUAAUAGUAUUUUAUUUGUCUUUCUCUAUCUCAUGUAAAAGAGAAUUUAAGAUAUUUCCUAAAGCAAAGCAUUAGUUAUCUGCAAUCAGUGGUGAUCAUGCCCCAUGUCAAUUUCGGACCCAUAUCUUAAAACUGUAUAAUUUGCAUUCAAACAUUACUGAUUUCUCAGAUGUUUCAUACUCCACAGAAGAGCAUUGUUUGUGAAAGCAUGCAUUUAUGUUGGAUUUUGGAUGAUGUGGGAACUGGGGCAAGGAUCAUAUGGAAGAGUGGUCGAUUUUGUUCUGUACUUUAACAUUUGAAAUAGGAGAAGCUCGGGCAUUUGUGGGGCUUAAUUGAUUUUGAAGCCUGAAAUUGCGUUUCUGUCAUUUUGUAAAAAAUAUGGCAGAUUCCAUGCUCUCAUAUGUUUGGUCUGUGGCCAUGUAUAGAUGCCCCUUAGUGACCAGUUUGUAACUGUCAAUCAUAGUGUUUUGACUCUGGCUCAACAACAUCAGCCAUUGACGGAUUUUCAUACUUGCAAAUCAAAUAGUCUUCUUCCUCCCUUAGGAAUUUCGGUUUAAAUGUUAUUAAGCAUACAUUUGGCUGACAAUUAUUAACCACUUCAUGAUAUGGUUUCUUACCCUUAAUCAAUGGUUUCUAAGUGAAUAUAUGCAGAAGGAAAUCUGAACUGUAGACAGCAGUAUUGAUAACUCUCAAUAUUCUUUAUAUAAGAGAAUAAACAACGUCAUAGUGAUCGUCGCCUACAAGAAAGGUACAUUUCCCAACAAGAUGUAGUUGUGACUGGUACAUGGACGCAAUUAACUCGUACAAAAGAAUAAGACCAGUGCACGGCAGCUCUUAUUUUACAUGCUAAUUAUGCUAACCAAAGUCACUCAGUUGGGAUGGGAGGGAGAUGGAGGUUUGUGCGGUGGCUUGUGGGGCGGAGUUGGUGGCUUCUUUUCAGGAGCUUGUGGCUUUUUCGGAGCUGAAGGAGGCUCAAUCUUAUGAGGCGGCUUGUACGAGUCUUCUUUACUCUCGACAGGAGGGUGGCCAGGGUUGUGACCAUAAUGUGGUGGCUUCUCUCCCUUAGGUGGCUUGCCAACUGGGGUUGGUGGCUUGUGUUCAGGAAGUGGUUUCUCUCCCUUGGGAGGUUUACCAAUUGGGGUUGGUGGCUUGUGUUCUGGGAGUGGUUUCUCUCCCUUGGGAGGUUUAGUGGGUGACUUGUGUUCUGGAGGUGGCUUCUCCACCGGAGGCUUGUGCUCCGGUGGUGGCUUCUCCACCGGAGGCUUGUGCUCCGGUGGUGGCUUCUUGAUUGGAGGGGGCUUGGGGUAAUCAGCAAGAGAUGGGAUGGUGAGAACCACCACUCCAAGGAACAACACUAGCAAGUAUGUGGGAGACAUUUCUGAGUUUGAGCUGAUCAGAUGAUGCAAAACUAGAAGAAUUACGGGACCUUUUAUAGCAAGUAUCUCCCAAUACCCACAUGACACGUGUUACUAUGACCAUAAAUAUUAUAGGGUCCAUUUGUGCCCUACCGGGUUGAAAACUUGGACGCUUGGCCGAGGACACACCUGACUAUGGAGGACUAUUGACGUGUGAUCACAGCUUUUGGAUUUUUCUUCCUGUGCAGCUGUCUAGCGGUUGGCAUUAUUUUCUUAAUCUUAAAUAAAGGCAUAGUUAUAGAGUUGUUUAAUCUCUAAAUGGGAUUUUAUAUAUCUUCAGAUAGCCAUUAAUAUAUUUGAUGAAGAAAGACAAGUGCAUACAACAUGUAUACGGCUUGCUUCAAUCGAGUACAUUUAUGAUCAGUUUUCCUGUGCAAGUAAACCAGUUUUUUGUUCCACAACUAUUUUGGAAUCUUGUUUAUCAGUUUCUAUCAUUAUAAUGUCACAUAGGCUGCAAACUUGGGCACCCAAAGAUCUAGGUGGGCAAAUUUGUUUCAGACUUUCAAUGGUGGAUUCAGUAAUUGUUAAAAGGUGUUUCUUCAUUAAGGAAAGAGUCCGGUAAAAAUAUUGUUAAAAGGUGUCAUAGAAACUAUAAUAAAUAAAUAACUUCUUUUCCCCAUGGGUGGUGUUUCUUCUGGGGAUCAGUGACUGGUUAGGGUCACCCAAAAUGAGUCCAGAUUAAAAUUGGUUCGAGUCAAAGCAGUCUCUUUUGUCCAGAAAUCAACUAUUUUGCGCAUUGAAUGAAUCGAUAAAGAAAAAAUGAAAGCCAAAUCACACCUCCCCUGCAAAACCUAAACCCCGGUUGCUAACUUUCUAUGUUUCAGUCCUAUUCAUAUAGGAAUAUUGGUUCAAGUUUGAGAAAAAUGGCAACUUACCUAGGGUUUACUUGGUUUUGGUUUGCGACUAUUUACGCAACCAACCAUGAGUUUGACUUUAACGUCAUGGGUUGAAGCCUCCUACAAUCAUGUAUGAUAGUUCAAAGCUCGUGGAAGAAAUUAUACAGGAAGGAAGAAACCUCCAAAGCUAGCUCCAAAAGAGAAUUAUCACAUCGAUAGCUCCAGAGAUUCCCAAGGGAACUGAAUCAAAGACAAGUUCCUCACUUUUUCUUCUUUUGAGGCCAAAUAUGAACCAAGGAUCACACGACCUCAUUCAACUUCAUAAGUUUGAUUUCAUGCAGUUGAACACUGGGUGAAGGCCAUGACAAGAAUUGAUUAAAAAAUUCUACCACUCUUUUAAGUAAUGGAAGAUUAUUAUCUCUGAUUGGCACCACAACAGCACAUGCUGCUAGAUCUUUCUAGACACUCCAUGCAAUGAAAGCACAAUGGAUCUUGUAAUGAUAGAAACUAAGCCAUGCUACAGUACUAGAUGAGGGGGUAAAACUAGUAGACAUCUUUCUAGACACUCCAUGCAAUGAAAGCACAAUGGAUCUUGUAAUGAUAGAAACUAAGCCAUGCUACAGUACUAGAUGAGGUGGUAAAACUAGUAGACAUGGCUGGCAGUUGAUUACUACUCAAAAAGUACUCUUUUAUAGCUUGAAACUAACUGUUUUAAACACUUUUGAGUAGUAGUUAAUACCUUUUAACUUAAUUGGCACAUUAAGGAACCUAGCAAGGGUUACUAAUCAACAUUUGGCAAGUUUUGAUGUUUUUGGUAGCUAUUUGAUCAUUGAAACAAGCCAAGAAUGAGGGGGAAUUUUGUGAAGUCCAUGGCAAUGCAAGUUAAAGCUCAAAUACAUGAAGAAUCCAAGCUUUGGAGCACUUCAUAGCCCUUUGCCAAGCCAAUCAAAGAUGCAAGGAAGAAAACCAAAGGAAGAAAUCCAACAAUCAGCAUUUUGGCAUGGCUAUGUGAAAUUUCGCACACCAUGCGAAACCACAAGAGGCAGCCAAAGAAUUUCGCAUGGUAUGCGAAAUCUUCUUGUGCACUGACUCUGUUAGAUUUUUAUCUUCAGAUAUUUUGUGUAAUUUCCUAGUUUCUCCUUGUAACCAACUUAGAUAUUUUCUUUUAUAUCUUUUUUUAUAUUUUUUAGGUAACAUCAUAUAUAAGAGGAGAGACAUAAGGAGGAUAUGGAUGUUUUUCAUAGAACACUUGUAAAUUUUUGGUAGUAAGAAAUAUACAAAGCUUUUUGCUCUGCCUUACCUUCUCAAGGGAUGAGUGGCUAGGUUUUCUUGGAGUGAGGGAAGCUAGGUGAAGGACCUGAAUGCAAAGGUGGGAGUUUUCCUUACUUUAAAUGAAAGUAGUUGUUAAACAUUAAUGGUUUUUAUUUUAAGGUUUAGCUUUAAAUCCCUGAAAAACACCUUGAAUGGCCAAUACUUGGUAAGCUUUUUAGAUUCUAUGGAUGCUUAUUGCUAGAUCCAUGGAUGUCUAUUAGUUAUCAUUUACGAGCCAUUGGAAGGUGAUUCAAGGUGAGGGUCUUUAGUGUUUGAAGCCAUUAAUGGGAAGCAAUUACCAUUUUUUCAUGAAUCCUUUGGAUCAAAUCUUAAUUGCUAAAUAUAAAACCGGUUUCGAGAGAUAACCACCAUCCUUUAUGUUAUUAUCCCCAACGCGAGGAGAAGAUCCGAAAUCUUCCUUUUUAUCUAAGGAACCCGAUCCUAGUGACCUAAAGCUCCAAGAUACCUUUUCUUUGUAGUUAACUUCAUUUAUUGUUUUUGCUUAACUUAAAAUCAAUCUUUGCAACCACAAUUCCAUUUUCUUUAAAAGCUAAUUUUUAUAAGGAAAAACACCAUUUUAUUUCCUUCACUAAGUCAACUGUACGAUGAAAACCCAUCCCUGUGGACGAUCCUAGAGCCACUAUACUAUGUUAGCUAUGCUACCCUAGUGUGAGGUGAUUUAGGUUUUAUAAAUUUUUUUGAUAACACCCAUCUGAGCCAGAAUCAAAUGGCACGACUGAACCAGGGACGAAUCAAAUGACGCCGCUACCAAGGAUGGUGCCAAAGUACAUUGACAUGACUUUUGGUGAACACUUGUGAUCUUCACCACAAGUUUGGUGAUUUUUCUUUUACUAAUUUUUUUUAUUUUAGCUUAUCUUUUAUUUAGUUUUUAGUUAACCUUAAAUUUUUCCUAGAAUUGUAUUUCUUUUGUUUUCUUUGUUUUUGUUUCAGUGAUCUUUAGUUGUGCAUGCCCUAUUGGAUAAGAGAUAUUGAGGGAAUACUUGUGAAGAUUGAAACUCCUCGAGAAACUGAGUUAGAAGUGUGCUUGAACAUCAUGGAUGUUCCACCUGAAGACCAGAAUAGCCAACAUGGUUAAGAGGAUAAUUUCAACACAUACCGAUCCAUGAGGAACCGCAUACAUCCACCUUGUAUGAGUGCACCGUCAGGCAUAAUGCCUCCCACUGAGCAGCUAGUAAUCUGACCUCACAUUGUGCCACUCCUACCUACUUUCCAUGGGAUGGAGAGUGAGAAUCCCUACUCGCAUAUUAAGGAAUUCGAGGAGGUUUGUAAUACAUUCCAAGAAGGAGGAGCUUCAAUUGACUUGAUGAGGCUCAAGCUAUUUCCUUUCACUUUGAAGGAUAAGGCCAAGAUUUGGCUUAAUUCUUUAAGGCCAAGAAGUAUCCAAACUUGGAUUGAUUUGUAAGCCGAGUUUCUUAAGAAGUUCUUCCCUACCCAUAGGACCAAUGGUUUGAAAAGGCAAAAUUUGAACUUCUCAGUUAAAGAGAAUGAGAAAUUCUAUGAGUGUUGGGAGAGCUACAUGGAAGCUAUUAACGUUUGUCCUCACCAUGGCUUUGACACAUGGCUCUUAGUGAGCUAUUUUUACAAUGGUAUGUCUUCUUCAAUGAAGCAACUCCUAGAAACUAUGUGUGGAGGAGACUUCAUGAGUAAGAAUCCGGAGGAAGCCAUGGACUUUUUGAGUUAUGUGGCUGAAGUUUCAAGAGGAUGGGAUGAACCAAAUGCUAGAGAGGUGGGAAGAAUGAAGUCUCAACCUAAUGCUAAGGGUGAGAUGUAUGUUUUGAAUGAAGACAUUGACAUGAAAGCAAAGGUUGCAGCUAUGGCAAGGAGAUUGGAAGAGCUAGAAAUGAAGAACAUACAAAAAGUGCAAGCCAUUUCUGAGACAUCAAUGAAAGCUAUGCCUUGUUCCAUUUGUCAAUCUUAUAAGCACCUAGUGGAGGAGUGUCCUACAAUUCCAGCAGUGAGAGAGAUGUUUGGUGAUCAAGCAAAUGUUAUUGAUCAAUUCAAGCCUAAUAACAAUGCUUCAUAUGGCAACACCUACAAUUCAAAUUGGAGGAACCAUUCAAAUUUCUCUUGGAAACGAAAGCCACCUCAAUACACACAACCUACUCAAGCACCUUAGCAAUCCUCGAAUCUUGAACAAGCUAUUGUGAACCUUAGCAAGGUUGUGGGAGACUUUGUGGGAGAUCAGAAGUCCAUCAAUGCUCAACUGAAUCGGAGAAUUGACAGUGUGGAGAGUACAUUGAACAAAAGGAUGGAUGAGAUGUAAAAUGAUCUGUCUCAAAAGAUAGACAAUGUCCAAUACGUAAUCUCAAGGCUUACCAACCUCAACACAGUGUAAGAGAAAGGAAAGUUUCCUUCUCAACCUCAUCAAAAUCCUAAGGGUAUCCAUGAAGUAGAGGCUCAAGAGGGAGAAUCUUCAAAGGUGAGGGAAGUCAAAGUAGUUAUCACCUUGAAGAGUGGUAAAGAGGUUGAUCAACCCACAUCCAAGCCAAAGCAUAAUGAAGAGAGUGUAGCAGAAAAAGAAAAGAGAGGAAAAUAAAGGAAUUAGAAUAGAGAAAAAUACAAAGAAAGAUGACCAUGAGUCUAGUGUGGAUGAAGAGCCCGAGAGGAUGGUGAUCAAGGAAGAUAUGAUGAAGAAACACAUGCCUCCACCUUUCCCCUAAGCUUUGCAUGACAAAAAAAGAACCAAUAAUACAUCAGAAAAUUUUGAAGUAUUGAGGCAAGUGAAGGUCAAUAUCCCUUUGCUAGACAUGAUCAAACAAGUGUCGACAUAUGAAAAAUUCUUGAAGGACUUGUGCACUGUAAAGAGAGGGUUGAAUGUGAACAAGAAAGCUUUAUUGACCGAGCAAGUGAGUUCCAUCAUACAGUGCAAGUCCUAGUGAAGUACAAAGAUCCGGGUUGCCGUACCAUCUCAGUGAGUAUUGGAAGGACUUGUGUGGAGAAAGCUUUGUUGGACUUGGGAGCAAGUGUGAAUUUGCUAUCCUACUCUGUCUAUAAGCAGUUGGGAUUUGGAGAGUUGAAGCCAAUAUCCAUCACUCUAUCUCUAGCGGAUAGAUCAAUGAAGAUUCCAAGAGGGAUGAUCGAAGAUGUCCUGGUUCAAGUUAACAAAUUCUACUAUCCAGUAGAUUUUGUUGUUCUUGAUAUGGAUCCGGUUGUCAAAUGAACUAAUUAUGUUCCUAUCAUACUUGGAAGACCCUUCCUAGCUACAUCAAAUGCAAUCAUCAAUUGUAGGAAUGGAGUCAUGCAACUCACAUUUGUCAACAUGACAUUAGAGCUCAACAUCUUCCAUUUGUACAAGAAGCAUAUCCAUCAGGAGGAAAAAGAAGGUCUAGAGGAAGUGUGAAUGAUUGACACUUUAGUGGAAGAGCAUUGUGAUCGAGAAUGCAAAAAGAUUUAGUUGAGAAUUUUGGGGAUCUUGAUGAAAGGUUACUUGAACCCUCAGAUUUGCUUGCUACCCUACUCCAUUGGAAGAGAAGAGAAGAAAUUCUACCCUUAUUCAAUGAGGAGGAGACGCAAAGAGCUGCAAAGGAGAAACCCCCAAAACUUAUUCUUAAGCCACUACCCACAGAGUUGAAGUAUGUAUACUUGGAAGAAGACAAGAAGUGCCCUAUUGUUAUAUCUUCAACUCUUACCAUUCAUCAGGAGGAUUGUCUACUUGAAGUCCUUAGAAGAUGUAAGAAGACAAUAAGGUGGCUAAUUUCUUAUUUGAAAGGGAUCAGCCCUUUAGUCUGCACCCAUCAUAUUUACAUGGAGGAUGAAGCUAAGCUAAUUCAUCAACCUCAGAGAAGGUUGAACCCUCACAUGCAAGAGGUGGUUCGAGCUGAAGUUCUGAAGCUACUUCAGACCAGUAUUAUUUACCCCAUAUCAAAUAGCCCAUGGGUGAGUCCUACUCAAGUUGCGCCAAAGAAGUCUGGGAUCAUGGUGGUGCAAAAUGAUAAGGGAGAAGAUGUCUCUACACGCCUCACUACAGGUUGGAGGGUGUGUAUCAAUUACAGGAGGUUGAAUGCAGUGAUAAGAAAGGACCAUUUCUCAUUGCCCUUUAUUGAUCAGGUGCUUGAGAGGGUCUCUGGGCUUUUUUUUUUAUUGUUUCUUGGAUGGCUACUCCGGGUACUUUCAGAUAGAAAUUGAUGUUGAAAACCAAGAUAAGACCAUUUUCACAUGCCCAUUUGGAACCUAUGCAUAAAGGAGAAUGCCUUUCGGCUUAUGCAAUGCACCCGCAACUUUCCAAAGAUGCAUGUUAAGCAUUUUCAGUGAUAUGGUGGAGCGUAUUAUGGAAGUCUUUAUGGAUGAUAUCACCAUUUAUGGAAGUGCAUUUGAUGAAUGCUUGGUCAACUUAGAAGCUGUUCUGAACCGAUACAUUGAGAAAGACUUAGUGCUUAACUGGGAGAAGUGCCAUUUCAUGGUACACCAAGGGAUUGUCCUUGGGCACAUUAUCUCCAAGCAAGGCAUUGAAGUUGACAAAGCAAAGGUUGAACUCAUUGUUAAGUUGCCAUCCUCAACAAAUGUCAAAGGAGUAAGGCAAUUCUUUGGCCAUGUCGGGUUCUAUAGGAGGUUUAUCAAGGAUUUCUCUAAGCUUGCAAGGCCUCUUUGUGAAAUAUUGGUGAAUGAUGUUAAAUUCAUAUGGGAUGAUGGAUUUGAAAGGAGUUUUGAAGAAUUGAAGCUAUUUUUGACAACCGUACCAAUAGUGAGGGCUCCCAACUGGCAACUGCCCUUUGAAGUAAUGUGUGAUGUCAAUGAUUUUGCUAUAGGAUUUUUUCUUGGGCAAAGAGAAAAUGGAAAACCUUAUGUGAUCUACUAUGCGAGGAAGGCAUUGAAUGAGGCACAAAGAAACUACACAACCACCGAGAAAGAAUUGUUAGCUGUAGUUUUUGCCUUGGAUAAGUUUCGCGCUUACUUGGUGGGGUCCUUCAUCAUGGUUUUUACUGAUCACUUUGCUUUGAAGUAUCUGUUGACUAAGCAAGAUGCUAAAGCAAGGCUGAUUAGAUGGAUUCUCUUACUUCAAGAGUUCAAUCUCCAUAUCAAAGAUAAGAAAGGAGUGGAGAAUGUGGUAGCAGACCACAUUUCAAGGCUAGCUAUCGCACAUAAUUCCCAUGCUUUGCCCAUUAAUGACGAUUUUCUAGAGGGGUCUCUCAUGUUGGUGGAAGUUGUCCCUUGGUACGCUCACAUUGCUAACUACCUGGUCACGGGAAAAGUUCCAAGUGAGUGGAAAGCACAAGAUAAGAAGCACUUCUUUGCAAAAAUUCAUGCCUACUAUUGGGAAGAGCCAUUUCUAUUCAAGUAUUGUAUGGAUCAGAUAAUAAGGAAGUGCGUUCCUGAAGAAGAGCAACAGGGGAUCCUUAGUCAUUACCAUGAAAAUGCAUGUGGAGGCCACUUUGCUUAUCAAAAGACAGCCAUGAGGGUGUUGCAAUCGGGUUUCUGUUGGCCAUCACUUUUCAAAGAUGCCCACACCAUGUGCAAGAGUUGUGAUCGAUGCCAGAGGCUUGGGAAGUUGACACGCAGGAACAUGAUGCCUUUGAACCCCACUUUAAUAGUUGAUAUUUUUUAUGUUUGGGGCACUAACUUCAUGGGACCUUUCCCUAUGUCUUUUGGCUACUCUUACAUCUUGGUAGGAGUAGAUUAUGUUUCUAAGUGGGUUGAGGCAGUCCCAUGCAAACACAAUGACCAUAGAGUGGUUCUCAAGUUUCUUAAAGAGAAUAUCUUCUCAAGAUUUGGGGUGCCCAAAGCCAUAAUUAGUGAUGGGGGUACUCAUUUUUGCAACAAGCCUUUUGAAACUCUCCUAGCCAAGUAUGGGGUGAAGCAUAAGGUAGCUACACCUUACCACCCUCAAACUCAUGGACAAGUUGAGUUAGCAAACAGGGAGAUUAAAAACAUAUUGAUGAAGGUGGUGAACACAAACAGAAAAGAUUGGUCAGUCAAGCUUCUUAAUUCACUAUGGGCAUAUAGAACAACUUACAAGACCAUUCUCGGGAUGUCUCCUUAUCGCCUAGUUUAUGGCAAAGCAUGCCAUCUCCCUGUGGAAUUGGAAUACAAAGCUUGGUGGGCAAUCAAGAAGCUCAACAUGGAUUUGAGCAGAGCUGGGUUGAAGAGGUUCUUAGACCUUAAUGAGAUGGAGAAAUUGAGAAAUGAUGCCUACAUCAAUUCAAAAAUUGCAAAAGAAAAAUUGAAGAGGUGGCAUGAUCAGUUGAUUUCCCGCAAGGAUUUUCAAAAUGGACAAAGAGUCUUACUUUAUGACUCUAAACUCCACAUCUUUCCGGGCAAGCUGAAAUCAAGGUGGAUAGGUCAUUUUACCAUUCACCAAGUGCAUUCAAAUGGAGUAGUGGAACUACUCAACUCCAACAAUAUCGAGAACUUCAAAGUGAAUGGCCACCGUCUCAAGCCCUUUGUGGAGUCUUUUUCUCACAACAAGGAGAAAUUCAUCCUCCUUGAUCCACAUCAAGCUUAACAAGACCAAUUUUCUUGAUGGACUUAGUCUUUCUAAAGACUAUCGAGUCCAUAACUUUUUGUUUUAUUUUUUAUUUGAGAUUUUUUCGGUAUUGUUACUUGUUUUGUUUUUUAUUUUUCGUUUUAAUUUUAUUUGGUUUGAUUUAACUUAGGUUUUUGAUGAUCAAUUACAGGGGGGAUUUCAAAUAGAGGAAAAACCAAGAUAAUUCGCACACCCUACGAAAAUUUCGCAAGGCAUGCGAAAUUUAUGGCUUAUUUUGCAUGGGGUGAAAAUUUUCGUACAUCUUACGAACCAAUUUCGAACACUUUGCGAAAAUAAACCAACCCUGCGAAAUCAUUUCGAUUACUCUACGAAAUUUUCGUAGAGCAUGCGAAAAAUUUAGCACACCAAACACCAUUUCGCAUACUAUGCAAAAACCUAAGGGGUCUGCGAAACCAUUUCGCACCUCCAAAUCCAUUUCGCACAUUGUGCGAAAACCAAGAGGCGCUGUGCGAAAAUGAAAAGUCGCCCUGUCAUCCCUUUUUAAACCCCUCGAGCCCUAAAAUCUCCAUUUCGCAAGCACCCCUGUCCUUGCGAAUCCCUCAUUUUCCUCUACUACCUUGCAACCUCGUCCCUUUCCAUUUGAUAUUGUGCCCCGCGCACAUCUCAUUUCAGAGACUCGCACUCCGCGCCCCCUCAAAGCAUGGACUCGAGACCCACCUUCCAUUUCCGACGUGGCACGGACCCAAGGAGCCCUUUCUGCCCCUUCACUAAGACACACACCAAGGCAGAAAGCCUCCUUUGCUCAAGUGCCUAGUGAUUCUCCAUCUUAGGCCUCAGAGGCCUCGGAGGCCCCGUGGAUUCCACCUUCCGAGGGUAGAGCAGCCAUUGGUCCUUCCUCUUCUACUCCUUAGCGUAGAUACGAGACGAGGAGACCACCUACUACACAAGGGGCGACUACUUCGAGCCUUGAGAAUUCAGUACGAUGCCUUCCUGCCAAGAGGGUCAAGACUUCAGGUCCAAGUGAGUCAUCCAGAGCUUCAUAGCCUAAGCCUCCUGUAGAUUCCAAGGUUCCUACUGACAUAUCACCGGAGUCUAUUAUCAGAAGCCCGAUGCUCAUAGCACCGCCCAUUGAGGGCAACUCAGAUUAUAGAGCGAGAUCUUUCCACUUGGAGCUAUAUUUUGAUCAGGAGGCCAUACGACAGCAGCCUGAGCUCCGAGACUCUUAUGGCUUACUGCAGAGGUACCAUCUUGAGGAACUUAUGACUCCUCGUGAGUUUUUUUAUCCCAGAGUAGCACUAAACUUUUACCAGUCCAUGACUACUCGUGGCGUCCCGAGUCCUACCACGAUUCACUUCACCAUUGAUAGACGUCAUGGUAUCCUCAAGGCCAGACAUAUUACAGAGGCUCUACAAAUUCCUUUCGAGCUAGAGGAUCCAUCUGUUUUUCGCUAAUGGUCCCCAGUAUCUCAGAGGGACAUGGUCCGUAUUUUAUCUAGGGGAACAUCUACAGAUUCGAUCUUUCUACGGAAGGAGCUUCGACCUGGGAUGCUCCUCUUAGAUGUGGUGCUAUGCUCCAACCUCUUUCCCUUACAACAUUCGGUACAUAGGUGAUGAGCUAUUUUGGACGCUUUAUUCCGUAUAUCAGAGGGCUUCUACUUUGGCCCGCACCACUUGAUCAUGGUCUCCCUCAUCCACUUUGAGGAGAAGGUUCAUAGGAAGAAGCUUCAGAGGGUGGACACCAUUCCAUUACUAUUCCUGAGGUUACUUUGCCAGGUCUUGGAGUACAUGGGCUUUCCUACUGAGCCUCGGCUCGAGCUUUGCCGCCUUUGUCGAGAGUGAUCCACUCUCGACAAAUGGAAUUAGUUGGCGGGCUAUUCUGCACCUCCAGGAGCCCCUCCCAUGGUAGCACCUCCAAUGUCCCCACAGGCAAAGUAGGGCGAGCUCCCGGCAAAGACUGUACCACCAAUGCCCACACUUGAGGCUAUUUCUGCUGCUCUGCCUAUGACUCCUACUGUUCCACCAGUUGGUCCUUUUACAUCCGAGCCUUCCAUCACCAUCUCGGCUUCGGAGUUUCGCGCCCUUGUGCAUACCUUUCAGACACUCACCACCACACAUACUCCUCUCUUCUAGCAAAUGGUUGAGAUGUGUGCCCAUCAGGACCGGAAGACUACUAUACUCUGCCAAAUUCAGCAGCACCUAAGACUUUUGCCUCAACCUCAACCUAACCAUCCCAUAUCAUCAGAGCCUCUAGCUCCAACUGAGGAUACUAUUCCACCUGAGAACACUACCACAGUAGAGGUCCGGUUUCCACCACCUUAAGAGGCCACCACAGCUACAUCAGAGGAUGUGUCAUCUCCACUUGAGGCUCCCACUACUUGAUCAUAGGACAUAUCUUUAUCUUAUUGUAUUUACAUAUUAUAUUACUAGAGAUUUGUCCUUGUUUUGAUACUUUAUAUUCUGGGAUUGGAUGUAUUGCCUGAUGAUAUCUCAAUUGUACUUUCUCAUAUUAAUAUAUAGACAUCAAUUUUUUUUAGUAUACUUAGCAUUUUUCUAUUUCCUCUACUCAUUACUCUUUUGUUUUUUUUUACUCAUGUGGUUUCUCUUAUACAACUCAGACUCCAUUUCACUCAGGAGGUACCACUUCCUCCCUUUAUUUUCAAUUGCUCUUGAAAUAUUGAGUGCAAUGUUGAUCUUGGUUGGGGGGAGAGUUGAGGAAGGAAGUUUUGUUAAUAAUGCUAGGUUAAUUUGUUAAUUUAGUUACUUUCUGCUUAAUUUUAAAAGUUUUCACUCUACUUUCCAUGGUUAUUAAGGAAAAAUUCUCAAAAUGAAAUGGGAGAAAUCGAAUUCUUGCAUUUUUACUUGAAUCUUAGAAUUUGUAUCAUGCUUAUUAAAGUUGAUGAAUUAUUGAAACUCCUAUUGAAUUCAACCUUAUUUUUUCCACUUUAAUCUUACCACACACGGUGCACAUUAGGUUCCAGUUAUAAGAUAAAAAACUAUCUCACCCCCUAAACUUAGAAAAAUUUACACUUGGUACCUUUGACAUCGUUUUAAUAGUGUUGGGACACCUUAUAAAAGGCCAAUGAGCCUUUAAAAAAAAAAAAAAAAAAAAAAAGAGAAAGAACAAAGUAUUGCACUUGCCUUGAAACCUGAGCAAGAUCCGAGGGGUAUACAGUGAAAGUCUUUAAAACCUGGUGCCCUAAGCCUUGAUUGGUUGGGAGUCACCGACCUCAAUGCUCGUUAUAAGGGUGAAUAGGUGGAGUUUAACAUAUUGUAGGUGCUUGGGUAUUGAAUUUCAAUCUCAAAAGUCCGGGAAAAAAUCUAAGGAGUUAGUGGUCAAAAGAUCCUUAAAGCUUGAUGCCCUAAACCUUGAUUGGUUGAGAGUCAUUGAUGGAUCCCCGCUACAUGGACAUUUUAGAAAACAAUACCUUUAGCAUUGCACGCCUACAAUGAAAAAAAAAUGUGAAAUAAAAGAGGUGCGUUCUUAGCCUAUUGGAGGUUGGUCAGUUUGCUAAAGUUUGAGAAAUCUAGGUUGGGGGGAGAGAAUAGUCCGACAUACUAUAAUAAAAAACUAAUAACCUUAACACUUAGAUUUUUGUGGAAGAGUAAGGAUUGGACCUUUAGGGGUGGAAAUUCUUUUGAUGCUUAAAUUUGCAUAAUGCCUACUCUUUAUAAAUUAUGAUUAGGCAAGAGAUUUGAUGACUCUUGUUCAAAGUUGGGUUUUUCCUCUUUGAUGUUCCAUGAGAGAGUAUAAUCCUCAUCAUGCCACUUGAAAUCUUUUUGGAGUGAUUAACAUGAUUUUGUAAAUUAUUUUACUGUCUAUUUUUCUUUAUCUCUCUUUUAUUGCUAAUGGACUAGCAAUAUGUCAGUUGGGGGGAGUGAUUACUACUCAAAAAGUACUCUUUUAUAGCUUGAAACUAACUGUUUUAAACACUUUUGAGUAGGUGUUAAUACAUUUUAACUCAAUUGGCACAUUAAGGAACCUAACAAGGGUUACUAAUAAGUUUUUGGCAAGUUUUGGUGUUUUUGGUAGCUAUUUGAUCAUUGAAACAAGCCAAGAAUGAGGGAGAAUUUUGUGAAGUCCAUAGCAAUGCAAGUUAAAGCUCAAAUACAUGAAGAAUCCAAGCUUUGAAGCACUUCAUAGCCCUUUGCGAAGCCAAUCAGAGAUGCAAGGAAGAAAACCAGAGGAAAAAAUCCAACAACCAGCAUUUUCGCAUGGCUGUGCGAAAUUUUGCACACCAUGCGAAACCACAAGAAGUAGCCAAAGAAUUUUGCACACCAUGCGAAAUUUCGCAUGGUAUACGAAAUCUUCCUAUGCACCAACUCCGUUAUAUUUUUAUCUUCAGAUAUUUUGUGUAAUUUCCUAGUUUCUCCUUGUAACCAACCUAGAUAUUUUCUUUUAUAUCUUUUUUUUAUAUUUUUUAGGUAACAUCAUAUAUAGGGGGAGAGACAUAAGGAGGAUAUGGAUGUUUUUCAUAAAACACUUUUAAUUUUCUGGUAGUAAGAAAUAUACAAAGUUUUUUGCUCUGCCUUACCUUCUCAUUUUGUUUUCACCUAUCUUUCUAGCCAAACAACCUCUGAGAAUGAUUUCUCAGGGGAUGAGUAGUUAGGUUUUACGUUUCUUGGAGUGAGAGAAGCUAGGUGAAAGACCCAAAUGCUAAGGUGGGAGUUGUCCUUGCUUUAAAUGAAAGUAGUUGUUAAAUAUUAAUGGUUUUUAUUUUAAGGUUUAGCUUUAAAUCCCUUAAAAACACCUUGAAUGGCCAAUACUUGGUAAGCUUUUCGGAUUCUAUGGAUGCUUAUUGCUAGAUCCAUGGAUGUCAUUAGUUAUCAUUUAUGAGCCAUUGGAAGGUGGUUCAAGAUGAGAGUCUUUAGUGUUUGAAGCCAUUAAUGGGAAACAAUUACCAUUUUUUCAUGAAUCCUUUGGAUAAAAUCUUAAUUGCUAAAUAUAAAACUGGUUCGGGAGAUAACCAUCCUUUAUGUUAUUAUGCCCAAUGCAAGGAGAAGAUUUCGAAUCUUCUCAUUUGUCUAAGGAACCCGAUCCUAGUGACCUAAAGCUCCUAGAGACCUUUUCUUUGUAGUUAACUUCAUUUAUUGUUUUUGCUUAACUUAAAAUCAAUCUUUGCAACCACAAUUCCAUUUUCUUUAAAAGCUAAUUUUUAUAAGGAAAAGCACCAUUUUAUUUCCUUCACUAAGUCAACUGUAUGAUGAAAACCCAUCCCUGUGGACGAUCUUAGAGCCACUAUACUAUGUUAUCUAUGCUAUCCUAGUGUGAGGUGAUUUAGGUUUUAUAAAUUUUGUUGAUAACACCCGUCUGAGCCAGAAUCAAAUGGAACCACUGAACCAGGGACAAAUCAACAGCCUAUAUGGGAGGGACACAAGUUUAAUUGAUUUGCAUUUCAGCGUUAUAGAUAAGUAUGUUUUGGAAGAUUUGUUCUGGAAAUACUGCACCAAGUACGAUUCUUUUUCUCUUGAGUGAGUCCAUUUGCAUGCCAAUUAACGAGUUGAAAAGUAGGAGCACCUACCUCGUGCUCAUGGAACCGAAUGUCAGUGAAGUGGGGCUCCUUUUAGCCUCUUGUGUUUCUGUUCCAACCAAGGCGGCGUAGGGAAAAACAACAAUAUGUCUGUGCUAAAUAUCAACGCAUGAUAGAUGUUUUUUUUUUUUUUUUUGGUAUGUCAAGGCUAACGAAUGAAAUGCAUUAGCUUGUUUUGUGACUAUAACUGCAAAUGUCCAAAUUGGAGUAUCUCCAUUUCUCACUUCGGAUGGUUAACUUUAUAAACAAGAUAUAGGAAACAUGUGAACAUCUUGAGGAACAAUUCAAAUUAUUCAUUAGAAGUCCUGGGUUAAGUUCCAAGAUUUAAAUCAGACCCUUCUAGCAGCUUCAAGGGUACUUAGCAACCUAUAACAUAUUAAUGAAGAUUUAGGAUUUAGACUCCGGAAUACAAAUAAAUAUGUAUCUCAUGCUUUGACUAGCUUCCCUACAUAUGCAUAAAAUGGAGAUGACCCAAAAAAAAUAGCAGAAUCUAGCUUCCCUACAUAUGCACAAAAUGGAGAUGACCCAAAAAAUAGCAUAAUCGCCUUAGUUUCUGUGGUUAAGGUGAUUCUCCGCUUAAUAUCCACAUUGACUCAUUAUGCAAAAUCAACUGAGCUAAUUUUAUUUAUUUAUUUAAUGUCAAAUAGGAACUCCUAAUUAACUGAUUACUGUCGAAAAGUGCUAUUUUGUAGACCUAAUUAUAAGGGUUUUAAGCACCUUUGAGUAGUAAUCAUAUUCAUUUAACCUAAUUAAUUCAUUAAGCUCCUUAGUAAUUAGUUCUAACCAUUUUUAGUGGCAAGUUUACAUGUUUUUCAUCAGCUUAUGAACCAAUUCAAGCAUGCCAAUUGAUGGAGGAGCUACUUGGGCGAGUUAAGCAAGGAUUUUGGACGUUUACAGGCUUGAAUUUCAAGUGGAAACACGAGCACAAGCAAUGGGAACACCAUUUCGCAAGGGGAGGCAAUUCACCUUGCCAAAUGACCAAUUUCGCAAGGGGAUUUUCCUCAUGGUGCAAAAUUUGGUCAUUUCGCACCAUGAAGAAACCACCUUGCAAAAUUUCGCAAGGUGGAUUUAGGCACCUUGCGAAAUGCCAAAUUUCACAAGGUGGCUUUUCACCUUGCGAAAUUUGGACCUUUCAUCUUCCCCCCUUGCGAAAUGCCUUUGAAAUCCCCUGUUUUGAGACGCUGUUGAUGAUAUUCCACUGCCGGUUCUCCAAGAUAUUUUGCUUGACUUUUAGCUUUAUAAAUACCUAUUUUACCCUUGUAAUCAACCAAUGAAAAGGUUGCUUUUGUAAUAGCUCUUGUAAUUUAGCUUUUUAUUGUCUUUAAAUAGAGGUGAAGAGCCUCAGACACGAUCAUCUUGUAACCUGUAACUUUAUAAGUUAUAAGAGCACUUUUGUUCAUACGCUUCUUUUCUCUUUUCUUUCUCAUUUUCUUAGUAGCCAAACAUCCUUGGAGGAUGAAAUCCCCAAGGAUGAGAGGCUAAAACCUUUUAGUUUCUUGAAGUAAUGGAUGCCAUGUGAAGCUCCCGUGUCAGGAUGGAGAUUUCCAAGCCAUAAAUGUAAGUAGCUGAGCGUCAUAAAUGUUUUCAUUCAAAGUAAAGCUUUUAAUCCCUCUGACUUGCUUUGAAUGGCCAAUACUUGAUAACCUUUUGGUCUCAAUGGAUUCUUAUUGUUAGAUCCACUGACGUUCAUUAGUUAUCUCCUACGAGCCAUUGUAUUGCAAGUCGAGGAGAUGACCUAUACCAAUAAAAGAGCAUUUAUGAGGUUCAACUACCCUUUUUGUAAGUUUUCAAGGACUAAAACUCAGUUGUUAAACUCAUACCGGUUCGAGAAGUAAGCAUCACCUUAGUUGCUUCCCCAACUCGAGGUGAAAAGUCCCAAAAUCUCCAUUUUUACACAGUGAGUUAAGCAUGGCUAUCCAAAGCUUUAAGAAACUUCUUUUUCCAUCUUUUAACCUAUUUUCAUGUUAGUUUAGUUUACAACACCUUCAUCUUUUUAUGUUUUCAUCUUAACCUAAUUUUUAUUAAGAAAAGUUCACUCCAUCCUCCGAACUUCACCAGUUAAAGUAAAAACCCUUCCCAGUGUUCGAUCCUAGAGCCACUAUGCUAUAGUAGCUUUGCUACUUUAGUGUAAGGACCUUAGGUAUAAAUUUUGUUGAUACCCUUACAUGCCAAGCUACCAAGAGUCGGGUUAUCAUUAACCUAACCAUUGGCCUGUGUAAAUUGAUUUCACAUGCACAAUGUUGUAGUAGAAGUCCAUAUUUUGAAUUUUAUUUUUGUAAAGGUAAGGAAAAUGAAGCAUUGUGUAAUUAUAAAAAUAACUUCAUUGGAAUUCACAAGGUUCACCCAAAAUGGAGCUACAUCUGUAUUCUAUCCUACAGUAGACUAUAUAGAUUGUACAAUAGUAAAUUGCAAAUACAAUUAAUAAGUCUUGUGCUUCCUUACUAAUAAUCCUUUGACAUGAACAUUGCAGCACUAAGGUCCUCUUGGGAAGACACCUUGCACCCAUGAGAGCACUAAGAGGAAGCAAGGCAGAGUCAUGGGUGCAAUGUCAUGACUUGUUGUUGCACCAAGAGAGGCUUGGUGAUGCCAUGGUGUUGCAGUAGCAAGAAUGUUGCCUUGGCAGGGACACGAUCUAGGGAUAGAUGCCAAGAAAGGCUUAGCACUCACAUGAGUUGCACAAAGAUGAAUGUAAUAGAGCAUCAGAGAGACGUCUUGGCAAGUAAAUGAAUGGAUCCAAGAGACAACAACAUGAGGAGUUUCAAAUGGAUAAGGAAUGACUCAAAGACAUUUGAAAGCUACAAGUUGGAUUCUAAUUACGAUUGCAAUUUGAGUUUGAGUAGGAGUUUAGAUUUUGAUUGUAAUUGUAGUAUGAGUUGGACUAGGAUUGCUUAUCCUUAGUCAAUAUAGGAGCGGUUCGUGUCACCCUAUGAAAAGAGUUUGAGUAGGGACUAGGAUUGCUUACUCCUAGUCAAAUAUGGAGUAGGUGGUGCCACACCUAUAAAAAAAAGGGACAACAUGAGAGAGAGAGAGAGAGAGAAAGAGAGAGUGAAUUCACUAAAGAUAUUGUGGGAGUUUUGCUUUGUUACGUCUUGUAUUAUUACUUAGAAUAGGAAUAAAAUACAAGUUGGGGCUAGAGCCCCAUAAUUAAUCUCGUGUGCCUUUGUGGUUAUUCUUUAUUUGUCAUCUCGUGUGGAUUGGAUUAGGUUGACUUAGAGGGCUUCUAAGCACCACCUUUGUGGGUUAUUAUUUAUUUUCCAUCUCUUGUGGAUUAGAUUAGGUUGACUUAGAGGGCUUCUGAGCACCACCUUUGUGGGUUAUUAUUUAUUUUCCAUCUAUUGUGGAUUAGAUUAGGUUGACUUAGAGGGCUUUUAAGCACCACAUUUGUGGGUUAUUCUUUAUUUUCCAUAUCGUGUGGGUUGGAUUAGGUUGACAAGGAGAAAAAUUAUGUGGGAAAUUUGUGUUGGGACACUUACCAUAACCAAGUAAAAUCUACCAAGUCCUUUGUAAUAUCUUCAACAAAUAUUUUAGACUAGUUCUUUCAGUUAGUGUAAAGGAGGAAGAAGUGGUAUUGAUUCUAGAAAUAGGGUGUGUGUAUUUGAACUACAAUCCUUAUGAUCCUUAGGUCUCUAAACCUUCGUGAUGGGCUCCCUGACAUUUCAUAGGUUGUGCUACACAUGCGUUUGAAAUUUAGAGUGCGUUUGACAGUGAUUCCGGGAAGUGUUUUUGGCCUUUCUUACACUUGAAAAUUUUUAUUUUUCAAGUAUUAGAAAUGCUACAAACACUUUUGAAAAUUACUGUCAAACACACUCUUAGGAGCGCACAUAUAUAGUAGAAAACUAGAAAUUGUGGUUUUUUUAGGAUUUACUGUAAUGUCAUUAGGAGGGUAGUAAGUUGAAAUUGAGUAUGAACAAAUAUUUCUUUCUUUGGGAUGUUCUUCUAGUAGGUGCUGAUGAAACUGUUCUUUCUACUGCCAAUGUCACAUAUCAGCCAGAAAUUGAAAAUUUCAGUCAAGGUGUCCUCUGUUUUAGUGGUGAGGAAAGCUAGAAAUUUUAAGGUGAAGUUUUGUUAAAAACCUUAAGUAGCUGGGAUAUCAGGCCUGUUUUGCUUGAAAAAAAAAGUUGCAAGAUAACUCAUAUGCCAAACAGGUUCUGAUAUUGUGAAUCUAUCGGCAGACAUCAGUAAUCUCAUCUUCUGAGAUGGAUGUUGGGGGUGCAUGUGGUGGUGGAGGGGCAAGGUUUCAUUUGGUUUAUUUUGUUGAUGGAUAUUGUCUAGCCACCUGCGCCAAGUUUGAGGGGUGGUGGGUUGUGAUGACCCUACAAUUACUAUUAAUUUCUUCAUCUUUUACCGAUUAAAGUGUCCGAACAGUCGAAGUUACCCUUAUGCAUGUCAACUUGAUCACUUACCUCUUCAAUGGAGUUUAUGCUGGUUCAUUUAGGAACUGAUUUUUAUUGUUAUGUAUUAUAUGCUGAUGUUUAGGUCUCUCCAUCAUCACUAUAUACAAAAAUUCUAGGUUGAUACUAUAGGUUGAGAUUUAUUUUUUAAAUAAAAAAUAAUAAAAAUAAAAAUUAUGGUGAUGUUUAGUUGUUUUAUGGAAAAUUUUAACAAGUAAAAGUUAUUUUUGGGCAAGUUUUCAAACAAAAAGAAAAGUAAAAGUUGUUUUGACAAAAACAUAUAGAAAAAAAAAUCAUAGAAAAUAAAUAAUUUCCCCAUAUUCUAACUUUUUUGAAUUUUUCUCAAUGGGCAAAGGAAUAUCAAAUCAAGUUUGAGUAGGAUUUCUUAAUUUUUAAAAUAACUUACAAUUAAAAAAUUUUGGUGUUUUCAUUUUUGGACAAUUUUUUAUUAAGCAAAUGGACUCUGAGUCAUGCAAGAGAUAUGGUUCAUUAACCGGUCGAACAAUUUUUUUAAAUUAAUUUAAAAGUCAAAUACAUAAUCAAUUUCACAAAAUUUAUAAACAAAAAUAGGUUUAGAGAAGAUCUACACAUAAUUUUACUUUUCUAAUUUUAUUUUAUUUUAUUUUUUGUUGGAAAAUAGUCUUCAAAUCAUGUAAGAUUUAAUAGGUUAAAUUUGUUAACAAUAAAUUUUAAAUUAUAAAAUAUAAUCUGGAACUCAAAAAUCAAUUCAAGUAAUGCUAAAAAAAAAUCAAAUUUGGUAUAGAAUGACUUUGUAAAUUUUUUUACAAAACAAAUGAAUUUUAAAUCAAGUGAGAUUUAAUGCAUUAGAUUUUUAUCAAAUAUAGUAAUUUUAAAAAUAAAUUUGGAACUCAACAAUAGACACAAUAAAUACCAAAAAAUAAUGAACCAAAAUUGGUUUGGAAUAACUCCACAACCUUUUUUUUUUUUUUUUGGUGCACACGAAUUUUCUUACUAGGUAUAUUGCUUUCAAAUUGAGAAAGAUUUACCAUUUAGAUUUUUUUUUAAUGAGUUUAAUGGUAUUUUAAAAUAAUUCAAAAUUUAAAAAAUUGACUAAUUAAUAUUAUAAAUUGAUAAACCAAGACUAUUUCAAAAUGCAUUGGGGGCUAAGGGGGUUGAAAAUAGGGACAAUGGGAUGGGUUUGGGACAUGACACUCAUAUCUCAUUUCCAUUCCAAUUACACAGUUAUCUCCCAUCCUUAUCCCAAACUUGUGUUGGAGCAAGUUGAUUUGUUCCCAUCUUUGUUGACGAAAUGACUAAUAACCUCAUCCCCUCCUUAUCUUAGAUGUACAUUUUGUCAAAUUUGAUCAGGUAUGAUUGAUCCAAGCCCUAACCCUAAUUGGUAAUGAGUGAAUACUACACCUAAUUGCAUUCUUCUUUCAUUGCAAAAUAAUGAGAUUAUAAUAAUCUAGCAAAUAAGAAAAAAUAGUAUGGAAGUUCAAAUUAACACCAUAACUAUCAAUAAUUUUAAGCUUAUAGAUGACUUAAAUGAUUAAAAACUAAUGCAAAAUCCUAAAAAAAAUAAAAAUCAUAUAAAGAAUUCACAAGAGAACAGAAUGAACAAAAACCAAAUAUGAACAUGGGUCAACAUUAGUUAUGGAUUUGGAUUCCUUUCAAGGCCAAUCUUUGAACCAAGACUUCAUCAAAUCAACUACUUCAAAGGCUUUUGUGUUCUUCUUGGGUUGUGCUCUCAAACAAAGACUUCGAGGUGAUGUUCUAGAUGAUUGAAUUACACAUAUUUAGGGUGGAGAGAUUGGAGAAGCUUGAAGAUGCCAACGAUGGGUACAAUUGAGUGGUCAAUAAGAACAAUGUAGCCUAUGACUAGUUUGAUGUCAUGGUACAAGAGUUUUAGGCAUUGAGGUUAAAGCAAGAGCAACAUGGAAUUGAUUUCGGAGUCUUUCAGUUAGUGUAAAGGAGGAAGAAGUGGUGUUGAUUCUAGAAAUAGGGUUUUAAGUGGUGCGUGAUUACUACUCAAAAAGUGCUAUUUGAUAGCCUUUAAUUAAUCCUUUUUAACACUUUUGAGUAGUAGUUUAGGCCUUUUAACUCAAUUGGCAUGUUAAGGAUCCUUUAAAGCAAUUUUGAUCACUUUGUGCAAGUUUUGGUGUUUUUGUUAGUAUUUUGAUCACCAAAGCAAGUCAAGAAUGAGGAGAACUAUGAGGAAUCAUGGGCAAAGCUUAGAAUUCAAUUGCCAAGAGUGAAUCCGGAUUGCAAGGAGAAAAAGCAAAGAGAAUCUGUCAUGAAGCCUAUUCUUGAUGACAGUCGUAGCAGCCACUUUUGGAGCACUUUCUGAAGUCCAAAUGAUGCAAGCUAUAUACCAUUUCAAAGAUCAGGAAGUCAACAAUCCAAUGCUUCAAACGGUGCGCGAUUCGGAGUUGAAACGAAGAAGUUGCAGCCAUUACAAGCCAGUCACUCUAAAGUGUUGCGGAAUCAGCCUUUUGUUGCGAGAAUUUCGCAGCACUUUUGUACAGUAAGGUGUUUCUCCUUCUGACGAUGCACGAACCAUGCCGCGAGAGGGAAGCUAGGAACUUCAAGAUGGAAGCCAACUUUGCAGCCUGGUGAAGAUAGCUUGGUCUUGCGAAAUAAUUUCGCAGCCCUCUUGGGUGUCUGCGAAAUUUCGCAGGCACCACUUUUUUCCUGCGAAAUGGCUCCGGAAGCCUCCCGAAGCUUGCUACCGACAUUGGGAGAUAUUUUCCAUUAGAUUUUUGUUGUCUAAAUUCCAAAAUACUCCUUGUAAACCACCAAUUACAUGAUUCCUUAGUUUUUAAGUUAGUAAAAAGACCAAAUAUCUAUGUAAUAAUUAGUUUUAUAUUAGUUUGCUAUAAAUACCUCUCGGGAGCAUGUUCUCAGAGAGGAGUUCCUUCUGUAACCAUUUUGGUAAGCAAGUAAAGUCUUUUCUUUCUACUGCCUUACCUUCUCACUUUGUAUUUUCAUUUUAUUUCUAAGUUAUGAAUUCUCUGAGGAGCUUUCCCCAGAGAAUGAGUAACUAAACCUCCAAUUCCUUGGAGCUAAGGUUGCCGGGGAAGGUUCCAAGUGCAAGAAUGCAAAGCUCUGUGGUUUUAGCUAGUAAUGAAGAGGAAGUGAAAUCCUUUAGUGAUUUCAAUGUUUUUAGUUAACUUAAAACACCUUGGAGUCACCUGGGCCAACACUUGGUAAGGCAAGUGAUUUCCAACCGUGGAAAUGCACUAGUUUACCCCUUGCGAGCCUCUGGUAGGUGACUUCAAGGUAGGAUUUUCUGGAAUUACCAACACUUGGUAAGCUUUUGGACUCCUAGGAGACAUCCAUUAGUUAUCUCUUGCGAGUUUGUGAAGGGGAAUCCAAGGUUAAAGAUCACCUUGAAUGGUAAGUGCUCGUGAGAGGCAUGAACCAUUGCAAGUUGUAUCAGUGAGAGAAUUAAAGUGAAAUCUAAUUGAAGGAGUCUCUGUACAUCACCGGUUAGAGAAUUGACUAUAAGUUGAAUCUCUAAUGCGAGGAAAUGAACCAUCUGACCGGAGCUAUGUCUUUUGCAUGAGGAACCACCCCAGUGAACCUAAAUCUCCAAGGAAUGCUUUUCUUCCUAAAUUAUUCCAAACUUCUGUUAAGUUAGUUAGUUUAAGUCUAAACCUUUACCAAUCAAACUUUGUGUUUUAUUUCUUAAGCUAACCGUGAAAUGAAACAAAACCAAUUCACUUGGAAUUGGUAUCCUUGAUUGCUUGCAAAUCAUUCCCAGUGAACGAUCCUUAGAGCCACUAUACUAUAGUAGCUUUGUAUUUGCUACCCUAGUGUAUGGUGUUAUAGGUAUAAAUUUUGUUGAUCACUUCCUCAAUCAAGGAACACCAGCUGAACACAAAUCAGCUGAGACACCAAUUGGGCAUGAGUCAAAUGGCGCCGUUGCCGGGGAAUGAGUGUCAAGAUCAUUGUGAUACCAUUUUUGAGCACUUGUGAUUUUCAUCACAAGUUGGUAAAGUUUCUUUCACUUUACUAAUUUUCAUUCUCUCUUUGUUUAUUUACAAUCUAAGUUUAUCUUUUUAAAAUUUAGUCUAGUUUAAUUUUGCUAUUGUAGCCUUGUUUCUCUUGUUGUCCUCUGUUCUUGUUGUCCUCUGUUUUCAUUUUAGUUGCAGCUGAAUACUAGUUGUGUAUGCCAAAGUGGAUACGAGACAUUGGAGGUAGGCUUAUUAAGUGUGAUACACCUCAGAGAGGAGAAUUGGAAGUAAUCUUGAAUAUCAUGGAGGCUGCACCUGAAGAUCAGCAUAGUCACCAAGGUCGUCAAGACAAUCUCAAUGAAUUCAGAUCAAUGAGGGACCGUAUGCAUCCACCUCGUAUGAGUGCACCAUCAUGUAUAGUGCCCCCUACAGAGCAACUAGUGAUCAGACCAUAUCUUGUUCCACUUCUACCAACUUUCCAUGGGAUGGAAAGUGAGAAUCCGUAUGCACACAUCAAGGAAUUUGAAGAUGUUUGUAAUACAUUCCAAGAGGGAGGAGCUUCAAUUGAUUUGAUGAGGCUUAAGUUAUUUCCUUUUAAUUUAAAGGAUAAGGCCAAAAUUUGGCUUAAUUCUUUAAGGCCAAGGAGUAUCCGCUCUUGGACUGAUUUACAAGCUGAAUUCCUCAAGAAAUUUUUUCCUACUCAUAGAACAAAUGGCUUGAAAAGGCAAAUUUCAAACUUCUCAGCUAAAGAGAAUGAGAAAUUCUAUGAGUGUUGGGAAAGAUACAUGGAAGCUAUAAAUGCUUGUCCUCACCAUGGCUUUGAUACUUGGCUACUGGUGAGUUAUUUUUAUGAUGGUAUGUCCUCCUCAAUGAAGCAACUCCUCGAGAAAAUGUGUGGAGAAGAUUUCAUGAGCAAAAAUCCAGAGGAAGCUAUGGAUUUCUUGAGCUAUGUAGCUGAUGUUUCAAGGGGAUGGGAUGAACCAACUAAAGGAGAAGUGGGAAAGAUGAAGUCUCAGUUGAAUGCUUACAAUGCAAAGGCUGGGAUGUAUACUUUAAAAGAGGAUGAUGACAUGAAAGCAAAGUUGGCAGCUAUGACAAGAAGAUUGGAGGAGCUGGAGCUGAAAAGAAUGCAUGAAGUGCAAGCUGUUGCUGAAGCACCAGUGCAAGUGAAGUUGUGUCCCAAUUGUCAAUCGUUUGAACAUUUGGUAGAGGAAUGCCCUGCAAUUUCAGCUGAAAGGGAAAUGUAUAGAGAUCAAGCAAAUGUUGUUGGACAAUUCAGGCCCAAUAACAAUGCUCCUUAUGGAAAUACCUACAAUUCAAGUUGGAGGAAUCAUCCAAAUUUUUCAUGGAAGGCCAGAGCAACUCAAUACCAACAGCCGGAUCCACCAUCUCAACAAUCUUCAAGUAUUGAACAAAUAAUAGCUAAUCUCAGCAAGGUAGUGGGAGAUUUUGUGGGAAAGCAAGAAGCCACCAAUGCUCGAGUGGAUCAAAGAAUGGACAGAGUGGAUCAAAGAAUGGACAGAAUGGAGAGUAUGUUGAACAAAAGAAUGGAUGGAAUGCAAAAUGAUAUGAAUCAAAAAUUUGAUAACAUCCAAUAUUCAAUUUCAAGGCUUACAAAUUUGAAUACACUGCAAGAAAAGGGAAGAUUUCCUUCUCAACCUAACCAAAAUCCCAAAGGUGUCCAUGAAGUGGAAAGCCAUGAGGGAGAAUCAUCACAGGUGAAAGAUGUGAAAGCUUUGAUCACUCUAAGGAGUGGUAAGAAAAUUGAGCAGCCAACACCCAAGCCACAUGUUGAGAAAGAAGAAGAGAUGAAGAAAGGGAAGGAAAUGGAAGAUAAAGGCAGUGAGAUCAGUGAAGAAAAGAAGGACUCUGAUGCAACAAUGAAAGUAAUUCCAGAGAAGGAGCUUCUGAAGGAAGAAAUGCUGAAGAAAUCAACUUUUCCACCUUUUCCUCAAGCAUUACAGGGGAAAAAGGGGGUUAGAAAUGCAGCUGAAAUCCUAGAAGUAUUGAGGCAAGUGAAAGUUAAUAUUCCACUGCUGGAUAUGAUCAAACAAGUUCCAACGUAUGCAAAAUUCCUAAAGGACUUGUGUACUAUCAAAAGAGGGUUGACUGUAAACAAGAAAGCCUUCUUGACUGAGCAAGUAAGUGCAAUCUUACAGUGUAAGUCUCCUUUGAAGUACAAAGACCCUGGAAGUCCUACCAUUUCAGUCAUGAUUGGAGGAAAGGUAGUGGAGAAAGCCUUGCUAGACUUGGGAGCAAGUGUGAAUUUGCUUCCAUAUUCUGUCUACAAGCAACUGGGACUUGGAGAGUUGAAGCCAACAGCAAUCACUUUGUCUCUGGCAGAUAGAUCAGUGAAAAUUCCAAGAGGGGUAAUUGAGGAUGUAUUGGUUCAAGUAGAUAAUUUCUACUAUCCUGUAGAUUUUGUUGUUCUUGAUACAGAUCCUACUGUAAAGGAAGCUAAUUUAGUUCCUAUCAUCCUUGGAAGGCCAUUUCUUGCAACUUCAAAUGCAAUCAUCAACUGUAGAAAUGGGCUUAUGCAACUCACUUUUGGUAACAUGACACUGGAUCUAAAUAUUUUCUAUAUGUCUAAAAAGCAAAUCACUCCAGAAGAAGAAGAGGGUCCAGAAGAGCUAUGUAUUAUUGAUACUUUGGUGGAGGAGCACUGCAAUCAACAUAUGCAAGAUAAGUUGAAUGAAAGUUUUGUGGAUAUUGAGGAAGGUUUUUCUGAAUCUCCUAAUGGGCUUGCUACUCUACAAAGUUGGAGAAAGAUAGAAGGAAUUCUACCUUUGUUCAAUGAAGAAGAGGAGGCAGCUGUUGAAAAAGAAAUUCCAAAACUCAAUCUGAAGCCUUUACCUAUGGAGCUGAAAUAUACAUAUCUUGAAGAAAAUAAUCAAUGUCCUGUCGUAAUAUCUUCAUCUCAAACCAAGUCUCAAGUGAAGGAUGCAAGCUUCAAAUGGGAUCCGGGCAAACUGAAUCAGGAAGGGCAAAAAGUUUUGAUGUAUGACACAAGACUCCAUAUCUUUCCUGGGAAGCUCAAGUCAAGGUGGAUUGGUCCAUUUGUUAUUCACCGAGUAUAUUCCAAUGGAGUGGUGGACUUAUUGAAUUCCAAUGGCAAGGACAGCUUUAGAGUCAAUGGAUAUCGUCUUAAGCCGUUCAUGGAGUCAUUCAAAUCAGAAAAGGAGGCAAUCAACCUCCUUGAACCUCAAAAAGCCUAAGUGAAAUGGGUUUGCUGGACGUGGUUUUACCACAGUCCAAAAAUUUUUGUAAAUUUUGUAAAUUUUCAAGUUGUUUCCAUGCUUUUAAUCUUAGUUUUUGAUUUUAAAUCAUGUUUUUAGGUGUGUUUUAAUCGUUUUAUAUGAUCCCAGGCGGAAGAAAUUUCAAGGGGAUUGAAAAGAAAAAAAUCGGGUCGAAAUUGGAGCCGAAACAGAGCAAAAACAGGGGAAAAACAGAGCUCUGCGAAAUUUCGCAGGGUGAAGGAAACUUCUGCGAAAUUGGCAUUUUGCUGCCAAACCAUUCCGCAGCACUGUAGAAGCCUCUGCGAGUGUAUUUCGCAAUUGCGAAAGUGGAUUUGGCACACGAGUGCCACUUCGCAGCACAGUGACAUCAAUUUCGCAGCUGCGAAACUCACUGCGAAGUUGCUGCGAAAAUGGCAAGUUGCUGCGAAAUUGGCGUUUUGUUGCGAAACGUAAUCUGACCCCUGGGCUUCCGUUUUUCCUAUUUAUACCUGUCAAAAGUGCUGCGAAAAAGGUUUCAAAAAUUAGAGCACCAUUCUCGCAGCCCUUUCAUCUUCUUCGCCAAGCCACGCCGUCCGUUUCUCCGGUCGUCUUCUCCGUUUAGCAGCGCCGGCCAAAGAUCGAUAGCCCAAAAAUGGCACGAACGCGAGGGGCAAAGUCUUCAUCCCCUUCGAACCGCAAAAGGAGUCUGCGAAAGGAGCCAAGUUCAGGCUCUGUUCCAGAACCUGCUCCAAAGCCUUCGCCGUCGAGACCACAACCUUCUCCAGUGAAGCCGGCGCCACCAAAGCCGCCGGCAAGGCGAUAUUUAACCAGGUCAGGUGGUCAGCCAUUGAAGAAGAAAGCCAGAGUUGAGAGCUCUGAACCAAUCGAUUUGACUGAGCAAUCCCCUGAGAAAUCACCAAAUCCUUCACCGGUACAAAUUCCAGUGCCAUCACCGGUUCCCUCGCCAAUUCCCUCACCAGAAGCAACUCCAAUUCCAUCGCCGGUACCAUCUCCGGCACCCCAAGAAAAAGCUCAGGAGCCUCAAGCGCCAAUUCCAGAGCCCCAAAUUGCAGCUGAAGCACCUCUGGAAGAAGUGAUCCGAAGGCCAAUGCUGCCUCAGCCCCCAAUCGAAGGAAACCUGGAUUGCCGAACUCGGGCAUUCCAUUCUGAGCUUUGCUUCGAUUUAACAGCAUUCAGAGUGAGGCCAGAGCUUGCCCAAUCCUUCCAACUGCUGAGGAGAUAUCAUAUGGAGCAUCUGCUAGCUCCAAGGGAUUUUUUCUAUCCCCGGGUAGUCACGGAUUUCUACCAAACCAUGACAACCAAAGAAGUAAGAAAUCCAACUCUGAUUCAUUUCAUAAUUGAUGGAAGGCAUGGUAUUUUGGGAGCAAGACAUAUUGCUGAAGCCCUGCAAAUUCCUUUUGAGCCAACUCAAUUCGACAAUUUUAAAGCUUGGACAAAUCCUACUGAGUUAGAGAUGGUUAGCACACUAACCAGAGGAGCUGCAAAUCGAUCGCAUUUGUUGAGGGGGGAGCUACCUCCAGUUAUGUUUUUGAUUGAUGCCUUUUUGAGGCAUAAUAUCUAUCCCCUGCAGCAUUGGACCCAAAGAAGGGGAAUUCUCCUAGAAGCCUUGUACAAAAUGUCUGAAGGAUUCUUCUUUGGGCCUCAUCAUCUGAUCAUGGCAGCCCUUCUAUACUUUGAGGAGAAGGUUCACAAGAAGAAGCUUCAAAGAGCAGAUUGCAUUCCACUCCUCUUCCCAAGGCUGCUAUGCCAAGUUUUGGAGCAUCUCGGAUACCCCUCUGAGCCUCAGCAGGAAAGAAAGAGAAUAUGCCGUGAGCCUUUUACCCUUGAUAAAUGGAAUAAUAUGACGGCCUACAAAAUUGAUCAGCCUGGGCAGCCUCAGCCAGCAGCAAGGAGAGUCUCCCCAAGACAUAUACCUGAAGGUAUAACACUUGCUACUCCUGCCAUCCCUCGAGCUCCACCAGCUGCACCUGCUCCAUCACAGCCAUCCACAUCAGCUGAGCCGAGGAUGGCCAUCCCUAUAUCCGAAUAUCGAGAGCUGUGCCGUGCAUUGGAGACUCUUACAGCUUCUCAGAGCAAUCUUGCUCAGGAGUUGGCAGCCAUUAAAGCAUGCCAGGAGCAGAUGUUAGCCUCUCAGACUCAACAAGCUGCCAUCCUAAGGCAGCUUCAAGUCCAUUUCGAUCUGCCACAAGCUGUAGAGCCCUCUAUUCCUACUCCACCAGAGCCACACUCUCAGCCUUCAGAGUCUCAUCCUCCAGAACCCGAAGCACCAGCUGAUCCACCUACUGAGGAGGCAGAUCCUUCUGCCUAGCACCAUCACCCCCCUCAUCAGACAUUAUAUAUAUAUUUGCUGUUUAUGUUUUUAUGCAUGUUUGUUUUGUUUUAGUUGAAAAGAAAUCCCAGUAUUUUGGUACUAUAUAUGGGAUUCCUUGUGUUACUUGUCUUUAGUAUUGUAAUCACAUGAACUCAAAGUAAUACAAGUUGACUAUUUCUUGUUAAAAGUUAGCAUUAAAGUUUCCUUAUUUCCUUUUCUCACAUAUUCUAUUCUUUUUGAAACAUGUGGUUUUCCCCAAUCAAUAUUCGAAUUUGAUAUCAGCAUGGAGGUACCACUUCCUCCCUUUUAUUACAGUCACUCAAAUCACAUUGAGGACAAUGCUCAGUUCGGUUGGGGGGUAUGAGGAAGGAAGUAUUCUAAACCUUUUUGGUAUUGCAAUUAUAUUGGUUAAUUAGUUGUAGAUUUUACUUUUUACUAGUGUUACUCUAUUCUCCAUGAAUUUUGAGGAAAAAUUUUCAAAUUAAACCAAGAGAAAUUGAACUGUUGUUUUUCACUUGACUUAGAGUAUGGAUUAUGCUUACUAAAGUGGUUCAAUUGUUGAAACUUCUACUGAAAUUGAAUUGAGUUCUUCCACUUUAAGCUAUCCACACACUGUGCACAUUAGUUUCCGAUUAUAAGAUGAAAAGCUAUUUCCCUCUUGACUUAGUAUAUUUUUGGGACUUGGUAUAUUUGACCUCAUUUGAUAAAAAUUGAAACACCCUGCAAAAGGCCAAUGAGCCUUUGAAAUAAAGAAAGUUGUUUGCUUGCCUUGAAACCCGAGCAAGGUCUGAGGGGUAUAUGGUGAAAAUCUUUAAAGCCUGGUGCCCUAAGCCUUAAUUGGUUGGGAGUCACCGACCUCAAUGCUCGUUACAAGGGUGAAUAGGUAGAGUUAGCAUAUGGUAGAUGCUUGGGUAUUAGAAAUUCAUUCUUAAAAGUCCGGGGAAAAAUCCGAGGAGUUAGUGGUUGAAAGAUCCUUAAAACUUGGUGCCCUAAACCUUAAUUGGUUGGGAGUCAUCGAUGGACCCCCAUUACAUGGACAAGUCAGAAAGAGUACCCCAUAAAGCUACCUUAAAAAAAAAAAAAAAAAAAAAAAAAAAAAAAAAGAUGAAAGUGUGUUCUUUUCUUAUUGAUUUUGGUCAGUUUGCUAAAGUGUUGAAAAGAGAUAGGUUGGGGGGUGAGAUUAGUAGCAUAUUAUUCUCGGAACCUAAGGAACCAAUACACAUAGAUUUUUGUGGAAGAUUGAAGUUUAGUUCUUAGAAAAUGAAAUGAUUUUAAAACUUCAGUUUGCAUAAUGCACUCCCUUGAUUGACAGUGUUUAGCAUAGGUGUUAUGACUCUUGUUGAGAUUUGGGUUUGUAUUUCUUUAAUGAUUCAUGUGAGAAAUAGAUCAUCAUGCCACUUGAGAAUUAUUUUCCUUUUAGCAUGAUGUUGUAAAUUUUAGAUUAGUUUGCUAUUUAUUUUUUAUUUUCUCUCCUAUAUUGCUAAGGGACUAGCAAUAUGUCGGUUGGGGGGAGUGAUUACUACUCAAAAAGUGCUAUUUGAUAGCCUUUAAUUAAUCCUUUUUAACACUUUUGAGUAGUAGUUUAGGCCUUUUAACUCAAUUGGCAUGUUAAGGAUCCUUUAAAGCAAUUUUGAUCACUUUGUGCAAGUUUUGGUGUUUUUGUUAGUAUUUUGAUCACCAAAGCAAGUCAAGAAUGAGGAGAACUAUGAGGAAUCAUGGGCAAAGCUUAGAAUUCAAUUGCCAAGAGUGAAUCCGGAUUGCAAGGAGAAAAAGCAAAGAGAAUCUGUCAUGAAGCCUAUUCUUGAUGACAGUCGUAGCAGCCACUUUUGGAGCACUUUCUGAAGUCCAAAUGAUGCAAGCUAUAUACCAUUUCAAAGCUCAGGAAGUCAACAAUCCAAUGCUUCAAACGGUGCGCGAUUCGGAGUUGAAACGAAGAAGUUGCAGCCAUUACAAGCCAGUCACUCUAAAGUGUUGCGGAAUCAGCCUUUUGUUGCGAGAAUUUCGCAGCACUUUUGUACAGUAAGGUGUUUCUCCUUCUGACGAUGCACGAACCAUGCCGCGAGAGGGAAGCUAGGAACUUCAAGAUGGAAGCCAACUUUGCAGCCUGGUGAAGAUAGCUUGGUCUUGCGAAAUAAUUUCGCAGCCCUCUUGGGUGUCUGCGAAAUUUCGCAGGCACCACUUUUUUCCUGCGAAAUGGCUCCGGAAGCCUCCCGAAGCUUGCUACCGACAUUGGGAGAUAUUUUCCAUUAGAUUUUUGUUGUCUAAAUUCCAAAAUACUCCUUGUAAACCACCAAUUACAUGAUUCCUUAGUUUUUAAGUUAGUAAAAAGACCAAAUAUCUAUGUAAUAAUUAGUUUUAUAUUAGUUUGCUAUAAAUACCUCUCGGGAGCAUGUUCUCAGAGAGGAGUUCCUUCUGUAACCAUUUUGGUAAGCAAGUAAAGUCUUUUCUUUCUACUGCCUUACCUUCUCACUUUGUAUUUUCAUUUUAUUUCUAAGUUAUGAAUUCUCUGAGGAGCUUUCCCCAGAGAAUGAGUAACUAAACCUCCAAUUCCUUGGAGCUAAGGUUGCCGGGGAAGGUUCCAAGUGCAAGAAUGCAAAGCUCUGUGGUUUUAGCUAGUAAUGAAGAGGAAGUGAAAUCCUUUAGUGAUUUCAAUGUUUUUAGUUAACUUAAAACACCUUGGAGUCACCUGGGCCAACACUUGGUAAGGCAAGUGAUUUCCAACCGUGGAAAUGCACUAGUUUACCCCUUGCGAGCCUCUGGUAGGUGACUUCAAGGUAGGAUUUUCUGGAAUUACCAACACUUGGUAAGCUUUUGGACUCCUAGGAGACAUCCAUUAGUUAUCUCUUGCGAGUUUGUGAAGGGGAAUCCAAGGUUAAAGAUCACCUUGAAUGGUAAGUGCUCGUGAGAGGCAUGAACCAUUGCAAGUUGUAUCAGUGAGAGAAUUAAAGUGAAAUCUAAUUGAAGGAGUCUCUGUACAUCACCGGUUAGAGAAUUGACUAUAAGUUGAAUCUCUAAUGCGAGGAAAUGAACCAUCUGACCGGAGCUAUGUCUUUUGCAUGAGGAACCACCCCAGUGAACCUAAAUCUCCAAGGAAUGCUUUUCUUCCUAAAUUAUUCCAAACUUCUGUUAAGUUAGUUAGUUUAAGUCUAAACCUUUACCAAUCAAACUUUGUGUUUUAUUCCUUAAGCUAACCGUGAAAUGAAACAAAACCAAUUCACUUGGAAUUGGUAUCCUUGAUUGCUUGCAAAUCAUUCCCAGUGAACGAUCCUUAGAGCCACUAUACUAUAGUAGCUUUGUAUUUGCUACCCUAGUGUAUGGUGUUAUAGGUAUAAAUUUUGUUGAUCACUUCCUCAAUCAAGGAACACCAGCUGAACACAAAUCAGCUGAGACACCAAUUGGGCAUGAGUCAGUGCGUUAGAGGAUCAAGAAGAAGAAAAAGAAGGAACUGUUGGAAUUAGUAUGAGUGUGAAGAGAAAAGUAUAUAAAUAAGGGGAAGUAAAAGCAAAGUUCAAAAAGCUAUAUUUUUUUAUUGUUGGUGUAUGGUUGCAUGAUUAUCCCUAUAAAUAAUAGGAGUUUUUUGGUAUUCUACUAGUAGUUGAAGCAUAAUUUCAUAAAUUAAUAUUUAGAGCGGGGUGGGGUGAGUUGUGACAAAAUUCAUACCCGUCCCAAACCUUGGUUCAGAUUUUUAAAAUAUUCUCAAACUUAUCAUAUACCCAACUUUUAUAUUUCAUACUUGUCCUAAUAGAGGCACGUUAGGCCGGGUUACUUGAGUAACCUACAUAAUUGUCAUCCCUAGUUGAAAUACACUUUUUGGCAGUGGCCACCAACUGAGCUAGAAGCUUGAUUGAUUGACCUACAAGAUUAGUUCUCAUCAUUUUAAAAAAAGUUCUGGCUUUGGUUGUGAGUGCAAUUGAAUCUAAACUGGCAUUUGCUUAAUGCAUCUACUUCAAUCCUAAACUUCUUACUUCUUAAGCCUCAAUUGUUGUUAGGAUUUUGGAAAACCCAUUUCCUUAAAUUGUAAAUUUAAGAUAAAAUAAAAUAAAAGUGAGACAUUUCUUGAUUGAAUAUUGUUAAAGGUCCCUUGGCAUUAAGACUUGGUUGAAGCCUUGGAAGAUUAGUGGAACUCUCAACAUGUGUUUGAAUCUUGAGGAGAGUGGAUGUAAGCCAAAAUUUUGUCAAACCAUUAUACAAAUUGAGUUUGAAUCCUCAUUUCUUGAUUUCUUAUUUAUUUGCUUUUUCUUAUUAUUACUUGAAUUGUCAUUUGCAUUCAUUAAUGUUAAAAUUGGUUAUAAUUAACCAACACUAAUUCUCUUUCCCCUUCCCUUUCUUGGGUGUAAACCUAGGUUGGAUUAACUAGAUAAAUCUAUUAAGAUGGUAAAAGAAUAAUUAUUCUUAACAUACAUAAGAUCAUCUUCAAUCAAAUGACUCAUUGGCUAAUAUGUUGAAUUUGCUUAUUACUUGCAACUCAAAAUUGUGUUCUAGUUGUGUCAAGUCCCCAGUGUAUGGACAUUAAAUUUGUAGUACGUGAUGAGUAAUUAGAUGGUCCAACUCCAAGAAAGUGAUUGAAAAGUAGUUCAAGAAAGGUGCAAAAGGGAAUUGUUUUGGUAUUUUCGUUUUUAUUCUUGAAGGUGGCAGAGCUAAAAUUUGAGAAAUCAAGCAAAACAUACUGAAAUUACAUUGAAAGAAAGAAGAUGGGAGUUAAUGUCUUGCAGUACAUGAUAAGGACUUCAUGCAUGUAGUGUGACCCAUGUCUUGGACUGAUGCCAACUCACGGUUACACUUAUACCCUUGGUUCUCUCUUUACUACCUUGGCUAACCUAGAUCAGGCUAUGAGAUAGGCUCCUCACCACACCAUUACUUGCCCAUUAAUUAGAGACAUUUUCAAGCAAUGAGGUAACAUGGUGACACCAAGAGGGUCUAUUCCUCGCCCGGAACAAGUCUAGACUUGGUCUCAAAAAAAUGGAGAAAAAUGAGGUGUCGUUAUGUAGAAAUACAACAACCAUGCCUUCCUCAUUACUUAGAUUCAGAAUGUGAAGGUGAAAUUGAGAAACAGAAACUCUUGAAACCAAAAUGAAAAUUGAUACUUUUACGAAGAAUUACAACAACAUUAGAGGAAGACUACAUUCUUCCUCUUUAUUCCUACAUUUCUACACUACUUCUACUCCACUCCAUAUUUCUACAUACAUCUUUAAUCAGUCUUCCCUCCUUUAUAUAGAGCCAUCUUCACACAAAUUUCGCAAGGUAGAAAAGAGGAAUGAAACUUGGAGCAAGGUUCGACUACUGGUUGUAGCUUGUCAAGGCUGGAAGUGAACUUUUCUUGGCUUUCUGGGCAUGGGUAGUAACUUGUGGGUUCCUGUUUGGCAUAAAAAUGGCUAGAACAUGUGGCACUAUCUUGUUGGAUGAUGUGUCAAGCAUGUGGCAGCCAUCUAGUGGCGAUUAUGUCAAUUUUGGGAUGGAGAGUUGGCAUCCAAUUGCAAAGAAAUAUGACGUCUACCAACAUGCAAUGUAAACCUAUGUAGAUCAUAUGAAGAUAGAGAGGAAAAAUAUAGAAAUGGAUAUAUACCUAGAACUAGCUUUUUAUUAAAUGAAACGGAGAGACAACAAUGAAGGAAAAUAAAAUUUUUUGGCUUAUAUCAAAGAGUUCACAUUGUGUUACCCUAGGUUUUCUUAAAACUUACUUUUAUGAUAACAAAAAAGAAAAAACCAUUAUUGUUUAAUCCUUUGUUUUAAACGCAUGUAAGGUGUAAUUAAGUUAGUUCAAUGCAUUAAUUUAAGAAACUUGACCUAUCAAAAGUACAAAAUUAGAUGAAAUCCAUUUCAAUGGUUAAAAUGAUCAAAAUCAAACUUUUUCUAAGUAUUUUUUAAAAGCAUCAAUAGUGAAAGACAAUUUUAUAUUUAGUCGGAGUUUGGACAAAACUGAAAAACACACAAAAUCCAAGCGACCAUCUCUAGCUUGGAUGGUCGCUUGAUCCCACCUAGAGAUGUGCAUGAGUAAAAGGAUUUGAAAAUGGAAAUUGACUAUGUAGUCGAUCAAUUAACUUUGCAACAUCAUAUGCAAUCCUAAUUGCUAGUCAUCUAAUCAAUUAGGUAGUCAAUCAACAGGCCAAAAAUAUGUUUAUAAUGACUAUUUUGUACAAAAACCACCUGUAUAGUUAAAUAUAAUGCAUUUCAUUUAUAAAUCUUCUAAUUCUUGAAUAACGAUCCUAUCAUCCUUUGAAAGUUUUUAUUACACUUUUUUUACUUUUGUUCUAAAACUUACACAUCACCCUUAAUUGUACCAUGAGAACCUAGCUAUUUUUUAUUUUUUUUUUUGUAAUUCAUCAAAGUUAGCUUUUGUAUUCAUUGUUGUAUUAUUUUUAGUAUAACUUAGAAAGCUAGUGUUUUCAAGUGAGUAAAAUUAACUUGUAAAUAUUGUAAAGAUUCAUCGACAUGUAUCUUAAACUAAGUGUACAAGUUAAAACAUUUGCUAGUAGAUUUUCUCAAAAUUUAGAAUAGAGCUUGAGACUAUUGAAAUAGGUGGGGUUGCACCAAACCACAUCACAUCGUUGUUUGCACCUUUUUUCACUCUCUUUUACUUAGUUGCUCUAUAUUUGUUGUCUAGUAAUAUCCUAUAGGCUUGAUGGGUUAGGGAGCAUCCCUUUGUGAAAAAAUUUUAUUCAAUCCUUAGUUGUAUCACGCAUAUAUAAAAUGCCUCAUUGUUUUAAUGGUAUUCAGUCGUGGCAUCACAGAUAUGGGCAUCUAAAUUUUAAAAGUUUGAAACUUUUAUCUAAAGAAAAUAUGGUGCUUUGCCUUUUUGUAAAGCAUGUUGAUGAAAUCCAUGAGAAUUGUGUACUUGGGAAGCAACACCGAGAUGACUUUUUUUUUUUUUUUAUAAUAUUGUUUGUCCAAAUUCCCUACAAAUUAGGCCACCAGAUGUUCAUAAUUCUCCCUUCUUGAAUUUGAAAACUCGGACAAUUGGACAAUGCGACACCUAAGUCCGGUUUCUAAAUGCUAAAGUGAAAGGGUAGGUAUGGACCAUUGAAAUGUGAUCACAACUUUUCUCUGUAGCCAUGUUGUCUCUUUUUUCUUUUGCAUGAUUUUCUUACCUUAACAGAAUCAUAGACUUGUUUAGUCUCUAAAUGGGAUUAAUUUCAUCCAGCUUUAAGCUACUAUAUUAUAUCUAGGUGGAGGACUUUUAAGAGUGCAACCGACAUAGAGCACAUGGAAGUGGGUAUAUGGGACAUGAAAUUUCUUCUUAUAAAGAUUGCAUGAUUUUUAUAUUAGAGUUGUUGAGGCGCUAUGUAUUUAGCUUGUUUUGCAGUUAAAUUAAUUGGAUAAGUAGACAUUGGCGUUUCUAAAUCUACUGUGAAGUGCUUCAUGUACGUGUGAAGUAUUAGAAAUUUCUUUCUUGGCAACUUGUUUUUCUUUGCGGUCUACUGAUAGGUUUGACUAAAAUUAUAUUCCCUGUCAUGCUAAUUAAUUUUCACGUGCAUGCUCAAAAGAAAAGUAUGACCUUAGUGCACCAAAAUCACUUUGAUUAAUUUGUGAUAGGUUUUUGUGCAUCAUGACAUUAGCCUUAUUCAUUUAGAUAAUGUUUAGUUUUUAGAAAGUAUUAAGAAAAGGAAAAUAAAUAUUAAGAAAAAUAUUCUUAUAUUUGAUUGUAUUAUGAAAAAUAUCAUAAAAAAAUCAAAUAUAAUUUAAAUUAAUUAAUAAUUUAUACAUUUUCAAAUUAUUUAAUCUUUAUAUUGAAGAUAUAAUAUAAAUGAAAUGAGUUUUAAGUAUUAUAUAAAAGUGAUUUAUUGAUCUUACAUAUAUAUAUUUCUUUUUUUUUUCCUUCUAUUUUUUCUCUUUAUUUUAUUUUCCUUAUGUUUUCCUCAACAUUUUCCGGAACCAAACAUAGCCUUAGGAAAUCCACAAUUACCUUCAACUGAGUAGAUUCUGUUGUUUUAGCAAUGUUAGGCUGCUAACUUGUGUUGGUACGAACCUAUUAAGCCUAAAGAUGUAAUUAGUUAGGAUAUUCUUUUCCCUCUAGUCUUGUAGCUCCACGUGUACAGUUGGUUAGGACCUCAUUGUAUAUAAUGCUUGCCCUGUUAUUGUAGAAGACAACAAAGAUAAAUAAUAUUAACAUUUUUCCUCUCAUCUCUCUCUGUUUCCCUCUGUUUUCAUCUCCUCUCUCAUCUUGGUAUCAGAGCCUCCAUGGCUUCUUUCAAAGAAACCUCCGAAUCACCUUCUGCUAGCAUUGUUAAUGUGCAAAACCCAUUAUCUCAAUCAAACAACCUUCCUUCACCAGUAGCCACACCCUCUUUUUCUUUCUCGUCUAUGAAUCAACCUCUCACAGUGAAGCUGGAUAAUGGGAACUACCUCAUAUGGAAGAAUUAGCUUCUAAAUGUCAUCAUUGCUAACGGACUCGAUGAUUUCAUUGACGGAUCUCGACCCUGCCCUCCUCGAUUUCUCGAUCUGCAACAACAAACCCUCAAUCCAGAGUACUCAGCUUGGCAGAGAUACAAUCGACUUCUGAUGAGUUGGCUGUACGCAUCCUUGUCCAAAGAUAUAAUGGCUCAGAUUGUUGGGUAUUCAACAGCUAUGGAGAUUUGGAAUGCCCUUAAUCAGAUUUACUCUGCCUCUUCUAUGGCGCGGUUUACUGAGCUUCGCACCAAGCUUCAAACGCUCAAGAAAGAUGGACUCUCAGUUGGUGAAUAUAUUCAAAGGCUCAAAUCCAUUUGCAAUAGUCUUGCAGCAAUAGGAGAACCAGUUUCUGAGAAAGACCAUCUUAUCUAUUUGUUCAAUGGAUUAGAUUGUGAGUAUUAUUCUUUUGUUACCUCCAUUCAAAAUCGAUCUGACCAACCAACUAUUGACAAAAUCCAUAGCCUAUUGCUUAGCUAUGACUUCCGGCUUGAACAACAAAACUCUGUUUCUCUCCAUUCUGCCCAAGUCCAUAUGGCUCAUCUGAACAAGAAACCUUAUAAAUCAACUCCUCAACCUACAUUCAAUCAUAUUCACAUUCAACCUAGAUACUCUUCUCCACCUUUUAAGCCAACCACUAGUCAAUAUCAACCCAACAUUUUGGGCAAACCACAACCACAACCAUGACAGCCUCAACCUCAAUGGAAACCACAUUUUUCAAUCUAAAAUCAAAAGCCUCAGCGCCAAAUUUGUGGUAAAUUUGGACACACUGCUCUUAUUUGCUUCCAUCACACAAAUUUGAACUAUUCACCCCAACCUUCUCCUAAAUCUUUCAAUACUGUUCUCACCACAAAUUCCCAGCUCCCUAAUCCUCCAAAAUUUUCUUACCCUACAAUGGCUCAUCCUGCUGCUACGCAUAACACGGUUCCCGAUACAAAUUGGUACAUGGACUCAGGUGCUACACAUCACUUUACUCUGGACAUCAACGUGCUUGACACUGUGACACCAUUUAGUGGUUCAGAACAGGUGACAGUUGGGAAUGGUAAGCAACUCUGUAUCUCACAUCUUGGUACUGCAAAACUACCAUCUUCGUAUUCUCCUCCUGUUCUACAUCAGGUAUAUCACACUCCAAAAAUUUCAAAUAAUCUUAUUAGUGUUAAAAAAUUGUGUUCUGAUAAUAAAGUUUUUGUUGAAUUUUAUGCCACUCAUUUUCUUGUCAAGGAUCAGGUUUCGAAGAGAGUUCUCCUUUAGGGUCAACUUGAUAAUGGCUUAUACAAAGUUCAGUCGUCAUGCUCUCCUUCUGCUGUUUCCUUUCCUCCUCAAGUUUUCAUAGCCAACAUCAAGUAUCCAAAUCUGUGGCACAAGAGACUAGGCCACCCAGCUUUAUCUGUUGUUAAUCAAAUCUUGGAUUCUUGUAACAUUGCUCGAACACAGAAAAUUUGUUUUAAUUUUUUAAAUUCUUGUCAAUUAGCAAAGAGCCACAGGCUUCCUUUUUCUCUGUCUCCAUCCAUUGCAGAAAAACCUUUUGAGUUAAUUCAUACAGACCUAUGGGGUCUUUCGCUCGUUCGCUCUAUUUCUGGUGCUCUUUAUUUUUUACUUUUCAUUGAUGAUCAUACUCGUUUUACUUGGUUUUAUUUGCUCAAAACAAAAGAUGAAGCAUAUCCUACUUUUCUCAAGUUUCAAGCUCUCAUUGAAAAUCAAUUUAAUACCAAGAUUAAGGCUGUCCAAUCUGAUUGGGGAGGUGAGUUUCGAUCUCUCUCCAUACCGUUUUCAAAUAUGGGCAUUGUCUAUUGUUUAUCGUGUCCAUACACCUCACAACAGAAUGGGCGAGUUGAGCGAAAAAAUCGCCAUGCGAUUGUCCUUUCUUGCUUGCUCUAUGCCCUUAUCUUAUUGGCCUUAUGCCUUUCAAACUGCCACUUACCUUAUUAAUCGUCUCUCUACCCCUGUGCUGCAUCAUCAAUCCUCUUACUUCGCACUCUAUCACAAACUCCCAACUUAUACUCAUCUUAAGGUCUUUGGUUCCUCUUGUUUUCCGUAUUUGCACCCUUAUAAUACCCAUAAACUCCAAUACAGGUCACUAGAGUGUGCUUUUCUUGGUUACAGUUCACACCACAAAGGUUAUCUAUGUCUUGACAUUCAUUCUAGCAGGGUGUAUAUUUCUCGCCAUGUGAUUUUUAAUGAAGAUUCUUUUCCAUUCAAGAAUUUGAAAUCUUCUCUCUCUCAGUCUAUUUCUUCUUCCUCUUCUUUAUAAGUUCCUCUGUUCAUUCUCUUGCCUCCCCUUUCCCCAUCUCCUCUUAUUUCUUCAUCUAUACCUCAUUCUUUUCCCUCUUCUUCUUCUACCUCUAGUACUUGUUCCCCUCUCGUUGCUCCUACCUCUCUUCCUUCCUCUUCACACUCUGUGUCUCCAUCUAUUCCACCUCCUUCUCCACCUUCUCCGAGUGUGGACCUGCUUGCACCUUGUGUGAAUACAAAUUUACAUACUUCUUCUCGCACUCACAAUAUUCAUCCUAUGGUGACUAGAUCUAAGGUUUGUAUCUAUAAACCUAAGUUGUUGUUGAGUGUCUCCAUAGGUUCUCUCACUAAGCCUACUUCCUUUCUUCAAGCUAUUAAAGAUCCUUCAUGGAAGCAAUCCAUGGAAUUCGAGUUUGCUACCCUUCAACACAACAAGACCUGGCAUUUGGUUCCUUCACCUUCCUCAGGCGAAGUAAUCGGUUGUAAAUGGGUCUAUAAGCUAAAGCUUCAGCCUGAUGGCUAAAUUGAGAGAUACAGCCUGCUUAGUAGCUAAGGGUAUCAUCAAAUUGAAGUAUGGACUACUUCGAAACAUUCAGCCUGAUNNNNNNNNNNNNNNNNNNNNNNNNNNNNNNNNNNNNNNNNNNNNNNNNNNNNNNNNNNNNNNNNNNNNNNNNNNNNNNNNNNNNNNNNNNNNNNNNNNNNAGCUUCAGCCUGAUGGCUAAAUUGAGAGAUACAAGGCCUGCUUAGUAGCUAAGGGUUAUCAUCAAAUUGAAGGUAUUGACUACUUCGAAACAUUCAGCCUGAUUGUCAAGCUUUCUACUAUCUGUAUUGUGCUCAGUCUUACUUUUUCCCAGAAUUGGUGUAUUAGACAGCUGGAUGUUCAUAAUGCCUUCUUACAUGGUGACUUAGCUAAAGACGUUUUCAUGGAACAACUGCCUGGAUUUGUUGAUCCUCUCUAUCCUACUCAUGUCUGCAAGUUGGAUAAGUCUCUCUACUGUCUUAAAUAGUCACCUCGGGCUUGGUAUACUAAGCUGAGUACUUCUCGCUACACUUGGGAUUUGUUACUUCUAAGAAUGACUCUUCCUUAUUUAUUUGUCAUUCGUCUCAUGGGUUACUUCUUGUUCUUGUCUAUGUGGAUGAUAUAAUCGUCAUUGGGAGCCACUCUCCUCAGGUUACUCACCUUAUCCAACAGUUGCAUCAUUAGCUUUCUUUAAAGGAUCUUGGUCCUUUACAUUAUUUUCUGGGCUUGGAGGUUCAUCACACCCCUACUGGUAUUCACCUCAGCCAAGCAAAGUAUAUCACUGAUCUCCUUACCCGGGCGGCUAUGUUGGAUGCCAAGCCAUGUCCCACUCCUAUGUCCUCCAACACAUAUCUCUCUUUUCAUGAUGGAGUGGCUCUUGAAAAUGGUUCAGAUUAUCGAAGUUUUGUUGGUGCCCUUUAGUAUUGUACCAUGACACGCCCAGAUAUAGCUUUUGCAAUAAAUAAAGUGUGUCAAUUCAUGCACCAUCCCUCUAAUGUUCACUGGCAGGCUAUAAAACGUAUUCUCCGGUACUUAAAGGGCACAUCUCAUUUUGGUCUCUUCCUACAGCCUUCCUAUGACUUCAACAUCACUUGCUAUACAAAUGCCGACUGGGCUUCCUGUCCUGAUGACAAGUGUAGCACCAGUGGCUACUGCCUCUUUCUUGCCUCUAAUCUGGUUUCUUGGUCAUCUUCCAAACAAAAAGUGGUCUCCCGCUCCAGCGCCGAAUCAGAGUACCGAGGGGUAGCAAAUGGGGCUGCUGAAAUUGCUUGGACUGAAUCUCUUCUUUGUGAACUUUCCAUUACUCCCCCUCCCCUCAUUCUCUGUGACAAUAUCAGUGCCACGUACUUAGCUGCCAAUCCUAUUUUGCAUGCCCGCACCAAACAUGUGGAAAUCGACUAUCACUUUGUCACGGAACGUGUUCUUCAAUGCUCUCUUUUUGUCCAGUUUACACCUUCUGAUGAUCAACUUGCUGAUUGCAUGACCAAGCCUCUCUCCACCCAACGUUUCAUCACUCUACGCUCCAAGCUCACUGUUCUCACUAGACCAAUGAGCUUGAGGGGGGAUGUUAAGCCUAAAGAUGUAAUUAGUUAGGAUAUUCUUUUCCCUCUAGUCUUGUAGCUCCACGUGUACAGUUGGUUAGGACCUCAUUGUAUAUAAUGCCUGCCCUGUUAUUGUAGAAGACAACAGAGAUAAAUAAUAUUAACAUUUUUCCUCUCAUCUCUCUCUCUGUUUCCCUCUGUUUUCAUCUCCUCUCUCAUCUGAACCAAAUGAUCCAUGUUAACCUUGGCUUGGUUUGAUUUGGCUCUAUCUUAGAGAGCUCAAGGAUCACGUCAACUCUGGUUUCUACUAUUCAGGUCCAUUCCCAUAUGAACUGGUUCAAAUUUGAGAAAAUGGUAACAGACCUUUAGUGAUGUUGGUUUGGAGCCAGUUGCCAAACCCGCCCUGAGCUUUACCACUAAUGUCAAGGGAGAAAGCCAUUUGAACAAAAACAAUAGCUUCAAGGGACUGAAUCGUGGAUGAAAUCUGAUCCACAUUUCUUCUCAUUUUGGAAACAAAUGAGAACUUAACUAAGAAGAUUCUACGGCCUCAUAGUGCUUUUCCUGAUCUAAGGUUGGUUCGUUUCCCAAACUGUGAGAUGCACGUGCCAGACUUCAGAACUCUCACGCUCAGGAGUGUAUCCACGUGGUGGACAUAAGAUGGUGGCUUAAGAUCUGGUGUCGGUGGCUUUACUUUACUAGGAGAGUAGUGUGUCUUCAUCUCAUUCACUGCCGGAGGGUGGCGUAAGCAGUGACGCUAAGGUGGGGCACAGUCAAUAUCAUUUGCAUUUGACCAUUAUAGUUUUCUCCCGGCUUUAAAGUAACCUUAUCGUGAUAAAGGAUUACUAGCACUAGUUCAGAUGAUAGUCAUGUUAAAUUCGGACCAUGUUUGUGUCACAUUAUCAGCAACCAUGUGUUUAUGGUUCAUGCUUUCUGCAACUAAAAUUGAUAUAUAACCAGGUGAACUUCAAUCUAAAUUCUGAAAGUACUCAUGUGAUAGAUGGUGCCCGUCUGCAGAGUCCAUCAAUUGAAAAAUGGAGUGAGUGUAUCUAUAAGAGGGAAGGCUUGGAAAAUGUUCAGUUUUCUGGGAAUUCAACAAGGAUCUAAAAUAGAUUGUUUUCUUUGCUGAUUUCAAUGGUUGAAAUUUGAGAAGAUUGUGUCCACAUAACACAACUAUUACUGGUCCUUCUGUUGCAAUUUAUCCUCUAAAGCUCUAGCAUGUCUUCCAAUUCCCACUUCCCUGUUACUCCAGGAAAGCUAUUUCUGUCAUUGUGAAGAAGAAAAGAGAAUGUACAUAUCGAUGCUUUUAAGUGACUGGAGCAUUUAUAUCAGGUGGUCUGCAGCCAUAUAUGCCACUUUGUGAAGAUUGGAACAGUCAAUCACUAGGCUAUAUAUUAGUGUGGCCCAGCCACUUUAAUCAAGGACAAGUCUUCAUACUUAAAGUCAAAUUCUGCCUUUAGUCUCAUUAUAAAUUUCUGUUUAAAUAUUAAGCAAACAUUUGUUUAAUGCGAUUAAGACAGUACUAACUCAAUACCUGUUCUAUUUUUGGAUGCAAAUGCUUGAUGGUUUCAUCAUUGGAUGGGAUAAAGGUGCAUUCAUGAUUAGGAAUACUAGUAGUUAUAUUUUAAUUCUCUUUUUUCUCAAUGAGACUUGUUGGCACAAUUUUGCUGUUGAGAAACCUACCUCUCCAUGGAAAAUAAGUUGUGAUUGAUAGUACUGGAUAUAUUCAAGAAAUCUAAAUAUAGAUAGCACAAAAUAUUAUCGACAUAAAUAGCAUUAACAGCGUACGUAUGUCUCAGUGCUCAUCAGCUAUAAGCAUGGGGCAAACACUUACUAUGAGCAACUUACGUCAAAAUUCCAGAAUAGGACAUAGAAGUGACAGAUAUAGAACAUUGCAUAUGAGUCACAAGAAAGGAAAUUACGGGUGCAUAGCAGCUCUUAUUUUACAUACUACUACUCAUACUGAUCAAAGUCACUCAGUUGGGAUGGGUGGGAGUAGGAGGUUUGUGGGGUGGCUUGUGCGGAGGAGUUGGCAGCUUCUUUCCAGGACCUGGUUGCUUCUCUGCUGGAGUUGAAGGAGGCUUAAUCUUCCGAGGUGGCUUGUAUGAGUCUUCAGCAUUCUCAGCUGGAGGGUGACCAGGGUUGUGACCAUAAUGUGGUGGCUUCUCUCCCUUAGGUGGUUUGCCAACUGGGGUUGGUGGCUUGUAUGAGUCUUCAGCAUUCUCAGCAGGAGGGUGACCAGGGUUGUGACCAUAAUGUGGUGGCUUCUCUCCCUUAGGUGGUUUGCCAACUGGGGUUGGUGGCUUGUGUUCUGGGAGUGGCUUCUCCCCCUUGGGAGGUUUUUCCAAUGGGGUUGGUUUGUGUUCAGGAGGUGGCUUCUCCACUGGAGGCUUGUGUUCAG